UAACCCAUGGUACGCCAGUCUGAAGGCCCACAGCCAUUUUUGCAGCCCAUUGAACAUAUUGUUUUCCUGCUAUGCCAAAUGCCUUUUGGACAUUUUGAUAUUCAUUCUCAAUCUGUAUAUAAAAUUCAAUACAUAUAUAAUUUGCAAUCAACAAUGGGAAAUUUUCAAUUAAAUUAAACUAAGUGAUUGGAUGAAUUAAUAAUUAUAUAUACCUGUGACAAUAUGAUUGGGCCUCCUUGUGAAGCAUAUAAACCCUCUGCUUUCAUCAUGUUCACAAUUUUUGUUGUAAAAUUUUGCAUGUAGAACUAUACAUUGGAAUACAUCCAUGAAAUUAAAAGGGGGUGAAAAAUAUAAAUUGACCCUUGUACUAGACCGCAUAACAAUAUCAACCGCAUUCAUACACUCACUAUAGUAGCAGUUAAAAAUUGCAAAAAUAGAGUGUAUGAAAAUGGUUGUUAUUGUUACGUGUUUGUUUAACUUUUUGAAUGUAAAUAAGUAUCAUUGAUAGAAGUAUGGUAGUACCUAGCUAGCUAGCUUGGUCAAAUUAUAUUACCUUGAAAGGUUCAUUGUCUGAUCUGUAGACAAUCCCAGGGACAUCAUGUAACCAAAAUGGGAAUCCCCUACAAGCUCAAUAACAAUAUCAGUUAGUUAGACUUAGAGGUGCCAAUUUUGGCUUAUUAGCCGGAAAAACAUGCAUUACUUUUAAUUUUUUCCAAGUUCGUGAUAUACUAAGUUGAUGUUGAUUGAUGGCUAUCAUUAAUAAUGUGUUGGUCUAUUUGCAAACAAGUUUGAAUGUUGUGAGAAUUGUGUGAAAGCAACAUUAUUCUUUUACAUGUGUGUAUUAUUACUCAUAAAAUAAUUCUAAUUAAGAAGUAAAAAUACCCACCCGUAUGUCCAUUCAGCCUCGAUGAAAGGUCCAAUUCUGAGGCAGACAUAGAGUCCUUGAGCUUGAAUUUCCCUUAUGAAUCUCACCAAGUCAUAUCUUCCACUGAAAUCAUACUGCAAUUGCAUUGCAUGUAUUUACACCAUAUAGUUAACUAAUUAACUACUUCAAACCAAAUAUGUAUAAUUUUAUAAUUUUCAUGUAUGUAUUAUGCAUAUGAGGAAUAAAUUAAAAUACCUGUCCAGGUUGCAGGGGUUCAUGAAGAUUCCAAAACACAUAAGUCUGAAUAACGUCCAAUCCUCCUUGUUUUGCUUUCGCUAUCAAACCUGGCCACAUCUGCAACAACGUAACGUCUUAAUAUAUUUGUUAAAAUUCCUCUGUCUUUUUCUUUCUUUCAUCCAUAUUUUCCUUUCAAGCAAUCCAAAUUCAUGUGUAUUCGUGAAGUCUACUCGAUCAUCACACGGUUCCUUUGUUUUAUUAACAACCAAAUUAAGGAUGCUUAAUGUAACUAACUAUAUCAAAUUAGGGAUAUAUAAAAGUUAAAUUUGACUAGCCAAAUUAACCCAAAAGUUUUUCAUUUGCACUAUAUCCGACCGCCGAUAGCCAUAAGAUUAAUUUAUUCGAGGCUAAGAGAUUACAUUUAGAGGAUAGACAUCUCCAACAAAUCACUCUCCACCGAAGGAUCGAUUCUUAGAUUAGAUGCUUAAGGAGUUCAGUUAUCUAUCAGCUGUACUAGACAUUACUGGUUAACCCAAAGUUUUGAGGAAUAACUUCCUCUAACAUAUAUUCAUUCAUUCAUACCCGUGAUUCAAUAGUGGUGGAAUUACAACUGUAAAAUGAUUUUGCUGUUCUGUAGUUUCCAAGGGAUAUUGCAUGUUCAAAGUACAGGACAGGUUGGUUAGUUGAAAAAGGGGACUUUUUAAUCAAAUGGUACUAGACCACCUGGUAUUGGUAAUUAAUUAUCUUGAAGUUCAAAAUUUGGAAAUGAUAAAUUGAAUAUUAAUUUAAAUGAAAAUACAAUUUAAUCCUAAUUCAUUACCUUUACCUACCUCUUGGAAAUAAAGAAAGUAUGAGCUAGUUUCAGAACUGGAUAAGAAAGUGUGUUCUAACUACAACUGCUAAUUAUAUUGAUGACAUCAACUACUCAAUUAGUUAAUAUGAAUUGUGCAGACACAACUAUCCAAAAAUGCGGCUUCAUCAUAAAGUUGUUAUCAGAAAUCAAAGUUUUCACGAAAGAUGUAUGUACUUAUAGAUGAAGACAUUCAGUUCAUCCCCAAAAGAUACCCAAAAUGCAGAAAGUGUUUAAAAAGUACCUAUUGAUCAUGUCAUUGUUGAGAUAUCUUGUGUUCUCAUGAAUGUAUGAGAAAGUGUAUUGAAUCAGUGACUAUAGAGACAUGAAUGAAGUACAGCUAGCUAGCAGUCUAACACAAUUUUUUAUCCAAUGUGAAGCAAGCAAAGAGCAUGAUCAGAGUUGAUGAUCAGAGUUGAAUUAAUUACCUGAGGAGUGCUGCGAGGAUAAUGAAUUGAACCAGAGAAGAGAAGUUUUCUUUGUCCAUCAAUGAUGAGUGAUCUUCCAUCAUAUGUCACCUCUGCAGCUUCAAUUACUUUUAACAACACCACCAGUAGCACUAGCAGAACCACCCAUUUUCCCAUCUUCUUCAGUAGUACUAAUUAACUAACUCUGCCACUUCUUUUUGCCUAUAUUUAUAAUUAUCUAUCUUCCUCUCUCACCCUCUCAAGAAGUAUAUAUAAAAAUUACAACACAUUGCGUGGCAGAAAAUAAAACCAUAUAAAGAAAAGGAAGAAAUAAAGGCAAAACAGUGCUUGUAAAUUAGAGGGAGAAAGAAACUAUAUAUAGAGACACAUGUGAGAGUCACAAUUGAAGUGGGUGACUGACCAGCAUAUAUUGUUAAGGUGAAGGUGGGGCUGGUACAAGAUUUUUCUUUUCUUUUUCAAUGUUCCAACUAGCUAAUUGCAGAGUCUGGUUCAAUUUUGUGAUCACCAAUCCUUCAAAAAAUGGGAAUUUCUAUUUCUAGCAUCAAAUUUUUGUAAUAAAUGUUGUGUUUUUAAAUAAUAAUGAUUUUUUAUCAUAUUUUUCCAAUGUUAACUACGGUAUAUCUCACAAUCAAUAGCUGAGAAUUUAUUUCUUCGUGUGACUGUGCAGGAAAGGUUGAAGCACUACAUCAACUCAUUUGAUUUUUUAUUAUCAUCAUUUGAACAAAAUAAUUUUUAUUUAUUUUAUAAAUUACUUCUAUUCUUACAUUGCUAUACUAAGGCAAAAACUAGAAUAGUUGUUUUUCCAGUACGUUUGAUCACUAUCCCCUAGUAGGAUACUGCUUUACACUAUGCUUUGCUUCUCUGGGUUUGGAGUGUUGGCCAGACACAUGGCCUUAUGUCAAGCAAUCACUUAUCCUAAAAGCUUAAGUUGUUGGGUACGUAAAAGUCAUUUUAAUGGUUUUAUAUUAUAUUCUAACACCUUAUAAGUUUUAACCCUCUAUUAGACACGUAAAUAUGGAACAAGCAUUAUCAAUAUCAAUAUUUAGUACCUAUUUAUUCUUUACCCAAGAAAUAACAAAAAGUUUGGCAAACCACAUUACAGUAUUUUGACAUCUCAUUUUUUUUUGUGAUUUUUUAACUUCAUAAAUUGAAAAGUUAAUUUUAUUUUCACUACUUUCCAAUUUGUGAAACCGCACAAAAUUAAAAUGCCUAAAGUAGUAGACAUUGUUGAGUGGUCUGUCAAUCACCACUGAAAAAUAAAUGUAUGUUUGUCACAUAUCUGAACAUAGAAAUAUAUACCGUUAAAUUCGCAUUAAGUUCAACAGAAAAGUAAGUCGACUCAUUUUUUAAUAAAUGGAUAAGUGUUAGUAAGUUGUAAGUUGUAAGUGUAACACAUUAUUUCAGUCUUUUCUUGGUUACGCACAUGAUUUCAGUCUAGCACACUUAUUGUGAUUAAUUUAUAUAUUUAGGUGCUUAGUUCCCGUCACCUAACCAAAAGGUUUUUAAGCAAAUUGGAGUAUUGGACCAUUUCAAAAAAAAAAAAAAAAUUGGAGUAUUGGACAAUUGAUGGAGUGCCAAUCACGAUAUUCGGAUGUAAAUCCACGUUUUCUUGCAGAUUCUGAGAUGAAGAAAUCACUUCCUCAAUUGAUGGAGUACUAAAUUGGUAAAGAUAAUUUUCUAUGUAAUAAUUGUAAGAUAGAGGUCAAAUUAAAGUUAUACUAGAUAUUAUUCCCGUGCGUUGUACGAGUUUAUUUAUAAUAUUUUUUAAUAUUAUAUGGAAACUACUACAGAGUAAUUAUAUAAAUAAUAAAUAUUUAAAUAUUUAAAUAUUUCUUCAAUAUAAAUAUAAUAGAAAAAAUUAUUGUGUUUAGACUUUAGACAUCUACAUAGAGAGUAUUAUAGUUUUUUUAUGCAUUAAAUUGCUUGUAUUAUAGUUCUCUUUAAGUAAAUAAUUAUAUUACUGAAAUUUAAUAAAAUUUUGGGUUAAUGAUCAAAUUAGUCCCUGAGUUUGAUUUUAAUCCCUCUAAGGAAAAAUUACGUUUAGUGGCAUUCAUUCUUACAAUCACUGGCAGUUUUUUACUGCCACUACGCGUCAUUUAGACAUUUAUCAUCAGAAGAACUAAAAUCAAACUCGCUUACAAACUCAGCGAUUAAUUUGACAAUUACCCUAAAGAAAUUUGAAAAGGAAAAUAUUAUUAAUGACAUAUGAAAACUUGAGAAAAUGUUUUUACUACUAUAUAAUAGACCAAAACACAUUUGAAAGUAUUUUUUCAAAUAAUACACGCAGCGAUUAAUUUGACAAUUACCCUAAAGAAAUUUGAAAAGGAAAAUAUUAUUAAUGACAUAUGAAAACUUGAGAAAAUGUUUUUACUACUAUAUAAUAGACCAAAACACAUUUGAAAGUAUUUUUUCAAAUAAUACACGCAUGCAAUAUAUUUAAUAGUAAAUAUUUUAUAGAGACUUAUUUAAUUUUUAAACGAUUUUUCUAGAGUGUUCAUUAAUAAAUUUUAUCUAGACUAUUAUUUUUUUCGACCACAAGAAAUUAUAAUUAUUUUAGACUAUUAUUGAAUUUAACUAAUUAAUAUUUUCAACUUUCAAAAAAAACUAAUUAAUAUUUUCUACAUAUAAAUAUAUUUAUUAAUUUUUCCCUCAAUUUAUGAUUGAUAGUUAAUAUUCUAACUAUUUUUAAAAACUACUUAAUAAAUUAUUCUUUUGUAUAAGAAACUGAAAAGUUGACAAUUCAUACUUAAUAAAGUUAAUAACAUAAAAUAUUCAUCAAUAAUUUAUAACUAUCAUUAUUCUAUUCAGACAAAUCACAAUUAAAUUUAAAAUUAUUUUUUAAAAUAACACGCAACUACAUUAUAGUUAAUUUAAACAACAUACAAAAUCAUUUCAUAUUCUAUAAGUAAAUUUCAAAAUAUAUAUUUACAAAAUGCAUUCAACCAUUAACUAAUUUCAAUAUCUAACAUGUUUAUUUUACUUAAAAGAUAUUAGUUUGUUGCUAUUUUUGUAUCUUUUAUUUUUUUCAACCUUAUGUUGAUAAUUAAUUGAAAUGAAAAUAAAAAUAAAAAUUUAAUUAAUAUUGCCAGUAAUGUAGAACUCAAGUCAAAUAUUCUGUUAUAUAUAUCUAUAUAUAUAUAUAUAUGUAUGUAUAUAAAAUUGUUUUUUGAAAGCAAAAUCUUUAUUGAAUAUAAAGUCGAGAUACAAAUCAUUUCGACAAAGGAAUAAUUACAACGACCGAAAACAAAGAUCGCAAACAAAGACUUCAAACACAAACAACGACCGAUGUAUAUAAAACUUAUUAACAUGAUAUCUAACUUUAGUAUUUAAUUUGUUAUUUAUACAUAAAAAGUAGUAAUAAGAUUUAUUGGUUAAUUUUUAAAAUUCAUCAACUUAUGAAUAAUAAUGAAAAUAAAAAUAAUAAUUUUAAUUUUAGCAUAUAAUAAUUUUAAUUUUUUAGAAUUAGUUAUAAAUGUAAAAUUUAUUUUUUAAAACCCCAAGUCUCAUUUACAUAUAUAUAUAGAUGGUUGAUUAAAUUAAGGAUGUCAUUUUGAACGAGUGUCAUAAAAUGUUUUAUCAACUAAAAAAAGAGUUCAUAUUUUUGUAAUGAUUUAAAGAAUUUUUUUUAACAAGUAUUACAUUUUAUUCUUCCUUUAUUAAUAUUUUUAAUUCACUUUGUUUUGACAAAAUAUUCUAAAUUCACUUUAAACUCAUUUUGAAGGUUCCCGGAUGAUAACUUAAGUGGUAAAAAUUAUGUGAUAUAUGGAUUGGGUGGAAAAGGUCCGGGAAUUAAAUUCUUAGAGACUGCAAUUUAUCUUUCCGAUAUAUAUAUAAGAAAAAACUCAUUUUAAGGUAAAAGCAAGAAUCUUUUCUCCGAAUUAGUUUGCUGCAGUACCGAACUAAGUCCAAAGGCAUGCUUUUUUUUGAAAGGCAUGGAUUUUUGUUAGAGAAGUACUCCAUGUGAGCUAUAUAAAAAAUUACUCAAUGUGAGACUUUUUUUUUUCUUGUGGAACCCAGUGCCGUUUUUUUAACCCAAAAAAACUCAGUGUGCUUUUUGUUGAAAAACAAAACAGUGCGUUUUAUGAUUAAUUUUGUGAAUAGAAUUCAGGCCUAAAUAUGUUUUUAAUCCUUGAAAAUAUAGUAAAUGUUGUUUUAAUCAUUGAAAAUAUAUUUUUUAAUCUUUAAUUUAUAAAGCUAUACAUCGUUAUCCUAGUCAUUGUUAUUAACUUUUGCUUAUAUGGCACACAAAAUGGCGACUCACUCAAUUUAUAUGUUUUUUUGUUUGAUUGUACAUUGCGCGUCACACAAUCUGAUUUAAAGCUAAUUAUGUGUUGCACAAUCUGAGUUGAAGUUCCACCAAGAUCCACAUGAUUCUCACAUGCACAAUUUACGUGACAUUGAAUAGUGUUAAUGAGUGAGUCCCACAAUGUCAAAUUAAAUAAAAACAAAUUCCUAGUAGGGAGAUACGACAUUAUGUGAUUUGCAUAAUCAAAACUUAACGGUAGAGACUUAAAAAGAUAACAAUGUUUAUUUUUAAAAUUAAAAACUAAGAAAUAUUUUUUUUCAAAGACUAAACCAACAUUUAUUAUAUUUUCAAGCACUAAAAACAUAUUUAAGGAGGGUGUUUGUGAUCCCUUUCCUUGUAUCUUUCCCUCAAUUCCCAUUUGAGAAUUAGGGUUUUAUCAUUGAAUAAUAUCAUAUUUGGCUGGGUUCUAUCAGUUUGUUUUGUGUUUUGAAAUGUAUGAUUGAGAAGAGAAAGGGCAAGUCAAUUUCUGAUUCUCUUCUCUUGCUUCCAUUCCACCACUAACCAAGCUGAGGUGAGAUAUUUAUUACUUUAGUUGAAGGGAAAAGGAUUACUGGGUUUGUGGAGGUUGGGAUUGCUGGGUUUGUUUAUGGGUUGGGGUGGAGGUUAAAGAAGAUGCUGAUGAAGUAGAAGAUUAGAAUUUUUUAUUUAAUUAAAUGAAGGAUUUAAUUAGUGUGUCUUAAUCAUUUUUUAAUGAAAAAAGAAAAAAAAAUCCACCAAGGCUCAUUAAUUGACGUGGCAAGGCCACAUCAGCUCCCAGAGCUCCGGCAUUGACCUAAACGGCCCGAGGGACCAAACUCAACCAUUUGUCAAAAAACUGGGACCAAUCCUCACAUUUAUGUCGGCGAUGGACUAAAACCAUAUUUAUGGCAAAACAUAGAGACCAAAAACUUAAUUAAGCGAAAAAUAAAACCCAUCCUACAUUGAUGAAGCCAGUCCCUUGUACUUUAAGAAAUCCGAAAAAGUCUCCAAAAAACCAGCAGAAAACGAAAUUAUUCAGACAAUUUUUUAACCAGUAGACAUCAUAUGCAACUCUAGAACAAACUAGACUAAGACCCGCGCGUUGCGCGGGCGGAUACAAUUAUUUCAAUAUUAAAAUUGGUUCAUUUUUACUUGUAGAUGUCCUUGAUAAAAGACAUAAGUUGAGUUACCUUUCAUUUUCAACCGGCACUUGUGUUUGGUUGACCUGAAUCUAUAGAUAACUAAUGGAAAUUAUGGAUGGUUCCCUCUACUUUUACAUGUCCAUUGAAGUAAGGAUCAACCAGUGUCAUGAGACACCAAAGCAUUUAUGAUUCUCAAGCAAGAAUUCAAAUGAGAAAGACAUCUAUAUAUCCUGUUUAUGAUCCACGGGCCCUUUUAUUGUUUUUUUUUUUUGUUGUCAAAUGGCCCUUUUAUUGUUCAAAUGAGAAAGAUAAGUUCAAGAAAUAGACUAUAGUACAACUAAAAUUCAUUUAAGAGCAAAUGAAAGCAGUAGAGUACAUGUAACAAAAUUCUUCGACAGUGGGCCUGUUUUUUUGGAUCAAAAGCCGGAAACAUUUCCAAUAGUUGCAGUGUUAAAGGGCUCUCUCCAUUAGAACUUUUUUGUUGCAAAAAGCACAAAUUGCAAAAGAAAUGCAUUAAAAAUAAAGUAGUAAUAAACUCAUUUCAUUGUCAAACAAAUUAAACUAACUGUGUAGCCUUCAUCCAUCAAUAAUAGAACUUCACUUCAAACACCAUUAAAACUAUCUCCUUAAAAAAUAAUCCAAAUGCAAAUAGUGUUAAAAGGUUCUGUAAAACUAUUUAGUUAUGCUAAAUUUAGAACUAAUUUGCAAACAAAUUAUACAUACUCAAUUCCUCCACUAUGAGCAAGAAUUAUCUUCUAUUACAGUUUACAGGGAAUAUCAUCAACAGAGGAAGAUAUUACAGUUCAAUAUGAGACUGCUAGAGACAAUUGAUCAUUGAUUAAGAAAAUUUAUAUAAGGGAAAAACUCCUUGACAAUGUGAAAAAGGAUUUUGAUGUCCCUAACCAACUCUGCAAGACCAGUCUCUCAAUCAAAGCAAAGACCAUCACUUCCUUCUUUGGUGCACCAAAUUAAAAAUCUUUCGGCUGCAAAUAAUGACAGAACAUAUAAAAGAGAAGUUCCGCAAACUUAAAAAACAGAACAAAAGAAAUGACAUGGUACAACAAUUCAAUCAAUAUCUAAUACAAAAACCGGAUCCAUGUUAAGUCAAUCAAUAUUUAAAACACCGACACCAUAUUAUUAAAUGAGAAAGACAUCUAUAUAUCCUGUUUAUGAUCCACGGGCCCUUUUAUUGUUUUUUUUUUUUGUUGUCAAAUGGCCCUUUUAUUGUUCAAAUGAGAAAGAUAAGUUCAAGAAAUAGACUAUAGUACAACUAAAAUUCAUUUAAGAGCAAAUGAAAGCAGUAGAGUAGAUGUAACAAAAUUCUUCGACAGUGGGCCUGUUUUUUUGGAUCAAAAGCCAGAAACAUUUCCAAUAGUUGCAGUGUUAAAGGGCUCUCUCCAUUAGAACUUUUUUGUUGCAAAAAGCACAAAUUGCAAAAGAAAUGCAUUAAAAAUAAAGUAGUAAUAAACUCAUUUCAUUGUCAAACAAAUUAAACUAACUGUGUAGCAUUCAUCCAUCAAUAUAGAUUGCUUAAUCAAAUUGGUAUCGAUAAGGAUGUAUUAAAUUUUCAAUCCUAUAUCUGAAGCCUUUUCCUUAAAGUCUGCACUUAAGUUCAACUUGUAUUUGACAUACAGGUAAGAGAAAUAAAUGAUCUCUUUUUGAGUAAAAAAAGUACAUAUGUUAGACAAAGAGGAUGCAGACAUAAACUGAGUGCCCUUAUUUAAUUUUACUAGUAUGAUGUGCAACUAUUAAAUUAUACUUAGAUAUAGAAGAAUGUAAUUAAUAUAGAAGAGUCGUGAUUGGUUAAUAUGAAAGGUGAUAAGUGAGGGAAAAUGUAUUAAAUGAGGGUAUAGGUGGAAAGAAAAGGGGAAAAAUUCAUUGGUAUCCUAAAACAACAAACUAUUUGGGAUAUUGAAAUCACGCCCAAAACUACAAACUUUCUGGAACGGAGGGAGUACAUGUUAGUCAAGAGGAUGCAGAUACACUCAAAAUGUAUAAUCGAACUUCACUUCAAACACCAUUAAAACUAUCUCCUUAAAAAAUAAUCCAAAUGCAAAUAGUGUUAAAAGGUUCUGUAAAACUAUUUAGUUAUGCUAAAUUUAGAACUAAUUUGCAAACAUAUUAUACAUACUCAAUUCCACUAUGAGCAAGAAUUAUCUUCUAUUACAGUUUAAAGGGAGUAUCAUAAAAAAACCACAACAGAGGAAGAUAUUACAGUUCAACAUGAGAUUGCUAGAGACAAUUGAUCAUUGAUUAAGAAAAUUUAUAUAAGGGAAAAACUCCUUGACAAUGUGAAAAAGGAUUUUGAUGUCCCUAACCAACUCUGCAAGACCAGGCUCUCAAUCAAAGCAAAGACCAUCACUUCCUUCUUUGGUGCACCAAAUUAAAAAUCUUUCGGCUGCAAAUAAUGACAGAACAUAUAAAAGAGAAGUUCCGCAAACUUAAAAAACAGAACAAAAGAAAUGACAUUGUACAACAAUUCAAUCAAUAACUAAUACAAAAACCGGAUCCAUGUUAAGUCAAUCAAUAUUUAAAACGCCGACACCAUAUUAUUAGUGAGAUGCAUUAUUCCAUAAAAAAUGAGAUGCCCCAAAAGAACUUUUGUCCUUAGAUGCUUUUGGUUGAGAAUAACACAAGCUACACAUUACAAAAUGGAGAGAGUCAACAACAAAGUGAGCACUCUUACACAGACUAAUAUAUCACUCCACCCANNNNNNNNNNNNNNNNNNNNNNNNNNNNNNNNNNNNNNNNNNNNNNNNNNNNNNNNNNNNNNNNNNNNNNNNNNNNNNNNNNNNNNNNNNNNNNNNNNNNNNNNNNNNNNNNNNNNNNNNNNNNNNNNNNNNNNNNNNNNNNNNNNNNNNNNNNNNNNNNNNNNNNNNNNNNNNNNNNNNNNNNNNNNNNNNNNNNNNNNNNNNNNNNNNNNNNNNNNNNNNNNNNNNNNNNNNNNNNNNNNNNNNNNNNNNNNNNNNNNNNNNNNNNNNNNNNNNNNNNNNNNNNNNNNNNNNNNNNNNNNNNNNNNNNNNNNNNNNNNNNNNNNNNNNNNNNNNNNNNNNNNNNNNNNNNNNNNNNNNNNNNNNNNNNNNNNNNNNNNNNNNNNNNNNNNNNNNNNNNNNNNNNNNNNNNNNNNNNNNNNNNNNNNNNNNNNNNNNNNNNNNNNNNNNNNNNNNNNNNNNNNNNNNNNNNNNNNNNNNNNNNNNNNNNNNNNNNNNNNNNNNNNNNNNNNNNNNNNNNNNNNNNNNNNNNNNNNNNNNNNNNNNNNNNNNNNNNNNNNNNNNNNNNNNNNNNNNNNNNNNNNNNNNNNNNNNNNNNNNNNNNNNNNNNNNNNNNNNNNNNNNNNNNNNNNNNNNNNNNNNNNNNNNNNNNNNNNNNNNNNNNNNNNNNNNNNNNNNNNNNNNNNNNNNNNNNNNNNNNNNNNNNNNNNNNNNNNNNNNNNNNNNNNNNNNNNNNNNNNNNNNNNNNNNNNNNNNNNNNNNNNNNNNNNNNNNNNNNNNNNNNNNNNNNNNNNNNNNNNNNNNNNNNNNNNNNNNNNNNNNNNNNNNNNNNNNNNNNNNNNNNNNNNNNNNNNNNNNNNNNNNNNNNNNNNNNNNNNNNNNNNNNNNNNNNNNNNNNNNNNNNNNNNNNNNNNNNNNNNNNNNNNNNNNNNNNNNNNNNNNNNNNNNNNNNNNNNNNNNNNNNNNNNNNNNNNNNNNNNNNNNNNNNNNNNNNNNNNNNCCUUGCCUAUACCCAUGCGUGGUGGUGAUGAUGUUUUGUUUUGGCCGGACACGGUGAAUGGCUCUUACACUUCAAAAUCAGGUUAUGCUUUUGUUCGAGCUUUCAAGGAGAGAACCUUGGCCUCCUCGUCUGCCUCCUCAGCUGUUGCGGUCUUGGAACCCGGGUUAUGGAAGAAGCUUUGGCACACCAUGGCUUUGCCUCGAUGUAAAGAGCUGGUUUGGCGAAUAUGUAAUGGCUUUGUGCCGGUGCGGAGCGUGUUACAUCGGCGAGGUUUGGACGUUGAUCCUUAUUGUGUAUUAUGUGGCAUGGCUGAGGAAACAGUAGAGCAUGUGUGGAUGGAGUGUGCUGUUACUAGAGCAUUCUGGUUUGCUCACCCUCUCUCUAUGCGGCUGGAUUUGUUCACAUCUCUAUCUGAUUUUAUACAGAGGUUUCUAGCAGAGGCCGAAUCGGAGGUGGUGGUUGUGUGGCAAACAGGUUCAUAUGUUCUGUGGGAAGCCCGGAAUAAGCUCAUGUUUGAAGGUCGUCGGUUCUCGUGUGAGGCUACGGCAACCAGCUGGGCUUCCCGCGACCUGGUCCAGGCCAGCUAUGGACAUAAUAAAUCAAUUUUGAUGCUUCAUUCAGAGGAGAUUCUCGAGCAGGGAUAGGGAUGGUUGCGCGUGACGGUGAGGGCUUGGUCCUCGCGGCAGCGGCUGAUUUUCCCGGGGGGGGUUCAUCGGCGGGGGGGGGGGGGGGGGGGGGAGGUGGGGGGGGGGGAAGACGGAUUGUCUCCAAUUAUUUCAACAAUGGAAGUUGCCACCUGACGGAGGAUCAUAUUUAUGCUCAAUUCUUAAUGAGUGUGCUCUUUUUAGUCGUUCUUUUAAUUCUAUGGUUUUUAAUUUUGUUAGACGCUCUGGGAACAUGGUUGCUGAUUUUCUAGCCAGGAAUGCCUCCUCAUUCGCCGGUUUAGUGUGCAUUGAGGAGGUACCUCCUGAAGCUAUUGUUUUUGUAAUCUCUGAUACUUUGGCGUCGAUGCCGGUUUCAAUUUAAGCAUUAUUGCAGUCUUUUAAAAAAAAACGUUAACUUAGUUGGUAAGAAUAAAACACUUCUCUCAAAAAAAUGUGUGUUCAAUUUAUACGGUUAAUCUUUAAGUACUCAGUAAGCGAUUUGGGGCCUCGAAGCCAUGCCCUGACUCACAGUGGGUGAUCAGAGCUGAACUCACCCAAACUUUAAUGGAAAUGUGAUAAAAGAGAAACUCAAAUGUUGAUAUAACAAAAUCCUUUUGAAAAUUAACAUUUGCAAGAAGAAUUUUACUUUCAUUUAGAACACAAAAUAUACGUGAAUACAUUGAUUACAACGAUGACAUUAUUUAUUACAUAAUUAAAAUGUGUCAUUCACAUAAUCAUUAAGUAGGGGUAUAUAAGUAUUUUGUCAUUAUAAAGUAGAGGUGAAUUGAAUUUGAUCCCUCCAAAAGAAUUCUACAGAUUUUUAUCAUCAACUUUAAUGAAAGGUGCCCACUAGAGUGGGCAAGUUUCAAACUGGUCCACCGGUGCACCAUAAUUUAUCACCAUUAGAUCUUGGCAUCUUGGAAUAUUCUUUAAUUUGAUGGUCAAGAAUGGAUGGAUGAAAAAAGGAUAAAAAUGUAAAUGUCAAACACUUCUUCCCCACUCCUUCCCCUUCUCGCCGGAACUAAAUCACAGGAACAAUCUGCUUUUCUCUUUUUUCCACUGGGCACAUUUUCUUAUCUGUUUCUAUUUUUUAUUUUACUUCUCCUCUUCUCCCUGCAUUUGUAAUUUUACCAUACAGUACUUCUUGUCCACACUUUUUUCCCAAGCUGUAGGCUAAUUGUAUUUUCUUUGCCUCUUCAUAAUUUUCCAUUUAUUCUAGGCAUAAAUCAAGCAGAUCCUACAACACACAUUCACAUAAACCUAGAAAUAUUCAAAAAUCGUGCAAUCAGAUGGAAGUAGAUAGGGAAAAACCAAUUUACAAAACUGGGUUCGAUUCACUCCUCCUUUCAGAUCUGGGUUCGAUUCACUCCUGGCACAAGGAAAAGAAAAUAAGAAAUAAGACAGUAACACCAUACCAAGGGAAACAGAUUGGAAAAAAACAGGAAAAAUAAACAGGGGAAAACCCGAGGCAAGACAGAGCAAGGUAGAUAGAGGUCGUGCUUUCACAUGGUGGUGGUGAUUUGCCAGAAGAAUAUGAAGAAGGAAGGCCAUGGUGGUGGGUAUUUUCCAGAAGAAGAAACGUGAAGAGGAUUGAGAGAGAGGAGAGAGGCGUGAGGGAGGAGAGAGAGUGUUUCUUUUUAAGAAUUGAAUUUUUAAUAUAUUUUUCAUUUUAUAAUUUACCCAUAUAACCUUGGUGCAUGGGUUGACCAAGUUUGAAAUUUGUCCACCCUAGUGGGCACCUAUGAAAAAGAUUAAUGGAAAAAGUACAAAGUUGAAAAGUAUGAAAUAAGUCACUAGAGUAGAAUGACUCUACUCUAAAAAUUUCCCCAACAUCCACAUUGGAUGCAUUACAUGCUACCUCAAAAGUAUUUAAGAAGGAGGUGAGUGAAGAAUGUAUCCAUUCAAAAGAUAAGUCAUGAGAGUCAUAAUAUUAACAAACUUUAUAGGAAGAUGUCAAAACAUUAUAAAUCACUCCUCAAAAUAAAAUAAAAUGAAUAAUUAUCAAAUUUAACAAAAACAUAUGUUCCCAUAAGUCUAACAAAAGUAGUUUUAAAAAAAUUAAUAAAUUUCUAUAAUAUGUUACAAGUUAAUGCAGUGAGGUUUCAGUGUCAUCUUGUUGCUUCUCCUCAAUGCUCACGGUGCUCCCACCCGAUAGAAGAUGUGCUACGAGGUGGUGACUUGGAUUCAAUCUCGGGUUCGAGGUCUGCAUUCUACCUUGUUUGACUCGGCUUUGUGGGGCUUGUGGAGGUGGCAUAAUGAGAGGGUGCUUGGGGAAGCUAAGUGGACGACACAUUACACAUACUCUUGGAUCCGGAAUAAGGAAAAAGAGUAUGAUCAAUACCUAGCUAAGGGUCAAGAGAGGAUUUUGGAACCUUUGCAGAUUGAUUGGUGGAAACUUCCUGCUUCUGGCUUUGUGUCUCUUACGAUUGAUGGUGCUUAUGAUUAUACUCAACGUCGUAUGGGUAUGCAUCCGUUUUCUUGCUUUUUAAGCUAAGUAAAGACUGACUACGAGCUAAGGAACGAAAAUCCAUGGACCGACCCCAUCGCCAAAAUCUGGAUUAUACCACAAUACUUAUUUUGGAGGUGUGGUGCGUGACAAACAUGGCAUGUGGCAAUUUGGAUUUUGCGUCGGUGUGCUUGAGGGUGAUCCUUAGCUGCAGAACUUAGUGCUCUUUGUAUGGAUUUUCAUCUUCUCUAGAGGAAGAAUAUUCGUAAGACAUACUGCGAGUCUGAUUGCAAGGAGGUUGUUGAUCUUCUUACAAGGAAGCGGUUUCGUCUGCAUGAGUAUGCUAGUAUGUUUAUGGACAUUCAUCUCUUGCUUGCUCGUCAUUGGGAUAUUAGGCUUCGUCACAUUCCUCGGGAAGCCAAUUGGUCGACAAAUUGCUUGGCAGGUUACGGAGCUUCCCAGCAGUAUGUUUUUACUUAUUUUGAUAAUCCUCUUCACAUUAUAGUGUUUGUUUCCCACUAAAAAAAAAAGACAUUUUUUUAUGUUACUUUUCAUUUUUUAUCAUACUAAAGAAUCUAAAAUAAUCACUUAUUUUCCCCUUCCACUUUUAUUUUCCAUCCAAACAAAGCAUAACGUUCUCAAUCUCUUCUCAGUUCUCAGUCACGUUCUCUCCUUCCUCUUCUCACUCGUUACGAGAUCGCCUCCGCCGUCACGUGUUUGCCUCCGCCAUCCGCCGUGUUCGCCGCCCGUACUCUCAGGUAAGGUCAUUCUCUUACCCUUAGCCUCUUUCCUUCACUCUGCUGCAGUGGGUACUUUUCGAUUUCUGGUUCCUUGAUCGCGCUCAACUGUAGUGUUCGAUUCGUAUUAUAUAUGUUUAAUUUGAGUUCAGAUCUCUUCGUAAAUUCUCAUUUCUCUCUGUGAUUUUGAUUGUAGCAAUGAGCAUACUGAACUUUCCUGUGGGUUUUGCAGGGAUUAUUCUGGCAGGGUUUUGAUAAUGGCAACCACUGCUUGUUUCAUCAUUGUUAGCAGAAAUGAUAUUCCUAUAUAUGAAGCUGAAGUUGGAGUAGCUGCUAAAGUAUGAUUCUUCUCAAUGUUAUUUUGUUUACCUCUCUAAACUUCAAGGUUUAAUUGAUUUAUCAUUUUUGUUUUAAUUUUUAACUUGUGGCGAGGCGAGCUAGAUAUUUGGUUUUUCUUACUAUUGAGUUGGAUUGACCACUCUGCAUCACUGUAGGUUAUGCAAUUUUAGAGGCAAAUUGAUGCCUGACAAAUGUUUAAGGGGGAUUCAAUUUACAUUAUAAUUUUUUCAUCUGAUUCAUGUAAAUGUUUUCUUUUGUAUCUCUUGCAUCGCCUUGUUUUGUAUGGUUAUGGAAGCAAGGAAUUCUUGUUUUAUCCCCCAAAUUUACGCGAUUUUGCAAUUUCUUGCUGCAUUGUGACAGAGGGAGGAUGCUGCUCAGCUGCAUCAGUUUAUCCUGCAUGCUGCUCUUGAUGUUGUUCAGGACCUUGCAUGGACUACCAGUGCCAUGUGAGUUACAUUUUCGGUUGAUACAUAAUCCACGUUCAAAUAUAAAACCCUGUCCUCAUUAUCCUCUUUUUGUGCUUGUGGUUGUAUUUAUUUUGUUCUUCUUCUCAGCAUCUUAUUCCUUCGCACUCUCUAUGCAGGUACUUGAAAUCGGUAGAUAGGUUCAAUGAGCUCGUGGUAUCAGUAUAUGUCACUGCUGGUCAUAUCCUUUACAUGUGGGAAUCAUUUUAUAAUUGAGACGAAAAAUUAUAUUGCUUUUCUUGUGUUGUUCACACACAAACAGACACACUCAUAUGUAUUGCUUUAUUCUUGUUUUGUUCAAAUAAAUGAAGUACUGAGACCCCGACUUUUAAGGAGUGUUUGAUUCAAUUUGCUUACUUAGUUCUAUGAUUGAGCCAUUCUCCUUGCCCUUCCCUUAAUACCCUUGCCAGUCACUGGUAAGGGAACAAAAUGAAAGAGUCACUAAUGGAGAAUUCUUUAACCAUACGUCCACACAUCUCUUUAUGCGUUUUAGUUUUUUUUUUUGUGAUAUCUUCCUUGACUCAUCAUACAUACCCGGUUUAUGUUGCUUCAUGACUCUCGUAAUGAUGAUGGUAUUAAGAGCUUCUUCCAAGAUGUGCAUGAGCUUUACAUAAAGGUAAUCUGUUUUUUCUUGCCCUCUAGAACAUUUUUCAAAUGUAGCCCUUUAUUACUUUUGUUGUUAAUUUCAAAUGUAGCCUUUUCUUAUUCUACUAAAGAAUAUUUCUCUUCAAAUGGGAUUGUGAUAAAGUUCAUUUUACCGGUUCUUAAAGCAUGCUUUACUGUCUUCAUUAUCAAUUACUGUUGGAAUUUUUUUUAUCUGGUUUUAUCAUUACUAAAUAACCAUGUUCUACAUUCCCCCCCUAAGUUUGCUGAAUUCCAUUCUUACCUGUUUUGGUCCUUUUGGAUGUUGAAUUAGACAUAUUCUUCAUUUGCCCCCCUUGUUAGCAUUUCAAUAUGUCACCGUAGCAUGCAUGCUGAAUUGUCUGGUACAUUAUUUUGAACUCAAAUGAUGAAAAUUGCACUCUAAUUUGUUGUACAAGAUUCUUCCUCCAGGAAUAGGCAGAAUGCAAGAUGCAAAAUAAGUUUCCAAUGACCAUCGUCUUAGUUGGGGUUUCAGCUACUUUUUAUUUUCUUUUUCCUGUGCUAGGAUAUGAUUGGCAACACUCCUAUCAGUUAUAGAAGUUUAAGUUACUAAUUGUCUACUUGAUUUGGUUGUGAUGAUAAAUAUGUAGAUACUUGAGCUAAUUCUUUGCAAACAUACUCUAUUACAUGGAUUGUGAAAUAAGUAACUUUAUUUCUGUGUUUUUUUUUUGGGAAAUUGCAGACUCUUCUUAAUCCCCUGUACUUGCCUGGCUCCCGGAUCACAUCAUCACAUUUUGACACAAAAGUCCGUGCCCUUGCUCGCAAGUAUUUUUAGAAACCACUAGCUCCUGAGAAUCAGUGGUUAACAAGUUGCUAGUUUAUAUAGCACUGAGGCCUUACUCCUAUAUUGUUAGUUCUUGACAAGUUUCGGAAAGCAUUUUAUUCCCCUCAUGAUUUGGCUGCAAAGGUAGUUUUGCUUGUCUAUAAUGUUGUGUAUCUGGUAAUAGCAGAAGGCUGUAUUUUCUAAUGAGAUGAAGGUGAUAUGCUGGCAAAAGCUGUUUCAUUGCUGGUGGCUAUUUGUAAUACAUACUAAUCUUAUUUUUGAUAUUCAACCCUCUUUUUUGGUGAAAAGAUAUUCAACCAUACGAUUUAAGUGGUAAAGAUUAACUUUUGUUUCCUUUAUGCUUCAAAAUUGUUAAAUUUGAACUUACAUUAAACAUCUCGAAAUAUUAGUGUCACCUUUCCUAAAGAUUUCUUUUUUUCUCAACAAUUCCUAAAAGAUUUAAAAGGUUAUUCGUCUUUGUAACCAAUUAAAGUGAUAAUGUGAAAAUAAAAAUUUAGCAUCUAUAUAAAUAUGCUUGGAAUAUUUAAUUUAAUAAAAAAUAGGAGUCCCAAGCUGACAUGAUGAUAUUCUGCCAUGAUUUUAACAAUUAACAAAGUAUGUGUUUUCUAUACCAUGAUGAUAUUUUACUAUGAUUUUUUUUUUCCAAAUAAAUAGUCUCUGAUGAUUUGAAAUGAUAAAUCUUACCGUUCCUUUCCCUUAAAAAACCUACAGAAACUAACUCAAACAAUGUUGAAUCAAGCGAGUAGGAUGCAUGACUAGUCAAUUCUUGCCUCCAUUAUGCAUUUUUUUUUUAGAAUUCCCAAAUCAGUUUGCCCAUAUCAAAUUACCCCUUAUGAUGCAAUAACUUGGAUUACUCUUAGAUCAAGGGUAGUCAUGCUUCUAUUUUAGCAGCAACUCAGAGGGCUAUGAAAAUGGAGAAAUAGCAUGUUUUUUUUACGAUGAGCCUUGGGAUUUCACCUCUGCUUGGCGUCAUAUUUGCUCUGAUUAUGGUGAGAAGCCGCAGUUUAUAUCAACUGGAAAUGGAGAACCCUGUUUUUCUUUCUUGUGUCUGAAAUAACAUCCUCCUUCCGCUCAUUUUUUAAAACUCAAUGUGGAUCAUGAGAGCUAUAAUCCCACUUUGAAUUUAAUCUUAGAUUGGAGACAUCGUUAGAAAUGAGCAUGGGAAUUUGUUCCUGUUCAUGGUGAUGCCUUGUUAGCAGAGAUUUUGGCACUGGAAAGAGGAUUGGAAAUUCUUUGGAAAAUUGAUGAGAAGAAAGAAAUAUGUGAAACUGAUUCUACUGAGGUGAUUUCUCUCCUUUAUGAUUCUUAUGGGCUUCAGUUUUCUUUUCUUUUCUUUCGAAAGCAAAAUAUAUAUAAAUAAAUAGAUGAGGAAAAUGUUCAGGAAAUACAACCCUCCUCAAUAGGAACAAAAAGCUAGCAAAGCCCGAUAACAACCUAUCCUAAACGGAGGAACAACCAACCAAAACCAAACCUAAGAGAACCCGAAAGACGAAGGGGAAAUGAACCCCUGCAAAGCUAAGAGGUCAACACUCAGUUUUAUAGAUACCGUAGCAACUUCUCUAAUAUCUUGCAAUUACUUAAUCAGGAUCGUGUGUUGCAGCUAUCUCAUAUUCCUAGAGAAGCUAAUUCUCCACACAAAAGAAAUCCCCCAUGCCAAAUCAUGGUUGGGCAUGCAAAUAAACAGUCGUAACGUUUGUAGUUUAUUGCAACUCAGGAAAGCUUAAAGACAUUAUCAUUUUUUUUUAAAUCGCCUUCUAAAUAAAGGUUCCGUUCGAAAUGAAGGAACCCUGUUGGAGAAGCUAUGACUGCAACCAAAACAUUCUACAUUAGCAAUACACCUUGGAUCUUCAUAUAAAAGCCACAACAACAAAUUGCAUGAGACAAUAAUACUCAGAUCAAGGGAGCAAACUCUACUACACGGACAAAAACCAGAAGAGCUUUACUGCACACAUAACUUGAAACCAAUAAGAUUCAGAUAAGAUAAUUUUUUUAAGCAGGUUGAAGUAGGCAGUAAUACUCUAGUGGUAAAAUUUGUGAGAGAAGUAACAAUUCUUUAAUCUAACUUACAAACAAACCAAAGUUUGAAAAUAGUUCAUUCUUCUUCUGAGGAGCCUAAGUUGAAAAUAAGCUACACUCAAAACAUACCUAGGUGUAGCAAUAAAUAAUUGGACUGCGAAGUUAAUCAGCAUAUAAGAAAAAAUAAGUUUGUACAGAAAAACGGGGAAAAAAUCUCAGUUAAAUCUCCAAAUCAUCCACCAUGGAAUUUAGCAUCAAAACAAAUAAAUUGAAUAGAAAACAGAUAUCUAGUAUGAUUAAAUAGUCAUCGCUUGAGAGAGCUACUCAUCUUGCACUCAUCAUAACAGGAAAACUCAGAAGUUUCUCACUUUUUCAGUGUGACUCACCUGUUAAUAGUCCCUAUUUUCUUCACCAUUUUGUUAUUUCCAAAUCAUCAAUCAUAUGAAAGAGUAAACAUCUUAAGCCCAAAUGUACUUCAAUCAAGGUGCCAAAAAGCGAUGAAGUCCUAGUAAUUAUCCCCAUAAUGACAUAGUUUUAUGGGAAUAUAGACAAAAAAAAGAUUAAUAUCCAUGUAUCUAGGAAUAUAUGCAAAAGAGUUAGAUUAAUACAUCUAUGUAUCAAGUGUUGGCCUAACCUCUUCUNUUUCAUGCUUCAACUCAUAUAAUCUACUGAGCACUAAGUUACGUAGCUUAUCUGAUUUUGUCCCAAAGUAACAUAGUAUGGAAGAAAUAAAUGCCGAACUGCCAUAACGUACAAUUUUUAACAUAAUAUCACUAGACACUGGUGGUAAGGAACGUUGCCAAAAUUGAGCACUUUUCAUAUUUGAGUACAUGAAUGGCAUGACAGCAAGGAAAUCCCAAUGUCUCAAACUUCAAGCAUGAGCAUUUAAGAGGACCACUAGGCUUGACCAUAACAUCAUAGACUAAAUUCUGAUUCUCAGUGUUACACAAUCUGUAUUUUCUGUGGGUUGUGCCAGCAUCUUUGCUUAACACAAACAAAAGAGUCUCCAAUUUCAUCUCUGAAAGAAACUUCUUGAAAGACUCCCUAGUAAACACAUCAGCAGCAUGUUUCACAAGAGGAUUUGAGAGAGCCACUUGAAAAAUGGCAGAUUUACACUCAGCCUUCCCCUCCUCCCGCCAGAGUGCAUUAAUCGCGUAUUCAAACUCGUUGAGAAAUUCAUGUAGUUUCAGUUUAUUUUGUGAAGACUUCCUCAAAUGUUUAUCAAUGCUUUCACAUAUUUUCGUGCUUUGCAAUCCAGCAGAGAAACUUCCCCUCAAGUAAGUCUCUGCCCACAUAUGACGUUCCCUAUGCAUCCUUUGUAUCCAAGGAUUUUCAGACACUUUAUACAUUUCAACCAUUCUUUUCCAUGUAAGCUCAAAAUCAUCUUGUGAUAGAACCUCCAACAUGCAUGCUUUGAAAUCAGAUAUGAAGAAUGGGUUAUUAACAUUGUCGCGUGCUAUUUUCUCAAGAUGCUGUGUGCAUAGGCGGUGCCUUGAUCGCGGCAACACAAGCUUAAUAGCUUCACGGAUAGCUUGAUGAUCAUCAGUCACCACUGAUAGGGGCAUGCAACCCUGCAUUACAUGAAGGAAUGUUUGAAAUAACCACGUGUAGGCCUCGACAGUCUCAUCUUGAAGCAAAGCACAUCCAAAUACACAUGUCCGAUGAUGAUGGUUGAGACCAGUCAACACUACAAAGUGCAUCAUGCAUAACUCUGUCCUGUAAACUGCCAUCACCUCUCCAAAGCAUGCAUAAUCUAACUGAGAUAUAGAGUCUGCCCAAAAAAGAGAUGUUAAAUGGCCUUCAACAAAUUUUGUUUCAUAGAAUAAGCCAUUGUCUGAGUCCUUCUUAGCACUUAGAAAAUCAAGGGCAGCUUCCACAUCACUGAUUGGAAUCUCAGAUCUACAAGGGGCUUGAGCAUUAACCAAUCUUUUCCUUUUCGCAGAUUCCACAUCACUCAUUGCAAUCAACGCACUACAAGGGGCUUGAUCAUUAACCACUCUUUUCCUUUUCACAUUCACUAAAUUCUUCGGAGAAGAAUCAAUUUGGAGAUGAGAUUUGCAUGUUGGAGUCAGCUCAUGAUGUAUGUGUGCUUCCACAAACUCUUUUACAGACCACUUAUGGUUGACAACGUGUCUGCAAAAUGCAGCAAAACAAUUAAAUCCAUCUUCUAGAUGAUUCUUUUGCUGAAAGCCUUCUUCAGCAAAUUGCAUGGGAAUGACAUCAAUUUCAGUCAACCUUUGCAGUUCCCUUGAAUUGUCCGCAUUUAUAAUCUUGAAACUACCAUCCCUUCUUUUAUUUUGUACAAGAAUAGGAAACAUGUUGUGAUAGUCCUGAUUGUUAUCCCUGAUGAAGAAGCUGCCACAACAAGCACCACCAUUAAGGCUCAUCACAUUCGACCCACUUACAUUUGUUUCUUUCCCUUCGACCAUAAUUGAUGUUUUAAGAAAGCCUGCAAGAAAAUAAAUACAUUUUUCAUUGAUAAGUACACAUUUUUUCCAGCAAUUUCAGAGAAGGAAAUGGUGAAAACAACAAAAUCUAUUCUUCAUCUGUUGCCCUCUUCCUAACAAUCCACCAAUAAAGAUUCCCCAAAUAUGAUCCUUCCUACCUAUGAAGUAUCGACUCCGAUACGACAUUGAAACCGCAACACAGCUUACCUCCAAAAAGUAGGACAUUGGGACACUGUUUAUAUGUAUCUAUAUAUAUACCUAUAUGCUGUAUGUAUAUCUAUAUUUUUAAAGUCAAAACAAGUUCGUAUCUAUACGAAGAGAACAUACAAAAAAUUUCCUAAGCUCUAUAACAACGAGCACACAAAAGAACACUAAGAGACACCAUUUUACAAAGUAACCACUACUUUGUCUCAAAUAAGAAGAGCUAAUCUAUCUAACAGAUUUUGCCUCCUUCUUGACCAUCUUCAUUGAAAAGUAGCCUCUCUCCAUUAGCUAUUUCUUUUAUGCUUUGUAUUUUUAAUUUUUUUUUCAAAUAAUGUUAGUGUCUUAGAGGUAUCCAGCAAACAAGAGGUAUCGGCUCAAGUGUCCGAACCGGAAAAAAUACUUUUUAUUCAGCACCGCGAAUAAGUGUCUGACACAUCGUGUCAGUGUCGUACGAUAGUGAUGUUGUGUCUGACACCGGACACUCUAUAUUUCAGAGGUGUCCGUGCUUCAUAGCCUACCAUAUUAAUACUAUGUGCAUUUCAUAGAAUGGAGGAAUAAAAUUGCAGAGGAAGGGAAGCAAGUGGAAGGAACAUUAACUGUUGCUUGCUUCUCUCCUUCACUCUGCUUUCCUUCAUGAUGGAGUUCCGGUUUUUAUGUCGGGGACUCAAUUUUGAAAGGACCCAAAAACAGAUUGAGCAGGAUAUUGAAUAAAACACUACAUAGUGCUUUUGAAAACGCAAGCAAGCACGUACCUUGGUAUUGGAAUGUAGUGAUGGGUGUGAUAAGUUUCAGUAAAGUGCGCAGUGAAACCACAAGAUUUUUCCUUUUUGCAUUCACUAAAUUGUUCUGAGAAGGAUCAAUUUGGUGAUGUGGUUUGCAUGUUGGUGACAACCGAUGUGUGUGUGUUGCCACAAAGUCUCUUACUAACCACUUAUGGCUAACAAGGUGUAUGCAAAAUGUAGCAAAGCAAUUAAAUCCAUCUUGUAGAUAUUUCUUUUGCUGAAAGCCUCCUUCACAGUUACAAGCCCAUCUUUUCUGGACAACCUCACCAUGCUCGUUUCUUUUUAUAUAAUCCUCUUCAACAACAAAGCCUAUAGCUGAAGCAUAUUUAUGGUAAAAGGAUUCCCCAGCUUCACAAGAAUCAAAUUGAAUGGAAAGGACAUCAAUACCAGUCAACCCUUGCAAAUAUUGUGAUAGUCCUGAUUGUUAGACCGGAUGAAGAAGCUGCCGCAUCCAGCACCACCAUUAAGGCCCAUCACAUUCCACCUACUUACACUAAUUUCUUUCCCUUCCACCAUAAUUGAUGCUUUAAGUAGGGCUGCAAGUAAAGAGGGAAAAAUAAGUACUCUUUUGUCAUUGAUAAUCACAACAAUUUCAGAAAAGGAAUUGGUGGAACAUCAAAAUAUAUUCUUCAACCAUUCCUCUCUUCCUAACAAUCGACCAAUCAAGAUUCUUCAAAUCUGAUCCUUCCUAACUAUGAAGUACCGACUACCGACUCCAACACGACACAACUGACAUACAAAAUGUAGGACACAGGGACGCCGCUUAUAUGUAUAUGUACAUAUGUGAGUACCCAUAUUCUUAAAGUCAACACAAGUUAGUCUCUUUCCUUAGAAAACAUGAAAACAAAUUCCUAAACUCAAUGACAAAGAGCUACACAAAAAAAAAAAAAAAAAAACUAAGAGACAUCAUUUUACAAAGCAAUCACUUUGUCAUAAAUAAGAACUAAUUUCUCUAACCUUUCCAGUCUUUUUCUUGAUCAUUAUCAUUGAAAAGAACCCUCUAGCUCUAGUUCAUCAAGUGACAAAUUAACAAUUUUUUUACUUUUAAAAAAUAUUUAUUUCAAAUAAUAUAAGAGGUGUCGGCUAACCUGUUCGAACAAGUCGUAAACGAAUGUCAAUGUUGAUAUCACCGACACCAGGACAUUCUAUUUCACUGCAUGUGCUUCAUAGCUUCCUACCAUACUAAAACUAUGUGAAUGGAAGCAUAAAAGGAACAUUAACCGUCAUGAUCAAGUUCCUAUUCUAUUUUUAUGUCCCAUGACUCAAUUUGGGGAGGACCCAGAAAAAGAUUGAAUAAAACUAUACUUAAUGCUCUUGAAAAGGAAGGGAAGCACGUACCUUACCUUGGUAAUGGAAUGGUGCGGUGGUUGUGAUCAGUUUCGGUGAGACGUGUGCACUGUGCAGUGAAAGUGAAACCCCAAAACACAACACAAUCCUUCCUAAAUCUUCAUGUAAGAUAGGAAAUAGAGAAACAAAAUAUGAUAGUAUUUUAAAAUGUCCAACAUUUGUUCAGAAAUAACCAAAAUGCCAUUACUCUGGCGGGAAAAAGCUAACGAAACAGAGUUGGAGUUGGCCAGUUUUGAGUGUGUGUUUGGGUUGAGUUUUAGUUUGCUUUUGGUUCCACUUUCCAAGACAAUAAGGCUAUGUUUGGCAUGUCAUUUCAGCNNNNNNNNNNNNNNNNNNNNNNNNNNNNNNNNNNNNNNNNNNNNNNNNNNNNNNNNNNNNNNNNNNNNNNNNNNNNNNNNNNNNNNNNNNNNNNNNNNNNNNNNNNNNNNNNNNNNNNNNNNNNNNNNNNNNNNNNNNNNNNNNNNNNNNNNNNNNNNNNNNNNNNNNNNNNNNNNNNNNNNNNNNNNNNNNNNNNNNNNNNNNNNNNNNNNNNNNNNNNNNNNNNNNNNNNNNNNNNNNNNNNNNNNNNNNNNNNNNNNNNNNNNNNNNNNNNNNNNNNNNNNNNNNNNNNNNNNNNNNNNNNNNNNNNNNNNNNNNNNNNNNNNNNNNNNNNNNNNNNNNNNNNNNNNNNNNNNNNNNNNNNNNNNNNNNNNNNNNNNNNNNNNNNNNNNNNNNNNNNNNNNNNNNNNNNNNNNNNNNNNNNNNNNNNNNNNNNNNNNNNNNNNNNNNNNNNNNNNNNNNNNNNNNNNNNNNNNNNNNNNNNNNNNNNNNNNNNNNNNNNNNNNNNNNNNNNNNNNNNNNNNNNNNNNNNNNNNNNNNNNNNNNNNNNNNNNNNNNNNNNNNNNNNNNNNNNNNNNNNNNNNNNNNNNNNNNNNNNNNNNNNNNNNNNNNNNNNNNNNNNNNNNNNNNNNNNNNNNNNNNNNNNNNNNNNNNNNNNNNNNNNNNNNNNNNNNNNNNNNNNNNNNNNNNNNNNNNNNNNNNNNNNNNNNNNNNNNNNNNNNNNNNNNNNNNNNNNNNNNNNNNNNNNNNNNNNNNNNNNNNNNNNNNNNNNNNNNNNNNNNNNNNNNNNNNNNNNNNNNNNNNNNNNNNNNNNNNNNNNNNNNNNNNNNNNNNNNNNNNNNNNNNNNNNNNNNNNNNNNNNNNNNNNNNNNNNNNNNNNNNNNNNNNNNNNNNNNNNNNNNNNNNNNNNNNNNNNNNNNNNNNNNNNNNNNNNNNNNNNNNNNNNNNNNNNNNNNNNNNNNNNNNNNNNNNNNNNNNNNNNNNNNNNNNNNNNNNNNNNUCACUAAAUUGUUCUGAGAAGGAUCAAUUUGAAGAUGUGAAUUGCAUGCUGGUGACAACCCAGAAUGUGUGUGCGUUGCCACAAAGUCUCUAGCUAACCAAUUAUGGCCCAUCACAUUCAACCCACUUAUAUUUCUUUCUUUCCCUUCCACCAUAACUGAUGCUUUAAGUAUGGCUGCAAGAAAAGAGGGGAAAAUAAGUACUUUAUUUCAUUGAUAAGCACACGUUGUUUUCAGUAAUUUGGGAAAAUGAAACAGGUGAAAACAACAAAAAUCUAUUCUUAAUCCGUUCCUCUAUUCCUAACAAUCAACCAAUAAAGAUUCCCCAAAAGUGAUCCUUCCUAACUAUGAAGCACUGACUCCAACAAGACACUGGCACCGCGACACGGCUAACCUCCAAAAAGUAGGACAUUAUUUAACUGGGAUAUAGAGUCUGCCCAAAAUACAGAUCUUAAAUGGCCUGCAACAAAUUUUGUUUCAUAGAAUAAGCCAUUGUCUGAGUCCUUCUUAGCACUUAGAAAAUCAAGGGCAGCUUCCACAUCACUGAUUGGAAUCUUAGAUCUACAAGGGGCUUGAGUAUUAACCAAUCUUUUCCUUUUCGCAGAUUCCACAUCACUCAUUGCAAUCAAAGCGCUACAAGGGGCUUGAUCAUUAACCACUCUUUUCCUUUUCACAUUCACUAAAUUCUUCUGAGGAAAAUCAAUUUGGAGAUGUGAUUUGCAUGUUGGAGACAGCUCAUGAUGUGUGUGUGCUGCCACAAACUCUUUUACAGACCACUUAUGGCUGACAAGGUGUCUGCAAAAUGCACCAAAACAAUUAAAUCCAUCUUCUAGAUGUUUCUUUUGCUUAAAGCCUUCUUCAGCAAAUUGCAUGGGUAGGACAUCAAUUUCAGUCAACCUUUGCAGUUGCCUUGAAUUAUCCGCAUUUAUAAUCUUGAAACUACCAUUCCUUCUUUCAAUUUGUACAUGAUUAGGAAACAUGUUGUGAUAGUCCUGAUUGCUAUCCCUGAUGAAGAAGCUGCGACAGCCAGCAUCACCAUUACGACUCAUCACAUUCAACCCACUUACAUUUGUUUCUUUCCUUUCGACCAUAAUUGAUGUUUUAAGAAAGCCUGCAGGAAAUAAAUACAUUUUUCAUUGAUUAGUACACAUUUUUUCAGCAAUUUUGGAAAAGGAAUCCAUGAAAACAACAAAAUCUAUUCUCCAUCCGUUGCCCUCUUCCCUACAAUCCACCAAUAAAGAUUUCCCAAAUAUGAUCCUUCCUACCUAUGAAGUACUAACUCCGAAACGGCAUUGAAACUGCGACACAGCUAACCUCCAAAAAGUAGGACACUAGGAAACCGGUUAUAUACACACACACACUCAAAGUCAAAAUAAGUUAGUAUCUAUACAAAGAGAACAUACAAUUUCCUAAGCUCUAUAACAACGAGCUACACAAAAGAACACUAAGAGACACCAUUUUACAAAGUAACCACUUUGUCUUAAAUAAGAAGAGCUACUCUAUCUAACAGUUUUUGCCUCCUUCUUGACCAUCUUCAUUGAAAAGUAGCCUCUCUCCAUUAGCAAUUUCUUUUAUGCCUUGACUUUUAAAAUUUAUUAAUUUUUCAAAUGAUACAAGUGUCUUAGAGAUAUCAAGCCAAUGAGAGGUAUCUGCUCAAGUUUCCGAACUGGAAAAAAUAUUUUUAUUCAGACAUCGUGAAGAAGUGUCUGACACGUGGUGUCCAUGCUUCAUAGCCUACCAUAAUAAAACUUUGUGCAUUUCAUGGAAUGGAAGCAUAAAAUUGCAGAGGAAGAAAAGAAAGUGGAAGGAACAUUAACCAUUGCUUGGUUCACUCCUUCACCCUGCUUUCCUUCAUGAUCGAGUUCCGAUUUUUAUGUCCCAUGACUUAAUUUUGGAAGGACCCAAAAACAGAUUGAACAGGAUAUUGAAUAAAACACUACUUAAUGCUCUUAAUAACGCAAGCAAGCAUGUACCUUGGUAUUGGAAUGUAGUGAUCGGUGUGAUAAGUUUCAGUAAAGUUCGCGGUGAAACCACAAGUUCUUUCCUUUUCGCAUUCACUAAAUUGUUCUGAGAAGGAUCAAUUUGAAGAUGUGAAUUGCAUGCUGGUGACAACCCAGAAUGUGUGUGCGUUGCCACAAAGUCUCUAGCUAACCAAUUAUGGCCCAUCACAUUCAACCCACUUAUAUUUCUUUCUUUCCCUUCCACCAUAACUGAUGCUUUAAGUAUGGCUGCAAGAAAAGAGGGGAAAAUAAGUACUUUAUUUCAUUGAUAAGCACACGUUGUUUUCAGUAAUUUGGGAAAAUGAAACAGGUGAAAACAACAAAAAUCUAUUCUUAAUCCGUUCCUCUAUUCCUAACAAUCAACCAAUAAAGAUUCCCCAAAAGUGAUCCUUCCUAACUAUGAAGCACUGACUCCAACAAGACACUGGCACCGCGACACGGCUAACCUCCAAAAAGUAGGACAUAUGGACACCACUUAUAUUUAUAUGUAUAAAUGUGUGCGUAUCUAUAUUCUCAAAGUCAAGACAAGUUAGCCUAUAUACAAAGAAAACGUAAAAACAAUCUCCUAAGCUCUAUAACGAGCUAUAGAAAAUAUUACUUGAUGCUUUUGAAAAGGAAGGGAAGCAUGUACCUUCCUUCUUAGCACUUAGAAAAUCAAGGGAAGCUUCCACAUUACUGAUUGGAAUCUCAGCUCUAAAAGGGGCUUGAGCAUCAACCAAUCUUUUCCUUUUCGCAGCUUCCACAUCACUCAUUGCAAUCAAAGCACUACAAGGGGCUUGAUCAUUAUCCAAUCUUUUCCUUUUCGCAGGUUCCACAUCACUCAUUGCAAUCAAAGCACUACAAGGGGCUUGAUCAUUAUCCAAUCUUUUCCUUUUCCUUUCCACCAUAUUUGAUGCGUUAAGAAAGCCUGCAAGAAAAUAAAUACAUUUUUCAUUGAUAAGUACAUAUUUUUUCAGCAAUUUGUGAAAAGGAAACGGUGAAAACAACAAAAUCUAUUCUUCAUCGAUUUCCCUCUUUCUAACAAUCCACCAAUAAAGAUUCCCCAAAUAUGACCCUUCUUACCUAUGAAGAACCAAUUCCGAUACAACAUUGACACCACGACAUGGCUAACCUCCAAAACGUAGGACACUGGGAAAGAACACUAAGAGACACCAUUUUACAAAGACCACUUUCUCUCAAAUAAGAAGAGUUAAUCUAUCUAACAGCUUUUGCCUCCUACUUGACCAUCUUCAUUGAAAAGUAGCCUCUAGCUCCAUUAGGAAUUUCUUUUAUGCUUAUGUUAGAAAUAAUAAUAUAAAAUCAUUCAUGUCUCAUGACUCAAUUUUGGAAGGACCCCAAAACAGAUUGAACAUGAUAUUGAAUAAAACACUACUUAAUGCUUUUGAAAAGGCAAGCAAGCACGUACCUUUGUUUAGGAAUGAAGCGAUGGGGGUGAUCAUUUUCGGUAAAGCGUUCAGUGAACCCACAAUUUUUUUUCUUUUGGCAUUCACUAAAUUGUUCUGAUAGUCCUGAUUGUUAUCCUGGAUGAAGAAGCCGCCACAUCCAGCACCACCAUUAGGGCCCAUCACAUUCGAUUCACUUACAUUUCUUUCUUUCCCUUCCACCAGAAUUGACAUAUUAAGUAGGGCUGCAAGAAAAUAGGGGAAAAUAAGUACUUUAUUUUCAUUGAUAAUCACUUCUUGUUUUCAGCCAUUUUGGAAAAGGAAAUAGUGAAACAUCAAAAUCUACUCAUUAUCUGUUCCUCUCUUUCUAUCGAUCAACCAAUAAUGAUUACUCAAAUAUGAUCCUAUUCCUUCCUACCAUUCUAAAACUAUCAGCUCGUUUGCAUACAGGCUUAUUGAAGCUUAUCGGGAAAAAAACGCGCUAAAUAAGCUCGAAUAAGUGCUAUUUGAUUUGCAUCCAAAAGGGUAUGAUUAGGUAUAUUUCAUGGACUUGAAGCAUAAAAUUUCACAGAAGAAGGGAAGAAAGUGGAAGGAACAUUAACCGUUGCUUGCUUCCACUCCUUCAUGAUCAAGUUUCUAUUUUUACGUCCCAAGACUCAAUUUCAGAAGGACCCAAAAACAGAUUGAACAUGGAAUUGAAUAAAAGUUAUAAAACAUUAAUCUUGAGAGCAAGGAAGCACGUACCUUCAUAUUGGAAUGGAGCCAUGGUUGUGGUACUGUGAUCAGUUUCGGUAUGUUGUGCAGUGAAACCACCAAACACGACACAAUGCUUCCUCAAUCUUCAUGAAAUAUAGGAAAAUGGGAAAUGAAAAUGUCCUUCAGUUGUUGAGAAAUCACCAAAAUGCCAUUGUUCUGGCGGGAGAAAAACUGCAGAAACUGAGUUGGAGUCAGACAGCUUAGAGUGUGGAUUUGGAUUUUGAUUAGAGUGGUUUUAGUUUGCAUUGGAAAGUGGGAUCUCACUUUGCCACUUUCCUAGGCAAUAAUGAAAUCAGUAAUCAUAUCUUAGGCUCAUUUUUUUAUUUUACAUGCAGCAAAGUUCUCUCUCCUACGCUUAUACUCUAUAGUCUAUACUCCCUCCGUUUCUGAUCUAUUGUUGUUUUAACUUUUGACCUAAAUUCCAAAACUUUUGUUGUUUUACAAACCCAAUGCAUUUUUUCUCUAUUUUUUCCAUGUAUGGGUUUAUUACUAUAUCUCUCACCAACCACCUCUUAUUUCUACCAAUCAAAAUCAUAACAAGUUUAUUAACCAAUAACUAUCACUCUCUCUUCACUCUAUCUCAACAUUAAAUAAGGGUGUUUAUGUCAACAAAUUUAUCAAUGAUUGCACUCUUAAACAAUGUGCAUAACCUUAAACAACAAAAGAUCAGGAAUGGAGGGAGUAUUUUCAAUGUAGCUUGUUUCGUUUGUGAGUUACAAAAAAGACAAAAGUACAAAGCUUUCACAACAAGGAAGGCAAUCAAAAUAAAUGAUACAUACAUUUCACUUUCUUUCAAAUCUCAUUUUCACUCUUUUUUCUGUAUUUUAUGUCAUAUCAUUAACUGCUCUCAUUUUUUUUUCACAUUUAAAAAUGGUGAAAGUGAUGGAAAACUCAACAUUUAUUCAUAACUAUUGCGAUAUUAUUUACUAUUUUUUUUAAUUAAUUUUAGGUGAAUUUUGUGGUAACCAAAAAUUAUUUUGUGUAAUACUCGCAUUAAGUGACUUAAUAGAUUAUUGUCAUGUGUGAUGAAAUUUUGACUGUCGAGGCUUAUUGACGACAUAGAGACCGACAGUUGAAGAUCGUGGUUGGCGAAGGAUGAAAAUGAUGGUGCAGUUUCAAACAUCUUUGGAACAAAAUUUUGUAGACAAGAAAGGUUGAAAACGAUGUGAAGGAUUACUUUGUAAGUAAUUAUAACAAUAUUCACAUUAAAAAUUUAUAAAAGAGAAUAUUAAUACAAAUAUAUGAAUGUUUCUCGAUCAGAGCAUGUAUAUUUAUUAGUACACGUCAUUUUACUUGAUUUGACUUGAGAUACUCCAACAAUAUGGGUAUUUAUUCUUUUAAUAUUUCCUUUCAUAUAUAUGAGAGAAGUCAUAGGGAAAUCUCUCACUUUUCAUUAAUCAUAUCAUUUGAAUCUAGCAAAAAAAAUUAAAAAUGGAAUAAUUUUCAAUUUUUUAAAAUCUUCCCAAGUUCUUAAGUUUUAUAGAUAAUUAUAAGGUGAACCAUCUUUAAAACAAUCUACUGACCUACAUAGUAAUUUAACAUAAACAUGCAUUUCAAAUUGCCUUAAACUCAAUGUUCUACCUUCUACCAUGGCAUCUGUCAACCACCAAUCUUGGAUUGUCGAUUACCAACCCUACUCUCUAAUCCCUCUGCACUCAUCUCCCUCUCCCCCCACCUACACACUCCCCUAUAAAUUUUGGCUGCAUUUAAAUACUCGUUGGUAAUGGUGCUAACAGACGUUAACACUCAAUGAACGUUAACACUCACUUCAAGGUAAAAGGUGAACACAAAAGUUCGUCACAUUAACUCGAUUAAUAUUUAAACACAAGAUAGUUUAAAACUUAUAAUAGAACAUCAGGAGAACCACAAUAUUUGACCGCAAGAGUUAUCCCACAGUGAUGAAAGUCGAUAUAUCCCGGAAUUACAAUUGCCUUCAAGAAAUAAAGAAUAUUGUGACAUUUCUAUUAUUGCAUUGCAUGUCAUGGCAUGUUUGGAAAAACUCCUACAAGUGAAUCUAAAGUCAUAAUCAAUUCUAGAGAGAAGCUUCUAGAUCCAAGAAAUGAUUAUAAGAAAAGGAGAAGUCGAUCCAAACAUGCUAAUAUGACUACUGUGUGCAAUUAUAUAAGAGACCUGGGAAAAAUGGCAAUUAGGUCCCUUUGCUGCAACAAGUAUUUGAUUUACGACAGGGCUCCGUAGUUUUUAUACAGAAUGAUUAUUACAUCAUUUGUUCCUCAAAAUGGUGAACAUAUCAGUGUCUGGAGCGCUUCAAGUAGACCAGUAUGCCAAUGCUUGUUAGAACAACAGCACUUGCAAAAACACCGGAUCGGAGAGACAACAUACCGGUUUUCUCUCCAGAGGCUGUACAAGAUUGUGGUGUUACCGGUUUGGUUGAAUCAGAAAACUCCAAGUUCAACUUUAGAGCCUGAAAUACAAAAAUGCGUGCAUCUAAUCCGUAUGAACAAACCCAUGGACAUCAUUAAAUGAAAAAACUAGUAAAAGAAGACAUAUUCACCUUCAGUCCUGCAGAUCUAGCAUAGCUGACAGCAGCAGCUAGAUCGUUAUCUGUUGAAAUAAUAAUUUUAUCACCUUCAUCAUCUUCAUACUAGAAGGGAAGAAAAAGACAGUGUCAUAAUAAAUACAGAUAGAAGCAUAGAACAACAUAAAAGCAGACAAAACAAAACUAGAAUAAAACACACCAGUAUUUUUGGGCCUUCUCCAUCAUUAAUUUGACCAAUUCUUUGCAUCACAGCGGAGACAAGCUCAUCUUGAUGUUCUGCACCUGCAAAAAAAGGCAAAGGAAAAUAAAUACCUUAUGUUGAGAUAAGAAUCAGAAGAGUACGAAAAGGUGAAAAUUAUGUGGCCCAAGCUAUAUGCACAAGAUGUUAGUUGCAGCAGAAAAUUUAUUAAGAUAUUUAAGUUUAGUUAAGCUUGCUACGAGAUGUUACUCACCACAGCUGAAUCGAUGCCCAUGACCAUUAGGAUCCUCAAAUUUAAAAGUAAAUGAAUUUCCAAAACCAGCAGAUUGAUAUGUAGACUUGUUGGUAUCUGCACCAUCUAAGGUCAGUUGUCCAGAGACUUCACUGCAAUCAAACAUAUAUGCUUAUUUACAAAACAAAACAAAAUUAUAUGUUGAAAGUUGAAACAACAUAGAUAUCUCCAAAAUACCUGCGAGUAUCGUAAUCUUCAGGCGGCUCAAGAGCAAAAGCUGAGUCCCAAAAUUUUUGCAUAACUGUGCUUGCCACAUCAUUAACAGGUCCUGAGCUACUCUCAACCUAAAAGUACAAUAGUACAUAUCUCAGAAACCACACACUAGUAUCUGCAUAUUAGUAUAUAGUAAUACAAAAAUGUAUACAGAUAUACAAAAUUAUCCUUCAUUGUUAUUUAAGGUGAGUGGACACUCAACGGAUAUAAAAUCAACUAUCAUGACAAAGUAGGAAGGGGGAAUGAAGUUGCUGCCUAUUCAUUCUAUAAGUAUAGGCUACGUAGAUAUUAUAAGAGAACAGUUUCAUAUAUCUAAUGCUUUAAGGUUUAGGGACAAAUAAGAUGUUAGAUUCACUCUUGUGAUUUGUAGUCUUGGUCCACUAGCGCAGACCGCAGACCCAUGGUUUUUGGGCUCCCCUUGUUCCCCAAUAGGAUCAUAUAAAAAUUUACCAUUUAAGAAAAACAAAGCGAAAGUCAUAUGUCGGGGAACUGAAACAAAAUCUAGAUUGAAGUAGUCCAUCCUCAUUUUGCAACACCCAGCUAUCACAUAAAACACAGACAUAUACACCCAAACUAAGUCGUGCAAACCCAGACAUCCAGCAUACACUGGAAAACCAGACCCCUCUACAUUUCAAUCUUCAGCGUAAUCCAAUUAAUUUGCUUCCUCUACCCUAUAUUCUAUUUGUAUCUAAAACAUGGAAUUUACCAGAGAAAUUGCAGCAUGAGUUAUCUGCAAAACAUCCACACAGGCAGCAACAUUUCCAUCUACAAAACAAAUAAUAUUCAGCACAAUAAUGAAAGAAAUUAAAUAUGCAAUUGAGAAAGCAAAGCUAACCUUUGUCCACCACAGGAAGAUGUAAGAACUUCCCAUCAUGCAUCAUAUGCAGUGCAUCAAGAAUUGUUGUGUCUAGUGAUGCACAUUCUGGGUUUGGAGUCAUUACCUAACAAAAAUUAGUGAUAAAGAGAAGAAUGAAAUACUAAAUACCUUGCAAAAAUUAGAACCCGACAGAAGAAAUGACAUCUCAGAAUAAACCACUUUCCAGUAAAGCUACUUCAAAAAAUAAAAUCAUAACAACCUUCUCCACUAGAGUCUGCUCAGGGGAAAGAUUUUGAGCCACAACACGCAUGAGGAUGUCUUUUGAACUGCAUAACAGAUUCACAAAACAAUAUAUUACACCAACAACAAAAAAACUAUCUGAAGUCCAUUUGAUAGAUCUCAAUCAAGGAAGUUUCUAAUCCAAAAAUUAAGCAAUCAUGUUACGUUAUUCCACGUCAUAGAUUUCUAAAGGAUGAGAAUAAAGCCUCAGAAAAGGAUUUUACGUCAGUAUCCCCUGAAUCUUGGUAUCGAUCACAAUCACAGCUGAAUUAACACGCAACUCCCGCAUCUUUAUUGCAGCUACAUAGACAGUGUCUGAUGCUGAUGCAAUAGCGACCCUAUAAAGACAUAAAGUAACAGAUCUUAUCUUCUUACAAAAGAAAUCUUAGGCAAUAAAUAGAUAUUCAAGAAAAUAUGAUCUAAAAAAUACUUUAUAUUUUCACCCAGUAUAGUUGACAGCGAAGGCUUGAACAUGCGCUCCCUCAAUGUUUCAAUUAAAGCAUUUGGAGCUGACAAAAAUGGUCACAAUUGAAACAUAAAAUUAGCAUCAUUAAAAUGUGAAGGAAAAAUAUGGCAAUCUUCAAUACUCUGAAAGAUUACUAUGAAAAGCAGUAAGUUUUAGGACAUAAAACUUGCAAGGUUUUAAUAAAUUUCUAUUGAUAGUACUCAGUCCUCCAUUUACCUACUUUGCUUAAACUUCACAGAGAAAACCUUACAGAUUAAGCUCCCGAGUAUGACACAAGUAUAAAUAUGCAAAGAAGCAACACCUAGACUUGGUCCCUAAUAUGAAAAUAAUUAAAUACAAUAGAUGAAUUUCUGGCAAAAUAUUCAGUUUUUCUUUGUGAAAAUAUUAUGUCUUCAGUUUAUUAACAGUUAACGGCACAAGAGAUGAAGUCAUGGAUGAUUCACAUUAAUCACUCUUUGGGCAUUGAUUUAAUAUAAUAUAUUUUAUUGGAUACAAAGGGAGAGUAUUGGAGGGGAGAUGAAGAAUAAUAUAACCUCAUGAAAAGGAAAAUGAAACAAAUAGUGAGACAAAGCACUCAUUUGAUAACUCUCGCUAACAUUUUUGGUGCUUCCGGUUCCUUUGAGCAUUAUUUUCUGCCAUAAAGGUGACAACGCUUUAAAGUUUGUCUAUAAAACCCAGCAAGUCAGCUUAUGACUUAUGAGCAAGCCCAAAAGUUAGAUUCCAACAACCUAAGUCUUUCCUCAUUCAGUGGAGUCAGCUACAUGGAUCAAACAACACUGUUAUGUUCUAUCAUAAAUCAUGUCUAGUAGCACGCCAUUUAAAUUUGAAUCCUUCUCUAUGGCUUCACUUAUAAUUAUCUUUGUUCUCUCCCUAAGGCUAACUAUUAGACUAUCCCCUUUUCAAUCUACCCAUCUUAGUCUUUCCUAGAGCUUCUAUUGGUCUUCUCCACACAUACCACAAUUAUCAAAAUCAAGACUCUACUACUUUUUCAACAAUAGAUUCCACUCUAACGUUCUCUCUGAUACUUUCAUUACUAUUCCUAUGUUGUUGCUAAUGUGUCCACUCAUCCACCAUAACAACAACAACAAAAGCCUUAUCGCACUAAGUGAGGUCGCCAGGUCGGCUAUAUGGAUUAAACUACGCCAUUCAGCUCGAUCAAAAGCCUUAUACCACUCAUCCAUCAUAACAUUGAGCUUAAUUUCUAAUUGUAUUCAUUGCCCAACAUUUAGCCUUCAUACAACACAACUGUCUUAUACGUUCGGAUUAAAAUUUCUCUUUGAACUUUAAUAGGACUUUUCUAUUACAAAUUAUACCCAAACUGUUGCUCAAUUUCAUCCGCCUCGUUUAAAUCAUACGCUUUACAUAUCCCUCUAUUUUCUUGUUACUUUGUAUGAUGGACCUAAAAUAAUUAAACCAUAGGCCUAUAGCCCGUAGGAUUUAUGAAUUUAACCAUGGCAGUUAUGAACAUAAACAGACUUACCACAUGCAAGUAGAACAAAUUCAUCUGUUUAUGUACGAGCAAUACCAUAAAAUGUAUGUAUGAAGAUAAUUGUUAACUAACCUAUAUUACUACUACGCUGAUUUUCGACCCCAUCAACUGCGGCAGCAAUGGCACUCCCUUGUUGAGCAGCCUUCUCCACCCUAGAUAUGGCAUCAUAAAGGCAUUUGGCAAUAUCCAGCAUGGCAAUGACUUCACCAUUUUCCACAACAGGGAGGUGCCUGAAUUUACCUAUUAGUGAAGAAAAAAGUCAAAUCAUUAUAUCUCCCACCUCAUGAAUUAAUAAGCAAUAUGAAUACAUAGUGAAUCUAAUGAAAUCACUUGCUCGCCAUAAUCUAGUUAAAGAAGCAGAAAUAGUAAAGAGAAAAUAAAACAUAAAACAUAAUAAAAAACAAAGACAUGGAGGAACCCUAUAAAAAACAAGGAACAUACAGAAUUCAUGAAAGGUUUUGUCGCCAACCACACAUCAUUUUGCUUAUUAACUAAUUUUCCCCUGUAAAAGGUUUUAUAGGGUUUUGUCGCCAACGACAGAAUACAUAGUGAAUCUAAUGAAAGGUUUUGUCGCCAACCACACGUCAUUUUUUUUUGUUCAUGUGUGAGAUGGAAGAGGGAAACAAAGAACAUGAAACAGGGGAAAAUUCAAAUAACAUUAAAUGAGAGAAAAUUUAAUGUUUUUCAGAAUAACACUAGUAAAGUUAGAAGCUACAAAUUUAGUACCAAGUAAAGUAAAGAACCAAGGAGUCAGAGGAAGAAUGCACAGAUGGGAAUGCACAGAUGGGAAUGCACUAGACAUGUUUAUAGAUGCCAUCAAAACAGGGUUCCAAAAGAUGCAUGUCACAUAGAACACAACUAUUAUCUAACAGCAAAUAGUCUCCAUUCCAGAAAACACCUUUUCACUGCAAAAGUGAGGGACAUCGCAGCCCCAACACAUGGUAAUAACAAAAUUCACAUAUCCAAUUGUCUGUCAUCAUUGUCACAACAACUAACGACCCUUCAACCACGGCACGCAUGAUUCUCGUAGAAUAGUAGCCCCAAUAUAGAAGCAAACAACUUAUUUAAUAGCACAAAUAUAAACACAUCUACAUUACUACAUGUAGUCCAUAUCCCAAGGUAUAGACUUUGUCCUGCCAUGUUAGAAAAUAGAAACCUCACUGAAAUCAACCAUGUCUAAAACCAAACUCUUUGAUUCCAUUGCAUCCUCUGAGCACACCAUAACAAAAUCUCUGCUCAGUGCUCAGUGCAGAAUCCAAUUGAUUAAAAAAUUAACUCACUCAGAACUACAGCAAAAUCCAAAUGUAUCUGUUUCCAACAACAACAACAAAUUAAUUAAAGUGAAGAAAGAACGAAGCUAACCCUGAACCAUUUUCUGAAGCGCUUCAAUAGCCAGCGCAUCCGAUGUCACAAAGAUAGGAUUCCUCGUCAUCACCUUCGAAACCGUCGUCUCCUCCGGCCGCAACCCCUCAGCCACAACUCUAGCACCAACAUCCUAACCACAAACAACAACAACCUCCAACUAAAACAACAUGAAAAAAAACAUUCCACAAACAAAGAAUAAAGAUAGAAGCUUCUAGAAACCUUAUCCGUGAGAAUCCCUGAAAGCAGAGCAUUGGAAUCCGUCAACAAAACAGCGCCAACGCGACGAGCGGCCAUUCUCCGACAUGCUUCGGAAACCGUUGUCCCCUCAGGAAUGGUGAGCGCCUUCGAUAAUCGAAGCUUCUUCACCGUCCUUUCUCCUCCUUCAUCGCUAGUAACCGACCACAAUUCAAUUAAUUCAACAGAAAUUUCAAUUUCAAUAAAUUAAUUAAAAUUAUGAAAAAAAAUGUAGAUUCAUUUAUUGAUUUCGACGCGUGCAUGAAUGAAAUUGUGAUGAAUUUACGGUUGCGAAGGCGGAGAGGAAGCUUUGGCGUUGGUUCCAUUUUCGGCGGGAAGGGAUUUCUUGGAAGAGCGUUGUUGUUUGGUCUUCUUCAUCUUGUAAUAAUCUCUGUAGUUUUUGGAAUUGGUAUUAUUAUGUUAAGAAGAUCUGUUACCAACAACCAUGCCCCACCAUGUAUCUCUCUAUCUCGUGUUCAUGUCAAAUCACCGGGAGGUUAGGGUUCUGGUUCUGCUUCUUCCUCUCUCCCUCUUUCCUUCACCUCAAAAAAUGGAAUUAUUAAUUUAUUUGUUUUAUUCUGUUUUUUCCCACCUCUCAAAGGUUCAAAUUGCUUGCUUUCAAUUUUUACACAAUUAUUCAAUCCAUUAAUGAAUGAAUGCUGUGGUCGGAUUUAAUCAAUGAAAUAAACAGAGGAUUUAAUUUAUAUGUAAACUAGGUGUUUUCAGACUUUAACAUAUUCAUUUAUUUAAAGCUCUUUAUUUAUUAGAAAUUAAUUUCUAUGCACCCGUAGUCAUUUAAUCAUUCUUCGUAUCUGAUAACUCAAGUAGUAGAAGCUGGGGGACUUGUGGGUUGGAUAGGGGGAGGUCCUGACGGGCGCAAUUUAUCUUUCUGAUAUAUAAAAAGAAAACAAUCAUUUAAUCACAUCUCUUCAUUUUACUAGCUUGUAAUUAAUAUUGAAUUUAAUAAUAUUUAAAAUAGGAAAUGAAAUGUUGUGACUUGUGAUUGAAUGAUUACGGAAAACUUUUUGCACUGUCAGUGUAUAAAAACUAAUCUAAACUUUUUUAUUUUAAAUGUGUUUAGAUUCAAAUUAAUUGUAACAUGAUAAAUUAAUAAUUAUAAUUUUUCGAUGUUAAUAAGGUAUUCUUCGUCCGAUAGGCGUGAAACUAAUUUUUUUACUUGAUUAUCAGGAAAUUAAGAGUAGGAGGCUCAUCAAUAAAAAAUUUCAUUCUGAGUUAAAAAUGUAACAUUUCACUACACCAUUUCAUUUGGUUAGUGAUGAAAUCUAAUCAGAUGAUUAUGUAAAAAAAAUAUUCACACGCAUCCGUACAUAUUAAACUCUAAAAUUUAAUUAUAAGACAUUGUGAUGAGCAUAAAGCCGCACUACCUCUCUUAUUUUAGUUUAUCUUAAUUUGGAAAAUAAUAUCUAUUCAUUCGAGCUUCCUAUAAGUUCAUGCUCCAGCCGCAUGUUUCUUGCCUCUCACGCUAGCGUUUUGUUUUGCCUUUUAUUUUUACCAAUUGUCGUUUAAGUGAUAUUUUGGGUCCCAUGUGGUCAGUUAGUGAAUUGAUAUCAUUAAUCCACACAUUUUAAAGUCUCAAGAAGAUUAGUCUCAUACCUACCGUCAGCUUUGGAAAUACCUUUAAAAAAGGAAAAAAAAAAUCCACAAAAUCCAAAUGAGGUUGUCUUGAGGAUUAAAAUCUUAUGUUUCAUCUCUAUCACAAACCUCUAUCCCACCAAUUAUAGAGUGACAUGUAAUUAAGAAAUUUAAACUCAUUUUUCCAUCAAAAUUAAUUGGGGUUAACACCAUUAGACAUCGUGAGUUGGUAACCAUCUCUCAUUCUCAUUCUCAUUCCCGUUUCUGUUCCUAUUGCCUCAUCUUCUCCAUUAUCGAUCAAUCGCAACCAACUGCAUUGACCCAAAUGGCCCCACCACCUGCACACGCACCUCCUUCUCCAACACCCAUGAUCAUUCACUUUCCUCGUCAAAUACCUUCUUUCGACAGCUCCGUCUCCACCACCUGAAGGGAGCUUCAAUGGAACAAGUUAGAGACUUUGUUUGAUCGACAAAAGCAAGUACUUGAUCAAAGUGUUAUGAUAUUGAAGUGGAAGAUUCAGGCGAAGAUUUUGAGGGCAAAGUGUAAGUUGUUGAGUCAGUUUCGCUCGAUUGACAAGUUGUGCUCCCUUUCUACUACCUUGUAAUGUUUCAGCUUCGCUGACUUAGUGAAGUUUGUUGUCUAUUAGAAGCAUUAUGGUAGCUGGAAAUUCUGAUGAAGUUGAUAAUGAUAAUGAACAUGAUGGCACAAUUUUUGUUAGUGUGGACCUCAAAGAGGCUUUUACUACCGAUAAAGUAAGUAUUAAAAUGAUUUAGUAAGGACAUAGUUACGUUUACGCGAUGCGAUAAUGAUUUGUAAUUUUGUAUAUGCAUGCUUUUGCAUCCCACACUGAUAUUAUUGAUUGGGCUCGCCAUGUAGGUAAAGAGAAUGGUUAUGUUGUUAUCGUGAUUAUGUCUGACUACGGAUCUGAAAAAAGGAAGCCUGUGAUGACAUUGGGAUGUGAGCGUGGUGGGAAGUAUACACAAGCAGCUCAAGUGUUAAAGCGCAGUCAAACUGGAACAAAAAAAUGUGAUUGCCAUUUCAAGCUAAGAGCAAAGCCUAGCAAGGUUUAUGGGCGAUGGAAGUUGAAAGUUCAUUCUGGGAUUCACAACCAUGAUACAGCUGAAACAUUACAAUCUCACUCUUUUGUUGGUCGUCUAAAUCCUGAUGAAAAGACCAUGGUGGGAAGUAUGAUUGAGAAAAGGGUUAAGCCAAGCGACAUGUUGAUUGCACUAAGGGAGAAAAACCCCAACAACCUGACUAGAAUCAAACAAAUCUACAAUGAGAAGCAAGCCUACAAUAGGAUUAAGAGGGGGUUCUCAGAGAUUCAACACUUGAUGAAGUUGUUGGAAGGUGACAAAUAUGCACACUGGUCUAGGGUUGACGGUGGUUCUAAUGUGAUUAAAUCUCUCUUCUAGGCUCACCCUGAUUGUAUUAAUCUUUUUAAUGAAUUUCUAUUGUGGUGCUUAUGGAUAGUACAUACAAGCCCAACAAGUAUAAGAUCCUUUACUUGAAAUGGUUGGGGUGACAUCAACUAAUUUGACAUACUCUAUUGCCUUUUCUAACAUGGCGAAUGAGCGCACAUAUGAGAUGGUAUGUGCAUUAAAUAGGUUGAAAGGGUUGCUCGUCAAGGAAGAAAUUCUUCCUAAGGUAAUUGUUACUGACAAGGACAAUGUUUUAAUGAAAGUCGUGGAAGACGUCUUCCCCGUAGCUCGCCAUUUGUUGUGCCAAUUUCACGUUUCAAAGAGUGUGACCGAGAAGUUGAAGACACUUGUUCAGUCGGUAGAAAGAUGUGAAUUUAUUACUAAUAUCUGGAAUCGGUUGAUGCGUGCUACAACUGAGGCCGAGUACAUUAAUUAGGUUGGAGCGAUGCAGGUGAAUACAUGUGACUUUUGGACAUACCUUGAAACCAAUUGGUUGUCGUUGAGACAUAAAUUUGUGAAGUUCGAGAUUGAUACUUGCAUGCAUAUUGUAAGACCCAAGAUUUUAGAAUUAAAUAAAUAAAUUAUUGAAGAAGAAAAUUCAUGGAUUAAUUAAUUCUAUCCCUGUAGUCAAUUUAGUCGAUAACUUGACUUAUUUACAUGACUGCCUUAGAACGAGAGUGUUUAUAGAGAGCCAAAGUACUCUUAAAACACUGUAGAAACUAAGUCAUAAGAAUUCUGGAGAUAUACAGAAUUGCUCGUAUACCUUCCUACGACAAGCAGAUUAAUACGAAACCCUGGAAUUUACGAACACUCAUUUCCGAUACCGGGAGGUUUGCCGAAACUGAAUCCCUGGUUUUUCUAGAGCUAUUAAAUUAACCUACGAUGAAGACUUUUCCUGUUCGGAGCUUCAAACGAAGAUUCCACACGCAAACGCCCACUCUAAUCGACGUUCCAAAUCUUUCUUCAGAAGGAAGUUUCUGCAUCCGAGGUCAAAAUCAAAAAGUGCAUAAAGUGCAUUUUAAAGCCGGUAAACAUUAAAAACAAGCCUCGAAAACCAAAAAUCAUACUGAUAUUUCUUUGAAGAAUUAGAAGAUUCAGCGGGAAGAAUAUCGUGUCUAAAAUACGUUGGAAUCAGUAGGAAAAAUCGGAAUCGCGAAAUAAUCAUUUUCUCGCGUUUUCAAUUUCCUAUAUAUAGGACUUCAGAAACUGAGAAAAAUCACACCUUCAUUUUCUUUCUUCUUCUUCUGCAGACCACGUUCUCUGGUCUUUCUUUUCUUUUUCUUUUCAUUUUCUUUGUUGUUUGUGGGUGAGCUUGAGGGAGAAAGGAGGAAGAGUUUUUUUCCGGUUCUUGCCUGAUCGUUGCUCUGUUCGUUGCUACGCGUAGGCCUCGAGGUACUGAUGUUAUUUCUUUCUUCUGAUCUUUAAAUUCCAUCGCUUUUUGUUAUGUCUUUUUGUGCUCAAGUUUUGAGCUUUUUGUAAAACUGUCCAAAUAGGUUGAUUUUAGUGUCUAAAUAUAUUCUCUUCGUACCCAAGAGUACUUCUAGCGGAUUACAUUUUGCCGAAUGUCGCCGAAAUGCUGCCGAAAUUCAUUUCUAUAGAAAAUACCCAUUUUUGGCUAAAGUUCCGUCCUUUGGGCUUAAAACUCUCGACUAAGCUUAGCGUCAGUAGGAUUAGUCGUCAUAAUCGUCGUUGGUAUCAACCCCAUCUAAUUUAUUUUUCGAAAUUCUGAUUUUUGAGUUUCCGAGCUAAAAAUAUUAACCAAAAUACCCCUGCGAUAGUUUUCGACCCGAUAAUUUUUCUGAGAGUUUCCCUGGCCUAGAUAUCGCCUAAGAAUACCUAGGAAUCAAUUUAGAUCGAAGAAAAAGUUCGGAAACCCUAUUUUACAUAGUGGCCGAAACCUAUUGCUUAGGGUACCGUGUCCAAAAAUAAUUUUUGGGUCUCUAUGACCUGAGCCAUUGCGUAGCUCUUUCGAUUGUCGAAAUUUUGGCGCUGGUUUCGUGUCAUUCCGAGUUCUGUAGCUCGAGUUAUGCUCGUUUUAGCGAACGAAGUUCUGUUGUCAAUUCGUGCCUAAAAAGGAACUCUGAAGCUUUAAAAGCUUUCUUUCCGGUUUCGAUUAGCGUUAUUAGAUAGUGUUACUUCUAGUAGGGCUUGUGUUGAUGAUUGUGUUUCCUUGUUCUAGGUUCACAACUUCCAUGCCCAACUUCUACUCACGAAGGUAAGGGUAACUCGGUUUUAGAGUGUCUUUGAGUCUUGCCUGUUUUUAUCGCACUGCAUGCGUUUGAGAUGAAGGUGUUUAAAUUGAUUGGCAUUGGAUUAUGAUUAUUAUGCUUGCUUAUGUUGACUGUUUCUGAGGCUUGUGCCAAAUGUUUUCUGAAGGCUUCGGCCGAGUAAACUUAUUGAGACGUGUGUCUCCGUUUUCUGAGAGGCUUCGGCCGUUUACUGGUUUCUGUCAUUGAGUUGAGUUGACGUAUGCUUGUUGAUAUUAAGAGUAACAUAGGGUUACUCUGUCUUGAUUAUUGGAUUUGAAAUUGUUGAUAUAUAUUUGUGCAUAUGCGUUGUUGGAUUGUACUGUGUGGCCUUCGUGGCGUUAUUAAGUGGCGAUGAGGAGGUGUGGUCCUAUCAUUGUCCCGUCUUGUGAGACGUUAUAAGAGGCGAUGAGGAGGUGUGGUCCUAUCAUUGUCCCGUCUUGUGAGACGCUAAGUGGCGAUCAGGAGGUGUGGUCCUAUGAUUGUCCUGUCCAUUGUGACGUUAAGUGGCGAUGAGGAGGUGUGGUCCUAUCAUUGUCCCGUCUUGUGAGACGUUAUAAGUGGCGAUGAGGAGGUGUGGUCCUAUCAUCGUCCCGUCUUUUGAGACGUUAUUGAUUGACUCAUAUUGUUGGUUAUUGCUAUCUGAUUUGAUGUUGUAUUGCUGAGGAUGUCGAUAUCUGAUUUGAUGCCAUAUUGUUGAGGUUGUUGAUAUCUAGUUUGAUUUACAUUAUUGCGGAUUAUUGAUAUCUGGAUUUGUUGUUAUAUUGUUGAAGAUUGUUGAUAUCUGAUUUGAUGUUAUAUUGCUGAAGAUAAUGUUAUCUGAAUUAAUCUAUGCUGUUAAGUUAUUGAUUCAUGAGUUAGUUUAUGUUGUUAAGUUUUGUUGGUAUCUGUUCUAAAAUCAUAUCGUUGAAUUUACUGAUAUGCUGAUAUGUCUAAUUCUGUUAAAUAUGUGAUUUGAUUUCAUGAUUCGAUAGGAUGAGUUGUCACCUAAUUUGAGUUAAAUUGCUAGUUCAUUUACCAUGCUAGGUCAUUAAAUUUGAAUAGCAUGAUUUUCUCUUUUAUACAUGGUAAUUGCAUGGAGUUAACCCUUUCUAUUUGCUACUUGUUGUUUGGGCGCUUAAGGCUAUUAGGCGAUGGAGAUCCUUCUGCCGAGGCUUAGCUGUUCGAGUUGGAGAUCGAGUCGUAAGCAGUGGGGUAGAGGUGCGAGAAGCAGCUUUGCUUCUCUUCUUGUGAUUUAUGUUUGAGCCUCCCUUUCUUUAGGAGAACUCUGUUAUUAAAGCCUUGUUUCCGCCACUGUUAAAGUGCGCAUGUUUAUUCUGAACCUUACUUGGUGUUGUAAGCUAUUAUUAUCAUAUAUCGGGAAACAGGUUAUUUAAAUAAAGUUAUGACAUGUUCCCACCUUUUAGCCGAAGUGUUUAGUUGUUUUUCAGAAAAAAAUUACCCUUGGAUUUUUUUUAGGGAUUGCAGAAUAGUCCUUAGACUUUGUUAGGUUACUAAUGUGACUCCUCAGUUGUGAAACCGGGGUGUUACAAUUGUGGUAUCAGAGCUUUGGUCUAGAAAACCAGAGCUUUUGGGUAGAGUGUCUGCUUAAGAUGUUUGAACUCUGAGACCGAUUGAUGAGGUGUCAAUCAGAGGAAGAGUGUGCUUGAUUACUGUUUAUAUAAAUUAUUCUUGAAGGUUGUUCGUAGGUGAAUAACCUUAUGCUAGUUAUCAUUAACUAUACAUUUGAUAUAAGUAUAUACAUAGUUAGUUAUUAUAGAACCUCGUGUUGUUCUGGCCUAAGUAUCUGUUGUGGUCUUUGACUGUUCAUGAAAACAGGAACAGGAGGUUUCCACAACUGGACGAGACUCAAGGUUCAGACAACAUGAAUCCGAUGGAGCAAGCUAUUGCUAACCUGACUGCCCUUAUGGCACAACAAGUUACUAACACUGCGGCACGGGAGGAAGCUGAAGCUCAACGUGCUGCUACUGCGGUUUUGGUGGCUGCCCAAAACCAAGCUGAAGAGAAUGCUCGCCGUGUUCAGCGUGAGGAACGUGAACAAGCUGCUGCUCAGACCAGGGGUCUGAACGAUUUCAAGCGUCAGGAUCCGCCGAAGUUCUCUGGGGGCUUCGAUCCGGAAGAAGCUGACUUAUGGCUCCAGGAGUUGGAGAAGAUCUUCACCUUUCUGCGUACCACUGCAGAGAUGAAAGUGGAUUAUGCGACCUACCUGCUAACUGGUGAAGCUGAGUAUUGGUGGCGCGGGGCUAGAGCUAUGAUGGAAGUUGACCAUCAAGCCAUCACUUGGGAGUGUUUCCGGGGAGCUUUCCUGGACAAAUACUUUCCUGCUAGUGCUAGAGCUGCCAAGGAGGCACAAUUUCUGAGGCUUCGUCAAGGAAGCAUGUCUGUGGCCGAGUAUGCUUCUAAGUUGGAGUCAUUGGCGAAACACUUUCGCUACUUUCGAGGAUUGGUGGACGAAAGUUAUAUGUGUGAGCGCUUCAUAGACGGGCUGAGUUAUGAGCUGCAGAGGGCGGUGCAACCGCUAGGACUGAAUCGCUAUCAAGUAUUGGUGGAGAAGACCAAGGGGAUUGAGGCCAUUGAUAAUGCAAGGGGAAAGUUCCAAGGUCUGAACAAGCCUCACCAGGAAAGUGGAGGUCCGGCUAGGACUAAUCAAGGAAGAAAUGACAAGGGUAGGCAUUACCCGAAGAAGCCGUAUGUUCGUCCUCAGGGUGAGGGGAUAGCUUCCGGUUCCUUUUAUCCUUCGGGCGGAAAUGCAACUGCACUGGGAAAUCCACCGAUGAGCCGGGAGAGUGUGACUUGCUUCAGGUGCAACAAGGAGGGGCAUUAUGCCAGCCACUGUUCUCAGAGUCUUAGGACGUGUUGGAACUGCAACAAGCCAGGUCACACUGCUGUAGAGUGUAGGGCUCCUAAGGUUGAGGUUGCUGCGAAUGUUGCUGGGACAAGGAGGCCUACUGCUGGUGGAAGGGUCUACUCAAUCAGUGGAACUGAAGCUGAGGAACAAGCAGGUUCCUCUGGUAAAAGUGAUUUGGAACCAAGUCACGGGCGAUGCUACCUGGGAACUAGAAGAGAAGAUGAAGGAACAGUAUCCGGAACUCUUCACUGAGUCUUAAGUUUCGAUGACGAAACUUUCUUUUUGGGGGGUAGUAUUGUAAGACCCAAGAUUUUAGAAUUAAAUAAAUAAUUUAUUGAAGAAGAAAAUUCAUGGAUUAAAUAAUUCUAUCCCUGUAGUCAAUUUAGUCGAUAACUUGACUUAUUUACAUGACUGCCUUAGAACGAGAGUGUUUAUAGAGAGCCAAAGUACUCUUAAAACACUGUAGAAAUUAAGUCAUAAGAAUCCUGGAGAUAUACAGAAUUGCUCGUAUACCUUCCUACGACAAGCAGAUUAAUACGAAACCCUGGAAUUUACGAACACUCAUUUCCGAUACCGUGAGGUUUGCCGAAACUGAAUCCCUGGUUUUUCUAGAGCUAUUAAAUUAACCUACGAUGAAGACUUUUCCUGUUCGGAGCUUCAAACGAAGAUUCCACACGCGUACGCCCACUCUAAUCGACGUUCCAAAUCUUUCUUCAGAAGGAAGUUUCUGCAUCCGAGGUCAAAAUCAAAAAGUGCAUAAAGUGCAUUUUAAAGCCGGUAAACAUUAAAAACAAGCCUCGAAAACCAAAAAUCAUACUGAUAUUUCUUUGAAGAAUUAGAAGAUUCAGCGGGAAGAAUAUCGUGUCUAAAAUACGUUGGAAUCAGUAGGAAAAAUCGGAAUCGCGAAAUAAUCAUUUUCUCGCGUUUUCAAUUUCCUAUAUAUAGGACUUCAGAAACUGAGAAAAAUCACACCUUCAUUUUCUUUCUUCUUCUUCUGCAGACCACGUUCUCUGGUCUUUCUUUUCUUUUUCUUUUCAUUUUCUUUGUUGUUUGUGGGUGAGCUUGAGGGAGAAAGGAGGAAGAGUUUUUUUCCGAUUCUUGCCUGAUCGUUGCUCUGUUCGUUGCUACGCGUAGGCCUCGAGGUACUGAUGUUAUUUCUUUCUUCUGAUCUUUAAAUUCCAUCGCUUUUUGUUAUGUCUUUUUGUGCUCAAGUUUUGAGCUUUUUGUAAAACUGUCCAAAUAGGUUGAUUUUAGUGUCUAAAUAUAUUCUCUUCGUACCCAAGAGUACUUCUAGCGGAUUACAUUUUGCCGAAUGUCGCCGAAAUUCAUUUCUGUAGAAAAUACCCAUUUUUGGCUAAAGUUCCGUCCUUUGGGCUUAAAACUCUCGACUAAGCUUAGCGUCAGUAGGAUUAGUCGUCAUAAUCGUCGUUGGUAUCAACCCCAUCUAAUUUAUUUUUCGAAAUUCUGAUUUUUGAGUUUCCGAGCUAAAAAUAUUAACCAAAAUACCCCUGCGACAGUUUUCGACCCGAUAAUUUUUCUGAGAGUUUCCCUGGCCUAGAUAUCGCCUAAGAAUACCUAGGAAUCAAUUUAGAUCGAAGAAAAAGUUCGGAAACCCUAUUUUACAUAGUGGCCGAAACCUAUUGCUUAGGGUACCGUGUCCAAAAAUAAUUUUUGGGUCUCUAUGACCUGAGCCAUUGCGUAGCUCUUUCGAUUGUCGAAAUUUUGGCGCUGGUUUCGUGUCAUUCCGAGUUCUGUAGCUCGAGUUAUGCUCGUUUUAGCGAACGAAGUUCUGUUGUCAAUUCGUGCCUAAAAAGGAACUCUGAAGCUUUAAAAGCUUUCUUUCCGGUUUCGAUUAGCGUUAUUAGAUAGUGUUACUUCUAGUAGGGCUUGUGUUGAUGAUUGUGUUUCCUUGUUCUAGGUUCACAACUUCCAUGCCCAACUUCUACUCACGAAGGUAAGGGUAACUCGGUUUUAGAGUGUCUUUGAGUCUUGCCUGUUUUUAUCGCACUGCAUGCGUUUGAGAUGAAGGUGUUUAAAUUGAUUGGCAUUGGAUUAUGAUUAUUAUGCUUGCUUAUGUUGACUGUUUCUGAGGCUUGUGCCAAAUGUUUUCUGAAGGCUUCGGCCGAGUAAACUUAUUGAGACGUGUGUCUCCGUUUUCUGAGAGGCUUCGGCCGUUUACUGGUUUCUGUCAUUGAGUUGAGUUGACGUAUGCUUGUUGAUAUUAAGAGUAACAUAGGGUUACUCUGUCUUGAUUAUUGGAUUUGAAAUUGUUGAUAUAUAUUUGUGCAUAUGCGUUGUUGGAUUGUACUGUGUGGCCUUCGUGGCGUUAUUAAGUGGCGAUGAGGAGGUGUGGUCCUAUCAUUGUCCCGUCUUGUGAGACGUUAUAAGAGGCGAUGAGGAGGUGUGGUCCUAUCAUUGUCCCGUCUUGUGAGACGCUAAGUGGCGAUCAGGAGGUGUGGUCCUAUGAUUGUCCUGUCCAUUGUGACGUUAAGUGGCGAUGAGGAGGUGUGGUCCUAUCAUUGUCCCGUCUUGUGAGACGUUAUAAGUGGCGAUGAGGAGGUGUGGUCCUAUCAUCGUCCCGUCUUUUGAGACGUUAUUGAUUGACUCAUAUUGUUGGUUAUUGCUAUCUGAUUUGAUGUUGUAUUGCUGAGGAUGUCGAUAUCUGAUUUGAUGCCAUAUUGUUGAGGUUGUUGAUAUCUAGUUUGAUUUACAUUAUUGCGGAUUAUUGAUAUCUGGAUUUGUUGUUAUAUUGUUGAAGAUUGUUGAUAUCUGAUUUGAUGUUAUAUUGCUGAAGAUAAUGUUAUCUGAAUUAAUCUAUGCUGUUAAGUUAUUGAUUCAUGAGUUAGUUUAUGUUGUUAAGUUUUGUUGGUAUCUGUUCUAAAAUCAUAUCGUUGAAUUUACUGAUAUGCUGAUAUGUCUAAUUCUGUUAAAUAUGUGAUUUGAUUUCAUGAUUCGAUAGGAUGAGUUGUCACCUAAUUUGAGUUAAAUUGCUAGUUCAUUUACCAUGCUAGGUCAUUAAAUUUGAAUAGCAUGAUUUUCUCUUUUAUACAUGGUAAUUGCAUGGAGUUAACCCUUUCUAUUUGCUACUUGUUGUUUGGGCGCUUAACGCUAUUAGGCGAUGGAGAUCUUUCCGCCGAGGCUUAGCUGUUCGAGUUGGAGAUCGAGUCGUAAGCAGUGGGGUAGAGGUGCGAGAAGCAGCUUUGCUUCUCUUCUUGUGAUUUAUGUUUGAGCCUCCCUUUCUUUAGGAGAACUCUGUUAUUAAAGCCUUGUUUCCGCCACUGUUAAAGUGCGCAUGUUUAUUCUGAACCUUACUUGGUGUUGUAAGCUAUUAUUAUCAUAUAUCGGGAAACAGGUUAUUUAAAUAAAGUUAUGACAUGUUCCCACCUUUUAGCCGAAGUGUUUAGUUGUUUUUCAGAAAAAAAUUACCCUUGGAUUUUUUUUAGGGAUUGCAGAAUAGUCCUUAGACUUUGUUAGGUUACUAAUGUGACUCCUCAGUUGUGAAACCGGGGUGUUACACAUAUGGGGUGCACAACAAGAAACGGGUAGUUACUAAUUAUAGCAUGUUCAAUAAUCUUUGUUUUUUAGUGAAUUUAUGUGAUAAUUGUUAUGUUAUUUGUUGAUAGAGUUGAAGGUGCGCAUUCAAAGUUGAAGAAGAUUCUUUCAGAUAGCAAAGGUGACUGUAGGAUCACGCGCUUACCACUACGCCAAAACCAAUUGGUGUUAGUGAGGGCGCAACGUUAUUUCUUAUAGCGUAGCAGACAGCGCCCCGUUUCGAAUGCUACCUGCAGGCAGGAUGCUGGCCCACCUGGACCCAACAAUCCCCCCCCCCAGCACCUGCCAGCCAAACUAGCUGCACAGCAUGCCUUCCGUGGGAUUCGAACACGGGACCUGGCUCUGAUACCACUUGUAGGAUCACGCGCUUACCACUAACGUUUUCAGUACAAAACUACCACCUUAAAGAUUUUAACAAAUCUUUUCGAGAACUAAGUGCAAAAGAUAGAUAUAGAAAAGCACACAAGGAUUUUAUCCUGGUUCACUUGAUAAAUCACUCAAGCUACUCCAGUCCACCCGUUAAGGUGAUUUCUUCCUUCUUAGAAUGAAGGCAAUCCACUAAUCAGGUAAGAGUUACAACUGCACUUGAAACCUACAAGUGACUAACAAUUACACUGACUUAGCUCACACUAAGAUUCACUCUCUUAGUCUUCUCUAGGAUCCGAUCAACCUUGAUCUCCUAAAGGAAAAUCAAACAACUGUUUGAGGUUGGUGUUUACAAGGGUUUGCUUCUGAAUAAGCUGAGUGUAAACUAAAUAAAUUACAAGAUGAAAGAAAGCUUAGAAUAUUUUGAAUAUCUUGCGCGUGUGUUGCUUCUUGUAUUCACUUCACUUCUCUAGCCGCUUCUUUCAAUCUUCAGCCUCUAUAUAUACUCCAAGGAUUAGGGUUGAGCGUUGCAUGGGAAAUGCUACCGUUGGAGGGCAGUUCUGGAAAAUCCAGCUUCUGCUGUGGCUGAGAACGUUAGGUAAGUCGUCAGGAAGGUACACUUGCUUUUGUACUUGGAUAGCGACUUGACCUUUUAACCUAGGAGACUUCUGAUCAGAGGAAUGCUUCGUAUUGGAACUUGUGAAGCCGGUUGAUCAGAGUCAGAGGGAUAGCACAGAUCCUCUGACCAUUGUAUCUUCUGAUUCUGAACUCAGAGGGAAGAACAUGGCCUUCAGAGUUUCUUGCUUCUGGACUUCAGAGUUUCUACUAUUCAGCUUCUGGAUCUUCAGAGUCUUCUACACCAUCGGAACAUCUGAACCUUCAGUGUUUCUUGGUUGUCAGAACUUCUGGAUCAUCAGAGCUUCUAGCGACUGAGUCCUCAUCAGAGUUUGUAUAGCUUCAGAUCUUCUGAAGCUUUUCCACUGUUCAUACUGAACAUGGUGAACGCGAAAGCGUUGCUUGGGUUACCCUUUAUACACAGUGCUUCUGAUUUGUGUGAAAUUGAGUCAGGGUCAGAGCCUGUAAAUAGCACACUCAGAAAAACACGUUAGAGUACCACAAUUGUUCAUAUCAAAAGGUUAACUUGUAAUCAUCAAAACAUAGAGUUGUACUACUAGAUCAAAACUUGAUCUUACAAUCUCCCCCUUUUUGAUGAUGACAAAACUAAGAUUUUUGAUGAACAAUUCUUAAACAUUAAACUGAAUUCACUCAGAGUUUAGAGAUAUGGAAUAAGACUUAUCCUGAUGUGAAUAGUUUAUCUUGCUCAUUCUGAAUUCAAGUCACUGCUUGAUUCUGAGCUUAGCUCCCCCUGAAUCUAAUACUUGAUGAAAACGUUAGUAAAGUCUAGAUUCUGAGCUAAAUCAUAUAAGAGUUCAGAGUGAAAAGCUUAUGACAUAGAUGAAAAACGAAUAAUCAGAGCGCAUAAGUGAUCAGAGUCAUGGACAAGGUAUCAGAGUCUUGGGUAUCAGAGUCAACUUAGAAUCACUUCAGAAGAAGUGAAAUGUAUUCCUUGUAUUUGCCCAGUGACACAUCUAUGGUCAUGAAGGUGGAACUCUUAAAAUCUCCAAAAGAAAAAUAAGUCACACUAACACAUCUUACACAUCAAAAACUGGGUUUACUCCCCCUUUUUGUCAUAAGCAAAAAGCUCGGGGUGUGAAAAACUUAGCUUGAAGUACAAGGUACUCCCCCUUAGAGAAGGUCUAAGUUGAAAGAAAAUGAGGACGAUGUAAGAAUCAGAGUGAGGCGAUAAUAAAUAGAAGAGUUAAUGCAAGGGAUGAACGUUUACCACCGGUCAAGUGAGUAAAUAGAAGGGUCAGUUACCAAGAACUUAACCUCGAGAAACUGUAAGAGCAUUAACUUUCAGAGAGAAAGUGAAACCUAUAUAAAGCGUUGGAGAGAAGGUAAGCUUCACAUCUCGAAUAAUUUUCAGUAAGAAAAAUGGCAUCAUACAGAAAGGCAUUAGAAGAGCUCAGAAGGAAGGCGUUUGAGGAAGAUAUAUUCCUCAAUAUUAGGCAUCCCGAUGGUACAAAGACCAUACAAGAGCUUACGAAGACACUGCUGGAAGAAGAUCUUGGUCCAGAGAUGGAGAAAGAUCUGAAGGAGUUCCUCUGCUUCGUGGAAGAGAUUCAGAGGCUUUGCCAGCGGGAGCUGAAUCUGCUGGAAGAGAAGGAGACUGUGGAAAAGAGACUUAAGACGACAGAAGAUAGUCUAGAAAAAGAUGAUCUGAGCAUCAAACUCGGCAACAUAGAGUAUGCAUUGGAUCGUCUGGAGAAGGAAAGAGUGGAGCAGCGCCAAGAAUGCAGAAGAAUGAGGAAGGAUCCUCCAUUCUAGAUAUAGGGAAUAAUGUAUGAUGGAAAGAAUUAUGAUGUAAACAUAGAACAAUUAUGAAUAAAACAGGUUUUGCAAACAUAUGUGACACAAUUAUAUAUAGCUAUAUGCAUAUAGAAUCACAAAUGAACAAAUUAAAGUAAGUAAAUAAGCAGAGUUUAAAUAAAACAACGUUAAAUAAAAAGGAAAAGGAAGAAAAAGAAGAGAUCCUAAAAAAAACUAAGAUUUGUCAGUACGGCGCAGAAGUUCCAUCAUCAUGUGCUUCAUCUCAAUCAACAUGGAUUCAUGAGUGUCAAGACGUUGUUCCAUGAUGUCGAGUCUGGAUGAGCUUGGCGGAGUAGAGCUGGAAGGAACGUUCUGAGCAGCUUGAGGUUCUGGAAUGGAAGCAGAAGCAGCAGGAGUAAACAGAACUGGUGCAAGUCGCUCUGCCUCAGCCUCAGCUUCAAGACGUUCUGCCUCAAGUCGGGCUUGUUCAGCCUGAGCUGCUGCUUGACGGGCAGCUUCUUCUUCUUGUUCUUUCUGUCUCUUGGCUUCUUCAAUGGCGUCAAGAAGCUUGGUUCUCUGUUCGAGUUCAUGAAGAGCCACCCUCCUAGCAAACCUUUGCUUUGCAGCCUCAAUGCUCUGACUUCCCUCUGCAUGCAGGAGCUGCAGCAUAACGGGAAACUGAGCCACCAGCCAAGUGCUCAAAUUAUUCCACUCAUCAGCCACAUUUUCAGCAUUCUCACUGAGGUCAGUCUGACCGUGCACAUUGCGGAGCCUCAAGGAGGCUUCAUGAUUGAAAAUAUUGAUGCACUCAGAGAGAGAUGUGGGUUGAAGGUGAGUAUAGGGAAUGAUGGAGAGGUUGGGUGCAGGAGAGGCUGAGUGAUUGCUGCUAUGAGCUUCAGAGGCACCUUGUGGAGAACCAAUGUUAAUUAUGGGAGCAUUGGGUUCAGAGGUUCCACGGUGAGGGUCUGAAGUUUCAACCAGAGGGUGAGGUGAUCUAACCGAGGAUUGGUUAGAUACUGAUUGUUCAGGUUCAGGGUCUGGUUGAAUUGGCUCUUGUUGGUCAGGGACAGGGUGAGCCUGUUGGACUAAGGGGUCUGCCUCUUGGAUAGGAUGGGCCAAGAUAGGGUCAUCUGGGUCAACUAGACGUUCAGGUCUAGGGCCAGGAUAUUGCCUAGGGCUUGGACAGGUAAGGUAAUAUUCUUCCAAGGCAGAUACCUUCUCUUUCCUAACCUCCAUGAAUUUUCUAAGUGAUUCAGAGGUAUUGGAGGGAGGAGAGUCAAUGACAUUGAUGGGGAAGGAUACAGGUGUGAAGACUGAGGAAGAGUCUGUAUCCGUGGUUCUGACAGCAGGACGUGCUGAUGCUCUGGGAGCAGAGUGAUCAGACGUUCUGGGUUGUGGUUCUGUUGGUUUGGGUUCUGGUUGGUUUUGGAUGAUGGGUUCAGAAAGUAAUGGGUCGUAUGGAAUGGUAAGGAGAGAGGUUGGAUCUUCUGACCUAGAGGGUUGGUUCUGAAGCAAAUUCCAGAGUGGUGCUUCAGUAGGAGAAGGUUGAAAGAAUGAAGAUCUUGGGGAAUGUGGUGGAGAGGUGGUUUGUGCGGCUGGCUGGGAUUCAGGAAUAGGAGUGAGGGGAUUUGAAGAGUGUUGGAGUAAGGCAGAAAUUGGGAGUGCAUCAAAUAAAUUCAAAUCAUCAUCAGAGGUAAGUGCAGGCUUACUUGUAUGUGCUGAUGAUCGAGUCACUCUGGCAGGAGCUUCAGUCCUUCUGACCUCUGCAGCAGCUGGUUCCACCCGAGUAGGCUUCACCACAAUUCUGACUUUCUUCUGCUUCUUCUUUGGAGGACCAUCCUCACUAUCAUCACCAUCAUCAUCAUCAGGCUUGCUCUUCGCCUUCUUGACCAGAGGGACAUCAGAUUCCUCUGAGGAUUCGUCCAGAACCAUCUUCCUCUUGGUUUUCUUCUUGGGAGGAGAAGGAAACUCUGGAGCUGGUGGAAGUCUGCUGACGAAAUCAUCAAGGUCAAUCUCGAAUCCUUGAGCCCUGAGGUCUUCAACAUAGCAUCUGAUGGCUUCAGGAUGGUCUGCUUGAGUCCACAGAGGGUAGUCAUUCAGAGGCAUUCUUCUUCCUCUGAUCUCAGAAGAUGUGUCCUCAUGAGCAGGAGCAAUCUUCUUCUGGACCAAACCCAUCUUCUUCAGAGAGUUGGCGGUGAAGACAUCGCUAACAAUUGUGCUCAAGUCCUCUGUGCAACCAGCAUUGAUCAAAUCUUGCACCAAGUUGCUUUCAAUGAGAAAGUCUGAGAGCAGCCUCCCAAAAGGGAUAUAUUUGAUGGCUGACUUGAUGGAGGAGGUGGUGCGAGACUUCCGGAUGCAUUCCUUCAAAUAGGAGAACAGGAAGUAGGGAAGGCAGAUCUUCUCCUUGUCUUGAAUGAAGAACAGCAUCGCCUUCUGAUUGAAGUUGAUGUAGUCUGGAGAACUGCCCUUUGGUCGUUGAUUGAUGCAGUUGAGCAGGAUCUUGUGCCAGAUUCUCAGUUUGGGGUGAAGGUCCAUCACUUUGUAGCUCGUCUUGCCUGGUUUGAAGGUGGUGUACAGGGCCUUGUUGACGAUGUCCUUGGUUCUGGGUUUCAGCUUCGAUUCCGUCAGUGAGAACCGAUACCCAUGAGCAGUUUCUGCACCUAGCAGAUUCACGAAUGACUUCUCCGUGAUGAUGAUCUUCCUACCCAGUAUGUAAGAAACCACCUGAGUGUCAUCACAGUCGGCGUGCUUCCAGAAUUCCUUUACCAGCUUCUCAUACACCGGUCCUCGAAGUCGAUUGAAGUAGUUUCCCCAACCUUGAGCUUGGACUUCAGGACGGAGAUCAAACCCAUUUGCAGCCAAGUUGUCGAGGUUGAAUCUCCAUUCUGCCAGGACUUGGAGUUCCUCAGGAGGAAAUACACAGUGAACGGCACAGCCCCGUUCUGCAAUAGGAACAAUCUCCUCUUGAGCUUGAGCUUGUUCUUGUGCUGGGUUCUCAGAGCCCCGUUGACCCGUUGCCAAACCGACUACCAUGUGAGGGAACUGAGGUGCAUCUGCAGUAGAUCUGCUGGUUUGUCUCACCAUCUUGAAGAGGUUGAAGGUUUGAGGUAGAAGAUGAAGUUUGAAGGAUGAAGAGAGAUCGAGAGAGAAUUCGAGAGAAAGGCGGUUUUGAAAAGCAGAGAGUGCGAGAGUGAAAACCGGAAGUGUGAGAGAACGUGUGUGUAUAGUGGGUUUUAUCAAAUAACCGUUGUUGAUUCAAAAAGCACUUUAAGAUCAACGGUUGAAAAUUAAAGAUAGAUAGUAACAGUAAAAUACACAAUCACACACAGGAGAUAAGCAUAUCUACACGCAAUCAUAACAGACUGUCACACGGGCACAAGGAACUAUGCAUCAGAAAUUCUGACGCACGUGUUGUUGUCUCAGCUUCAGAGUCAGUACCAGUGGGCACACACACUCUGAUUGAGUUACCUUCUGGACUAGACAUCUUCUGAACAAGAAGUAUCAUAGUCAGAGGUUCUGAUCUAUCUUCACUCUGGACAAAAGUCCAUGUUUAGAUUUUUCAGAAUAAAAUUAAAUCUAUCUUCAGCUAAGGGCUUUGUAAAGAUAUCUGCCCAUUGAUGGUCAGUAUCAACAAACUUCAGAAGAAGUACGCCCUUCUGCACAUAAUCUCUAAUGAAGUGAUACUUUACCUCAAUGUGCUUUGCCCUUGAAUGCAAGAUAGGAUUCUUGCUCAACGAAAUUGCAGCAGUGUUAUCACAAUAGAUUGGGAUAUUGCUCUCAAGGAUCUGAUAAUCCUCCAGCUGAUGUUUCAUCCAGAGCAUCUGAGUGCUGCAUAUUGCUGCUGAGAUAUAUUCUGCCUCUGCAGUUGAUAGAGCAAUGGUUGAUUGCCUCUUGCUUGCCCAUGAGACUAGAUUGCUUCCCAGAAAUUGACAAUUUCCAGAAGUACUUUUUCUCUCUGUUCUAUCUCCAGCAUAAUCAGCAUCACAAUAACCUGAAAGCUUAUACUCUGAUGUUUUCUUAUACAUCAAGCCAAGGUUAGUGGUGCCUUUCAGAUACCUUAGGAUCCUCUUAACAGCAGUUAAGUGGGUUUCCCUUGGAUCUGAUUGGAAACGAGCACAUAAAUGAACACUAAAUAAUAUGUCUGGCCUAGAUGCAGUUAAGUACAGAAGUGAACCUAUCAUGCCACGAUAGAGCUUCUGACAUACUUUACCACUUAUAUCUUCUUUUUCCAGAAUGCACGUUGGAUGCAUUGGAGUCUUGGCCACUGUAGAUUCCAGCAUAUUGAACUUCUUCAGAAGUUCCUUAGUGUACUUGCUCUGAUGGAUAUAUGUUCCUUCUGGUGUUUGAUCAACUUGUAUUCCCAGAAAGUACUUUAAUUCUCCCAUCAUACUCAUCUCAAAUUCAGCCUGCAUCAUCUCAGAAAAUUCUUUGCAUAGAGAUUGAUUAGCAGAACCAAAUAUAAUAUCAUCAACAUAAAUUUGCACAAUUAAGAUAUCAUCUUUAUAAGUCUUGCAAAAGAGAGUUGUAUCUACUUUACCCCUUACAAACUCAUUCUCCAGAAGGAAUGAGCUAAGUCUCUCAUACCAUGCUCUGGGAGCUUGCUUCAGACCGUAGAGUGAUUUCUUCAAUUUGAACACAUGGUCUGGUUUCUUUUCAUCUUCAAAACCUGGGGGUUGAUGAACAUAGACUUCCUCUGAGAUAUAACCAUUUAGGAAGGCACUCUUUACGUCCAUCUGAUGUAGAACUAUGUUGUGAUUUACUGAGAAAGAAAUCAAUAGUCUGAUUGCCUCCAGUCUUGCUACUGGAGCAAAUGUUUCAGUGUAGUCUAUUCCUUCCUGCUGGCUGUAGCCUUGAGCAACUAGCCUUGCCUUGUUUCUGACUACAUCUCCUUUCUCAUUUAGCUUGUUUCUGAAUACCCAUUUCGUUCCAAUAACAUGGACAUUCUCAGGCUUCUUCACUAAGCUCCAAACAUCGUUCUUGGAGAAUUGAUUCAAUUCUUCUUCCAUGGCCAGAAUCCAAUCCUUGUCCUGAAGAGCUUCAUCUAUGGACUUGGGUUCAAUUAAGGACACCAAUCCUUUCAGACUCAGCAAGGUCUCUUCAGAGGGUCUGAAGGCAGAUCUGGUUCUGACUGGUUCAUCUUUGUUGCCCAGAAUCAAUUCCUUAGGAUGAGCUGCAGUGAUUCUGCUCUUCUUCAGAGUUUGUGAGUUAGAGGGACCAGCUUCUUCCUCUGGUUCAUCUUCCUCUGGCUCAACUUCCUCUGGAGCUUUGCCUUUGUCAGAAACAUUAAUGCUUAAAUCUGCAAACUUUUCAACUAGCUUUGACUGGUCAGAGUCAAGCUUAUCAUCAAAUCUAACAUGAAUAGAUUCUUCAAUAGUCUUAGCAUCAGUAUUAUAAAAUCUAAAACCUUUAGAUCUAUCAGAAUAACCAAGUAAUAGACACUUAGAAGAUUUAGCAUCAAAUUUAUGCAAUCUAUCCUUAGUAUUGAGAACAUAACAAACACAGCCAAAAGGAUGAAAAUAAGAAAUGUUGGGUUUUAUGUUCUUCCACAAUUCAUAAGGAGUCUUAUUCAGAAUUGGUCUCACAGAGAUUCUGUUCUGAAUGUAACAUGCUGUAUUUACUGCCUCUGCCCAAAAGUGCUUAGCCAUGCCAGUUUCUUGGAGCAUGGUUCUAGCCAUCUCCUGAAGAGUUCUGUUCUUCCUCUCAACAACACCAUUUUGUUGAGGAGUUCUGGGACAAGAGAAAUCAUGUGCAAUUCCAUAGGAAUCAAACAGACUCUCAAACUUGUCAUUCUCAAACUCUCCACCAUGGUCACUUCUGACACGCACAAUUCUACAAGCCUUCUCGUUUUGCACUUGAGCAAUGAAGGUAGAGAACACAGCAUGAGACUCAUCCUUGCGGGUUAGAAACUUUACCCAUGUCCAGCGGCUAUAGUCAUCAACGAUAACCAUCCCAUAUCUCUUGCCACCUAUAGACUCAGUUUUCACUGGUCCAAACAGGUCGAUAUGCAGAAGUUCUAACGGCCUUGAGGUUGAGACAACAUUCUUUGCCUUGAAAGGGACUUUUGUGAAUUUGCCUUUCUGACAUGCUUCACAAAGAGCGUCUGAAGCGAACUUCAGAUUGGGUAAGCCCCUGACAAGGUUUAGCUUGCUCAGCUGAGAAAUCUUUCUCAUACUGGCAUGCCCUAACCGUCUAUGCCAUACCCACUGCUCUUCAUUAACAGACAGAAGGCACUUCACAUUCUGAGCCUCCAACUCAGAUAAUCUGAUCUUGUAAAUGUUGUUCUUCCUCUUGCUGUUAAACAGAACAGAGCCAUCGAUCUGACUUACAGCCCGGCAGGACUUUUGAUUGAAUAUAACAUCAUAACCCUUGUCAGCUAAUUGACUUAUAGACAAUAAGUUAUGUGUUAAGCCGUCUACCAAUAAAACAUUAUCAAUGCAUGGACUACUAUCUACACAAAUAGUACCAGUACCAAUAAUUUUACCCUUUUCAUUUCCUCCAAAGCCAACUUCGCCUCCAGGCUUAAGUUUCAGCUCUCGGAACAUACGCUUUUCUCCCGUCAUGUGACGCGAGCAUCCACUGUCCAGAUACCAUGAUUGGUGUUUCAGUGGAGCUAUCAAGGAUAUCUGCAACAUAGAUAAUCUUGUCCUUAGGUACCCACUUUCUGGGUCCUCUUUUGUUAGUUACCCCAAAGGUUCUGAUCACCUUGGGUGUCUCAACAUGAUAUUUUAAAGGAAUAUUUGCAUGAUAUUUAGUCAUAGAGAAAGAUCCCUUUUUAAGAGGGUUUUUAGCAACUUCAGCAGGUACAGGAUCAGGCAAUAUGGUACCAGAGGGAACAAAGCAUUCAUACAAGGAUUUAGCUUUAGACACAGAAGGCUCAUUUCUAAUUGGUUUAGAAUAGCCAAUGCCAUGCAUUCCAUUUCUGCUUACACCAUAGAUCAUUGAAGCCAUUAAGCUUCUAUCUACGCUUUUAGCCAGGAAUCUUUGAAAAGAUUUUUCAUACUUAGAUUCAUGCUUACUAUCAGAGGCAUCGCAGGCAAUAACUUCUUCUAACUUUGCAAUUUGAUUCUUAAGCACAGAGUUAGAAUUAACUAAAGCAUGGUUAUCAUUUUUCAAAUCAGAUAUGAUUUUCUCAUGUUCAGAAGGAGUUUUAGAAACAGCAGAUAAGUUCUUUUUCAGCUUCUUAUGCUUAGACAACAAGGAGUUAUACUUAUCCAUGAUAUCAGACAAAGCAUGUUUCAGUUCAGAGGUAGAGAAGGAAGCAAAUACCUCAUUUUCAUCGUCAGAGUCUGGAUCUCCUUCUGAUUCUGAGUCAGAGUCAACAGCUUCCUUUGACUCUGUUCCUUUGUCUUUGACAAUAGCCAUGAGUCCUUGGACUUCACCAUCAGAGUCAACAUCCUCUGACUCUGAUUCAUCGAAUGUCACCAUCAGACUCUUCUUGGUCUUGAAGUGCUUCUUUGGCUUCUUGUCCUUCUUCAAUUUUGGACAGUCACUUUUGUAGUGCCCUGAUUCUUUGCACUCAAAGCAAGUGACUUCCUUGAUUGAUGACUUCUUCUGACCUGAGGAUUCAGACUUUCCUCUUGCCUUUCCAGAGCCUUUGAACUUGCUCUGCCUGUGCUUCCAGAUGCGGUUGAGUCUCUUGGAGAUCAGAGUCAGCUCAUCUUCAUCAGAAUAUUCUGAUGCUUCUUCUGAUUCUUCUUCUUCAGCUUGAAGAGCCUUUGACUUCUCAACCUUAGCCUUUUCAGAUUUGGAUUUCAAGGCUAUGGACUUUUUCCUCAGAUCUUGCAUCUCUGAGCGCUUCAGCUCAUGGCAUUUCAAAAUGCUGAUGAGUUCUUCUAAACUCAUAUUCUCAACAUCUCUCGUGAGCUCUAUUGAAGUCACCAAAGGCAUCCAACUUUCAGGAAGACACCUGAUGACCCUUAUGACGUGAUCUUUUGUUGUGUAGCUCUUGUUGAGAGGACGUAUGCCAGCUACAAGCAGUUGAAAUCUGGAGAACAUUUCUUCAAUGGACUCAUUUGGCUCCAUGAUGAAGGAUUCAUACUUUUGGAUCAAAGACAAUGCCUUUGAUUCUUUGACUUUCUUGUUUCCUUCAUGAGACAUCUUCAGAGAAUCAAAAAUGCCUUUAGCAAACUCACGAUCUGUAAUCUUCUGGUACUCCUCAUAGGAGAUAGCACUUAGAAGAAUUGCUCUUGCUUUAUGAUGUUGUGAGUACAGCUUCUUUUGAUCUGCAGACAUCUCUGACCUUGGGAUCUUUUUGCCAUCUGCAUCAACUGGACGCUCAUAGCCAUCCACAAUAAUAUCCCAGAGAUCUGCAUCGAAACCCAGAAAGAAACUUUCCAGUCUAUCUUUCCAAUAUUCGAACCUUUGACCAUCGAACAUAGGAGGCUUUGCGUUGUAACCAUCUCUUUGAGUUUCACUGGUGGUGGCAGCCAUUGUUUUUCACACCGGCCCGGAUCACUGAACACUGUUAGGUGUGGUAAUCAGAACUUGCGCUCUGAUACCACUUGUAGGAUCACGCGCUUACCACUACGCCAAAACCAAUUGGUGUUAGUGAGGGCGCAACGUUAUUUCUUAUAGCGUAGCAGACAGCGCCCCGUUUCGAAUGCUACCUGCAGGCAGGAUGCUGGCCCACCUGGACCCAACAGUGACUUGGUUACAACUUGGACUGCUAUCAACAAGCUUCUUAUCAUGCAGCAUGACAAGAUAAAAGAAUCCUACCAGCUCACCGUUUUUGUCACCGAGCAUACUCUCAAUGACGUGUUUUAUAAGCAUUUGCGAGGCUUUGUUUCUAGAGCAGCAUUGCACAUGAUUGUUAGAGAGAGGAAACGAAUCGGUAAGAUUCGUGUUAUGGUUUAUAUUGCGCUUGUGCGAUUAGAAGAACCCAUGGACUACCCUGUGUCUGUGAGCUUCAGAAGUUAACUUCUGUCCCAUUACUUGCGGUACAUCCUCGUUGGAGGAAAUUGAAUUGGGAUUGUUCAGACCCUGCCAUUAAUCCUGAGUUGGGAGUCAGUUUUGAGUCUGAACUUGAAACUUUAAGAGUUAAAUUUGACGGAGCUUCUGCGGCAGUGAGGAAGUCCAUGAUUGAUAGCAUUAGAAUGAUUUCUUUCCCGGAAAGGACUUCCAUGUGUCCUCCAAAGAAGGCCACACCUAAAGGUAGACAAAAAGGCUAUUCGAAAAAGGAAACAAAGAAGGCAGCAAAGGGUAUCAAAUUACCUAGUAUGGGCUCUACGAAACGUCAUCCAUCUCGUUGGGAGCAUAUUGAUGCCUUGUAUCCGGGCUCUUUGGAAGAUAGCAACUCCACACCAAAUAUUGCCAUUUCUCCCAAACGAGUAAAGAAUCUAAGCCUCCACCGGGGCAUGUUGAGACAAAUCCCCGAAGAGUUUCGUCCAUUCAUUGAUUCCUUGGUUCAUGUAAAGGGAGACAAACAUUGCAGAUUUAGAUGUGUUGCAGCAUUGUUGGAUAUGGUAGAAGACAAAUGGCCGAUUGUUCGUAGGACUUUGAUCCAGGAGCUUGACACUGAGUUUGGCAUGUAUGUAAGAUCAAGUUUUGAUCUAGUAGUACAACUCUAUGUUUUGAUGAUUACAAGUUAACCUUUUGAUAUGAACAAUUGUGGUACUCUAACGUGUUUUUCUGAGUGUGCUAUUUACAGGCUCUGACCUCAACUCAAUCUCACACAAAUCAGAAGCACUGUGUAUAAAGGGUAACCCAAGCAACGCUUUCGCAUUCACCAUGUUCAGUAUGAACAGUGGAAAAGCUUCAGAAGUUCUGAAGCUAUACAAACUCUGAUGAGGACUCAGUCGCUAGAAGCUCUGAAGAUCCAGAAGUUCUGAUAGCCAAGAAACACUGAAGGUUCAGAUGUUCUGAUGGUGUAGAAGACUCUGAAGAUCCAGAAGCUGAAUAGUGGAAACUCUGAAGUCCAGAAGCAAGAAACUCUGAAGGCCAUGUUCUUCCCUCUGAGUUCAGAAUCAGAAGAUACAAUGGUCAGAGGAUCUGUGCUUUCCCUCUGACUCUGAUCAACCGGCUUCACAAGUUCCAAUAUGAAGUAUUCCCCUGAUCAGAAGUCUCCUAGGUUAAAAGGUCAAGUCGCUAUCCAAGUACAAAAGCAAGUGUACCUUCCUGACGACCUACCUAACGUUCUCAGCCACAGCAGAAGCUGGAUUUUCCAGAACUGCCCUCCAACGGUAGCAUUUCCCAUGCAACGCUCAACCCUAAUCCUUGGAGUAUAUAUAGAGGCUGAAGAUUGAAAGAAGCGGCUAGAAUAGCAAAAACAACACACACACACAAGACAUAUUCAAAAUAUUCUAAGCUUUCUUUCAUCUGAAAUUCAUUGUGUUUACUAUCAGCUUUUUAGAAGCAAAUCUCUUGUAAACAAUUCUUUGAUAAACAGUUUGUUUAGUUCCUUUAGGAGAUCAAGGUUGAUCGGAUCCUAGAGAAGACUAAGAGAGUGAAUCUUAGUGUGAGCUAAGUCAGUGUAAUUGUUAGUCACUUGUAGGUUUCAAGUGCAGUUGUAACUCUUACCUGAUUAGUGGAUUGCCUUCAUUCUAAGAAGGAAGAAAUCACCUUAACGGGUGGACUGGAGUAGCUUGAGUGAUUUAUCAAGUGAACCAGGAUAAAAUCCUUGUGUGCUUUUCUAUCUCUUAUCUUUAGCACUUAAGUUCUCGAAAGAUUUGUCAAAAUCUUUAAGGUGGUAGUUUUGUACUGAAAACGUUAUUCAAACCCCCCCUUUCUACCGUUUUUCAUACCUUCAAUUGGUAUCAGAGCGCAAGUUCUGAUUACCACACCUAACAGUGUUCAGUGAUCCGGGCCGGUGUGAAAAACAAUGGCUGCCACCACUAGUGAAACUCAAAGAGAUGGUUACAAUGCAAAGCCUCCUAUGUUCGACGGUCAAAGGUUCGAAUAUUGGAAAGAUAGACUGGAAAGUUUCUUUCUGGGUUUCGAUGCAGAUCUCUGGGAUAUUAUUGUGGAUGGCUACGAGCGUCCAGUUGAUGCAGAUGGCAAGAAGAUCCCAAGGUCAGAGAUGACUGCAGAUCAAAAGAAGCUGUACUCACAACAUCACAAAGCAAGAGCAAUUCUUCUAAGUUCUAUUUCCUAUGAGGAGUACCAGAAGAUUACAGAUCGUGAGUUUGCUAAAGGCAUUUUUGAUUCUCUGAAGAUGUCUCAUGAAGGAAACAAGAAAGUCAAAGAAUCAAAGGCAUUGUCUUUGAUCCAAAAGUAUGAAUCCUUCAUCAUGGAUCCAAAUGAGUCCAUUGAAGAAAUGUUCUCCAGAUUUCAACUGCUUGUAGCUGGCAUACGUCCUCUCAACAAGAGCUACACAACAAAAGAUCAUGUCAUAAGGGUCAUCAGGUGUCUUCCUGAAAGUUGGAUGCCUUUGGUGACUUCAAUAGAGCUCACGAGAGACGUUGAGAAUAUGAGUUUAGAAGAACUCAUCAGCAUUUUGAAAUGCCAUGAGCUGAAGCGCUCAGAGAUGCAAGAUCUGAGGAAAAAGUCUAUAGCCUUGAAAUCCAAAUCUGAAAAGGCUAAAGUUGAGAAGUCAAAGGCUCUUCAAGCUGAAGAAGAAGAAUCUGAAGAAGCAUCAGAAGAUUCUGAUGAAGAUGAGCUGACUCUGAUCUCCAAGAGACUCAACCGCAUCUGGAAGCACAGGCAGAGCAAGUUCAAAGGCUCUGGAAAGGCAAGAGGAAAGUCUGAAUCCUCAGGUCAGAAGAAGUCAUCAAUCAAGGAAGUCACUUGCUUUGAGUGCAAAGAAUCAGGGCACUACAAAAGUGACUGUCCAAAAUUGAAGAAGGACAAGAAGCCAAAGAAGCACUUCAAGACCAAGAAGAGUCUGAUGGUGACAUUUGAUGAAUCAGAGUCAGAGGAUGUUGACUCUGAUGGUGAAGUCCAAGGACUCAUGGCAAUUGUCAAAGACAAGGAAGCAGAGUCAAAGGAAGCUGUUGACUCUGACUCAGAAUCAGAAGGAGAUCCUAACUCAGACGAUGAAAAUGAGGUAUUUGCUUCUUUCUCUACCUCUGAACUGAAACAUGCUUUGUCUGAUAUCAUGGAUAAGUAUAACUCUUUAUUGUCUAAGCAUAAAAAGUUGAAAAAGAACUUAUCUACUGUCUCCAAGACUCCUUCUGAACAUGAGAAAAUUAUUUCUGAUUUGAAAAAUGAAAAUCAUGCUUUGGUAAAUUCUAACUCUGUGCUUAAGAACCAGAUCGCUAAGUUAGAAGAAAUUGUUGCCUGUGAUGCCUCUGAUUGUAGAAAUGAAUCUAAGUAUGAAAAGUCUUUUCAAAGAUUCCUAGCUAAAAGCGUGGAUAGAAGCUUAAUGGCUUCAAUGAUCUAUGGCGUAAGCAGAAAUGGAAUGCAUGGCAUUGGCUAUUCUAAACCAAUUAGAAAUGAGCCUUCUGUGUCUAAAGCUAAAUCUUUAUAUGAAUGCUUUGUUCCCUCUGGUACCAUAUUGCAUGAUCCUGUACCUGCUAAAGUUGCUAAAAACCCUCUUAAAAAGGGAUCUUUCUCUAUGACUAAAUAUCAUGCAAAUAUUCCUUUAAAAUAUUAUGUUGAGACACCCAAGGUGAUCAGAACCUCUGGGGUAACUAACAAAAGAGGACCCAGAAAGUGGGUACCUAAGGACAAGAUUAUCUAUGUUGCAGAUAUCCUUGAUAGCUCCACUGAAACACCAAUCAUGGUAUCUGGACAGUGGAUGCUCGCGUCACAUGACGGGAGAAAAGCGUAUGUUCCGAGAGCUGAAACUUAAGCCUGGAGGCGAAGUUGGCUUCGGAGGAAAUGAAAAGGGUAAAAUUAUUGGUACUGGUACUAUUUGUGUAGAUAGUAGUCCAUGCAUUGAUAAUGUUUUAUUGGUAGACGGCUUAACACAUAACUUAUUGUCUAUAAGUCAAUUAGCUGACAAGGGUUAUGAUGUUAUAUUCAAUCAAAAGUCCUGCCGGGCUGUAAGUCAGAUCGAUGGCUCUGUUCUGUUUAACAGCAAGAGGAAGAACAACAUUUAUAAGAUCAGAUUAUCUGAGUUGGAGGCUCAGAAUGUGAAGUGCCUUCUGUCUGUUAAUGAAGAGCAGUGGGUAUGGCAUAGACGGUUAGGGCAUGCCAGUAUGAGAAAGAUUUCUCAGCUGAGCAAGCUAAACCUUGUCAGGGGCUUACCCAAUCUGAAGUUCGCUUCAGACGCUCUUUGUGAAGCAUGUCAGAAAGGCAAAUUCACAAAAGUCCCUUUCAAGGCAAAGAAUGUUGUCUCAACCUCAAGGUCGUUAGAACUUCUGCAUAUCGACCUGUUUGGACCAGUGAAAACUGAGUCUAUAGGUGGCAAGAGAUAUGGGAUGGUUAUCGUUGAUGACUAUAGCCGCUGGACAUGGGUAAAGUUUCUAACCCGCAAGGAUGAGUCUCAUGCUGUGUUCUCUACCUUCAUUGCUCAAGUGCAAAACGAGAAGGCUUGUAGAAUUGUGCGUGUCAGAAGUGACCAUGGUGGAGAGUUUGAGAAUGACAAGUUUGAGAGUCUGUUUGAUUCCUAUGGAAUUGCACAUGAUUUCUCUUGUCCCAGAACUCCUCAACAAAAUGGUGUUGUUGAGAGGAAGAACAGAACUCUUCAGGAGAUGGCUAGAACCAUGCUCCAAGAAACUGGCAUGGCUAAGCACUUUUGGGCAGAGGCAGUAAAUACAGCAUGUUACAUUCAGAACAGAAUCUCUGUGAGACCAAUUCUGAAUAAGACUCCUUAUGAAUUGUGGAAGAACAUAAAACCCAACAUUUCUUAUUUUCAUCCUUUUGGCUGUUUGUUAUGUUCUCAAUACUAAGGAUAGAUUGCAUAAAUUUGAUGCUAAGUCUUCUAAGUGUCUAUUACUUGGUUAUUCUGAUAGAUCUAAAGGUUUUAGAUUUUAUAAUACUGAUGCUAAGACUAUUGAAGAAUCUAUUCAUGUUAGAUUUGAUGAUAAGCUUGACUCUGACCAGUCAAAGCUAGUUGAAAAGUUUGCAGAUUUAAGCAUUAAUGUUUCUGACAAAGGCAAAGCUCCAGAGGAAGUUGAGCCAGAGGAAGAUGAACCAGAGGAAGAAGCUGGUCCCUCUAACUCACAAACUCUGAAGAAGAGCAGAAUCACUGCAGCUCAUCCUAAGGAAUUGAUUCUGGGCAACAAAGAUGAACCAGUCAGAACCAGAUCUGCCUUCAGACCCUCUGAAGAGACCUUGCUGAGUCUGAAAGGAUUGGUGUCCUUAAUUGAACCCAAGUCCAUAGAUGAAGCUCUUCAGGACAAGGAUUGGAUUCUGGCCAUGGAAGAAGAAUUGAAUCAAUUCUCCAAGAACGAUGUUUGGAGCUUAGUGAAGAAGCCUGAGAAUGUCCAUGUUAUUGGAACGAAAUGGGUAUUCAGAAACAAGCUAAAUGAGAAAGGAGAUGUAGUCAGAAACAAGGCAAGGCUAGUUGCUCAAGGCUACAGCCAGCAGGAAGGAAUAGACUACACUGAAACAUUUGCUCCAGUAGCAAGACUGGAGGCAAUCAGACUAUUGAUUUCUUUCUCAGUAAAUCACAACAUAAUUCUACAUCAGAUGGACGUAAAGAGUGCCUUCCUAAAUGGUUAUAUCUCAGAGGAAGUCUAUGUUCAUCAACCCCCAGGUUUUGAAGAUGAAAAGAAACCAGACCAUGUGUUCAAAUUGAAGAAAUCACUCUACGGUCUGAAGCAAGCUCCCAGAGCAUGGUAUGAGAGACUUAGCUCAUUCCUUCUGGAGAAUGAGUUUGUAAGGGGUAAAGUAGAUACAACUCUCUUUUGCAAGACUUAUAAAGAUGAUAUCUUAAUUGUGCAAAUUUAUGUUGAUGAUAUUAUAUUUGGUUCUGCUAAUCAAUCUCUAUGCAAAGAAUUUUCUGAGAUGAUGCAGGCUGAAUUUGAGAUGAGUAUGAUGGGAGAAUUAAAGUACUUUCUGGGAAUACAAGUUGAUCAAACACCAGAAGGAACAUAUAUCCAUCAGAGCAAGUACACUAAAGAACUUCUGAAGAAGUUCAAUAUGCUGGAAUCUACAGUGGCCAAGACUCCAAUGCAUCCAACAUGCAUUCUGGAAAAAGAAGAUAAAAGUGGUAAAGUAUGUCAGAAGCUCUAUCGUGGCAUGAUAGGUUCACUUCUAUACUUAACUGCAUCUAGGCCAGACAUAUUAUUUAGUGUUCAUUUAUGUGCUCGUUUCCAAUCAGAUCCAAGGGAAACUCACUUAACUGCUGUUAAGAGGAUCCUAAGGUAUCUGAAAGGCACCACUAACCUUGGCUUGAUGUAUAAGAAAACAUCAGAGUAUAAGCUUUCAGGUUAUUGUGAUGCUGAUUAUGCUGGAGAUAGAACAGAGAGAAAAAGUACUUCUGAAAAUUGUCAAUUUCUGGGAAGCAAUCUAGUCUCAUGGGCAAGCAAGAGGCAAUCAACCAUUGCACUAUCAACUGCAGAGGCAGAAUAUAUCUCAGCAGCAAUAUGCAGCACUCAGAUGCUCUGGAUGAAACAUCAGCUGGAGGAUUAUCAGAUCCUUGAGAGCAAUAUCCCAAUCUAUUGUGAUAACACUGCUGCAAUCUCAUUGAGUAAGAAUCCUAUCUUGCAUUCAAGGGCAAAGCACAUUGAGGUAAAGUAUCAUUUUAUUAGAGAUUAUGUACAGAAGGGCGUACUUCUUCUGAAGUUUGUUGAUACUGACCAUCAAUGGGCAGAUAUCUUUACAAAGCCCUUAGCUGAAGAUAGAUUUAAUUUUAUUCUGAAAAAUCUAAACAUGGACUUUUGUCCAGAGUGAAGAUGGAUCAGAACCUCUGACUAUGAUACUUCUUGAUCAGAAGAUGUCUAGUCCAGAAGGUAACUCAAUCAGAGUGUGUGUGCCCACUGGUACUGACUCUGAAGCUGAGACAACAACACGUGCGUCAGAAUUUCUGAUGCAUAGUUCCUUGUGCCCGUGUGACAGUCUGUUAUGAUUGCGUGUAGAUAUGCUUAUCUCCUGUGUGUGAUUGUGUAUUUUACAGUUACUAUCUAUCUUUAAUUUUCAACCGUUGAUCUUAAAGUGCUUUUUGAAUCAACAACGGUUAUUUGAUAAAACCCACUAUACACACACGUUCUCUCUCACUUCCGGUUUUCACUCUCGCACUCUCUGCUUUUCAAAACCGCCUCCUUCUUGAUUUCUCUCUCGAUCUCUCUUCAUCCUUCAAACUUCAUCUUCUACCUCAAACCUUCAACCUCUUCAAAAUGGUGAGACAAACCAGAAGAUCUACUGCAGAUGCACCUCAGUUCCCUCACAUGGUAGUCGGUUUGGCAACGGGUCAACGAGGCUCUGAGAACCCGGCACAAGAACAAGUUCAAGCUCAAGAGCAGGUUGUUCCUAUUGCAGAACGGGGCUGUGCCGUUCACUGUGUAUUUCCUCCUGAGGAACUCCAAGUCCUGGCAGAAUGGAGAUUCAACCUCGACAACUUGGCUGCAAAUGGGUUUGAUCUUCGUCCUGAAGUCCAAGCUCAAGGUUGGGGAAACUACUUCAAUCGACUUCGAGGACCGGUGUAUGAGAAAUUGGUAAAGGAAUUCUGGAAGCACGCAGACUGCGAUGACACUCAGGUGGUCUCUCACAUUCUUGGCAGGAAGAUCAUCAUCACUGAGAAGUCAUUCGUGAAUCUGCUAGGAGCAGAAACUGCUUAUGGGUAUCGGUUCCAACUGACGGAAUCCAAGCUGAAACCCAGCACCAAGGACAUCGUCAACAAGGCCCUGUACACCACCUUCAAACCGGGCAAGACGAGUUACAAGGUGAUGGACCUUCACCCCAAACUGAGAAUCUGGCACAAGAUCCUGCUCAACUGCAUCAAUCAGAGACCGAAGGGUAGUUCUCCAGAUUACAUCAACUUCAACCAGAAGGCGAUGCUGUUUUUCAUUCAAGACAAGGAGAAGAUCUGCCUUCCCUACUUCCUGUUCUCCUAUUUGAAGGAAUGCAUCCGGAAGUCUCUCACCACCGCCUCCAUCAAGUCUGCAAUCAAAUAUAUCCCUUUUGGGAGACUGCUCUCAGACUUUCUCAUUGAAAGCAACUUGGUGCAAGAUUUAAUCAAUGCUGGUUGCACAGAGGACUUGAGCACAAUUUUCAGUGAUGUCUUCACUGCCAACUCUCUGAAGAAAAUGGGCUUAAUCCAGAAGAAGAUUGCUCCUGCUCAUGAAGACACAUCUUCUGAGAUCAGAGGAAGAAGAAUGCCUCUGAAUGACUACCCUCUGUGGACUCAAGCAGACCAUCCUGACGCCAUCAGAUGCUAUGUUGAAGACCUCAGGGCUCAAGGAUUCGAGAUUGACCUUGAUGAUUUUGUCAGCAGACUUCCACCAGCACCAGAGUUUCCUUCUCCUCCCAAGAAGAAAACCAAGAGGAAGAUGGUUCUGGAAGAAUCCUCAGAGGAAUCUGAUGUCCCUCUGGUCAAGAAACCGAAGAGCAAGCCUGAUGAUGAUGAUGGUGAUGAUAGUGAGGAUGGUCCUCCAAAGAAGAAGCAGAAGAAGGUCAGAAUUGUGGUGAAGCCUACUCGGGUGGAACCAGCUGCUGCAGAGGUCAGAAGGACUGAAGCUCCUGCCAGAGUGACUCGAUCAUCAGCACAUUCAAGUAAGCCUGCACUUGCUUCUGAUGAUGAUUUGAAUUUAUUUGAUGCACUUCCUAUUUCUGCCUUACUUCAACACUCCUCAAAUCCCCUCACUCCUAUUCCUGAAUCCCAGCCAGCCGCACAAACCACCACUCCAUCACAUUCCCCAAGAUCUUCCUUCUUUCAACCUUCUCCUACUGAAGCACCUCUCUGGAAUUUGCUUCAGAACCAACCCUCUAGGUCAGAAGAUCCAACCUCUCUCCUUACCAUUCCAUAUGACCCAUUACUUUCUGAACCAAUCAUCCAUGACCAACCAGAACCAAACCAACCAGAACCCAAAACAACAGAACCACAACCCCGAACGUCUGAUCACUCUGCUCCCAGAGCAUCAGCACGUCCUGCUGCCAGAACCACGGAUACAGACUCUUCAACAGCCUUCACCCCUGUAUCCUUCCCAAUCAAUGUCAUUGACUCUCCUCCCUCCAAUACCUCUGAAUCAAUUAGAAAAUUCAUGGAGGUUAGGAAAGAGAAGGUAUCUGCCUUGGAAGAAUAUUACCUUUCCUGUCCAAGCCCUAGGCAAUAUCCUGGCCCUAGACCUGAACGUCUAGUUGACCCAGAUGAACCUAUCUUGGCCAAUCCUAUCCAAGAGGCAGACCCCCUAGUUCAACAAGCUCACCCUGUCCCUGACCAACAAGAGCCAAUUCAACCAGACCCUGAACCCGAACAAUCAGUGUCUAACCAAUCCUCCGUUAGAUCACCUCACCCUCUGGUUGAAACUUCAGACCCUCACCGUGGAACCUCUGAACCCAAUGCUCCCAUAAUUAACAUUGGUUCUCCACAAGGUGCUUCUGAAGCUCAUAGCAGCAAUCACCCAGCCUCUCCUGAAACCAACCUCUCCAUAAUUCCCUAUACUCACCUUCAACCCACAUCUCUCUCUGAGUGCAUCAAUAUCUUCAAUCAUGAAGCCUCCUUGAGGCUCCGCAAUGUGCACGGUCAGACUGAUCUCAGUGAGAAUGCUGAACAUGUGGCUGAUGAGUGGAACAAUUUGAGCACUUGGCUAGUGGCUCAGUUUCCAAUCAUGUUGCAGCUCCUGCAUGCAGAGGGAAGUCAGAGGAUUGAGGCUGCCAAGCAAAGGUUUGCUAGACGGGUGGCUCUUCAUGAACUAGAACAGAGAAAUAAGCUUCUUGAAGCUAUUGAAGAAGCCAAGCGAAAGAAAGAGCAAGCAGCAGAAGCUGCACGUCAAGCAGCAGCUCAGGCUGAACAAGCCAGACUUGAGGCAGAGCGUCUUGAAGCUGAGGCUGAGGCAGAGCGACUUGCACCAGUUAUGUUUACUCCUGCUGCUUCUGCUUCCAUUCCAGAACCUCAAGCUGCUCAGAACGUUCCUUCCAGCUCUACUCAGACAAGCUCAUCCAGACUCGACAUCAUGGAACAACGUCUUGACACUCAUGAAUCCAUGCUGAUUGAGAUGAAGCAAAUGAUGAUGGAACUUCUGCGACGCACUGACAUACCUUAGUCUUAGGAUCUCUUCUUUUUCUUCUUUCGUUUACUUUGUUUUCCUUUUUGUUAAACUCUGUUUCUUUUUUAUUUACUUAUUUUCAUUUGUUCGUUUGUGAUUCUAUAUGCAUAUAUCUAUAUAUAUUUGUGUCACAUAUGUUUGCAAAACUUGUUUUAUUCAUAAUUGUUCUAUGUUUACAUCACAUUCUUUACAUCAUAUAACUCUAGAAUGGAGGAUCCUUCCUCAUUCUUCUGCACUCCUGGCGCUGCUCUGACCUAUUCUUCUCCAGACGCUCCAGUACAUGCUGGAUGUUGUUGAGUCUGACCUCUAGCUCAUCUUUCUCCAGAAUCUCUUCUGAAGUCCUGAGCUUCUCUUCCAAGAUUUCUUUUUCUUCCAGCAGCUUGAGUUCAAGCCGGCUGAGUUCUUGCACCUCCUCCACGAAGGCAAGAAAUUCCUUCAGGUCCCUCUCCAACUCUGGACGCAGGUCCUCUUCCAGCAGUGUCCUUGUCAGCUCCGCGAUGGUAGUUUCACCCUCUGGAUGCCUGAUGUUCAGGAACAAGUCCUCUUCAAAGGCCUUCUUCCUCAGUUCUUCUAGUGCUACGUUGUAUGAUGCCAUUUUUUUGAAAAUUAUUCGAGGUGUGAAGCUUACCUUUCUAUGGUAAACGCUCAUCCCUUGCAUUAACUCUUCUAUUUAUUUUCGCCUAACUCUGAUUCUUACAUCGUUUUCUUUUUCUUUUAAACUUAGACCUUCUCUAAGGGGGAGUACCUUGUACUUCAAGCUGAGUUUUUCACACCCCACGCUUUUUGCUUAUGACAAAAAGGGGGAGUACACCCAGUUUUUGAUGUGUAAGAUGUGUUAGUGUGACUUAUUUUUCUUUUGGAGAUUUUAAGAGUUCCACCUUCAUGACCAUAGAUGUGUCACUGGGCAAAUACAAGGAAUACAUUUCACUUCUUCUGAAGUGAUUCUAAGUUGACUCUGAUACCCAAGACUCUGAUACCUUGUCCAUGACUCUGAUCACUUAUGCGCUCUGAUUAUUCGUUUUUUCAUCUAUGUCAUAAGCUUUUCACUCUGAACUCUUAUAUGUUUUAGCUCAGAAUCUAGACUUUACUAACGUUUUCAUCAAGUAUUAGAUUCAGGGGGAGCUAAGCUCAGAAUCAAGCAGUGACUUGAAUUCAGAAUGAGCAAGAUAAACUAUUCACAUCAGGAUAAGUCUUAUUCUAUAUCUCUAAACUCUGAGUGAAUUCAGUUUAAUGUUUAAGAAUUGUUCAUCAAAAAUCUUAGUUUUGUCAUCAUCAAAAAGGGGGAGAUUGUAAGAUCAAGUUUUGAUCUAGUAGUACAACUCUAUGUUUUGAUGAUUACAAGUUAACCUUUUGAUAUGAACAAUUGUGGUACUCUAACGUGUUUUUCUGAGUGUGCUAUUUACAGGCUCUGACCUCAACUCAAUCUCACACAAAUCAGAAGCACUGUGUAUAAAGGGUAACCCAAGCAACGCUUUCGCAUUCACCAUGUUCAGUAUGAACAGUGGAAAAGCUUCAGAAGUUCUGAAGCUAUACAAACUCUGAUGAGGACUCAGUCGCUAGAAGCUCUGAAGAUCCAGAAGUUCUGAUAGCCAAGAAACACUGAAGGUUCAGAUGUUCUGAUGGUGUAGAAGACUUUGAAGAUCCAGAAGCUGAAUAGUGGAAACUCUGAAGUCCAGAAGCAAGAAACUCUGAAGGCCAUGUUCUUCCCUCUGAGUUCAGAAUCAGAAGAUACAAUGGUCAGAGGAUCUGUGCUUUCCCUCUGACUCUGAUCAACCGGCUUCACAAGUUCCAAUAUGAAGUAUUCCCCUGAUCAGAAGUCUCCUAGGUUAAAAGGUCAAGUCGCUAUCCAAGUACAAAAGCAAGUGUACCUUCCUGACGACCUACCUAACGUUCUCAGCCACAGCAGAAGCUGGAUUUUCCAGAACUGCCCUCCAACGGUAGCAUUUCCCAUGCAACGCUCAACCAUAAUCCUUGGAGUAUAUAUAGAGGCUGAAGAUUGAAAGAAGCGGCUAGAAUAGCAAAAACAACACACACACACAAGACAUAUUCAAAAUAUUCUAAGCUUUCUUUCAUCUGAAAUUCAUUGUGUUUACUAUCAGCUUUUUAGAAGCAAAUCUCUUGUAAACAAUUCUUUGAUAAACAGUUUGUUUAGUUCCUUUAGGAGAUCAAGGUUGAUCGGAUCCUAGAGAAGACUAAGAGAGUGAAUCUUAGUGUGAGCUAAGUCAGUGUAAUUGUUAGUCACUUGUAGGUUUCAAGUGCAGUUGUAACUCUUACCUGAUUAGUGGAUUGCCUUCAUUCUAAGAAGGAAGAAAUCACCUUAACGGGUGGACUGGAGUAGCUUGAGUGAUUUAUCAAGUGAACCAGGAUAAAAUCCUUGUGUGCUUUUCUAUCUCUUAUCUUUAGCACUUAAGUUCUCGAAAGAUUUGUCAAAAUCUUUAAGGUGGUAGUUUUGUACUGAAAACGUUAUUCAAACCCCCCCUUUCUACCGUUUUUCAUACCUUCAACGUAUUGUUCCAUAUUUGGGAUAGCUGAGACAAAUGAGAUACGUUCUACUUUACAUGUGACUUCAGGUGGGUUUGUAGGAGAAGAUAAGUGGAUGACCGUUCCUAAUAUGGAAUACAUUAUAUCCAUAGCUUAUAAAGUGGUGUUCAUGACCCUUGGUGUUAGUGGAUGUAACACUUUCUUUUCGUUGAGAGGAAGUCCUGACCCACUGGCACUCCACAAACGCAUGACAGUUGCAUUUGUUAACAAAAAUCACUUUAUAGGGGUAUUUGACUCUUACUGUAUUGUUGUCUUUUUAAGUAUAUCUAUAUUUAUGAUGUUCUAAGAUGCUUAAUUUCCCAAUGCAGGUUGUUCUUCGUGAUGGGCACCCAAUGCCGCUCACUGCUCACAUGUGGGCAUAUAAGCGCAGGGACGAGGCCAAGGAAUGGGUUGAACCCUAUUCUGAUCGAAUUGAAGCUUAUAGUGCAUAUUUUACCGCUAAGCAUGGUGGUGGUGAUCAAUCUGUAAUAGACCAUACUGAGGAUUAAUAAUUGUUGUAAUGUGAUAGUCUUCAGUGAAUUUAUAAGCAUUCUAAAUUACGUGAUUUGUCUAAACCGCUUUCAUGACUAUAUACAUGUUCGUGUUUAUGUUUGAUCCAUAUACAGUUCAAGAUCCAUAAACAUAAACACAACUAGCAAAGUCCAACAACAUAAUAAAAAUAAGGAACAAUGUCAAACAACAUAAACCACAAUGUCCAACAACAUAAACAACAUAAAGCAUCAUGUCAAUCAACAUAAACAACAUAAACCACAAUGUCCAACAACAUAAACACAAGCAUCACUCAUAAUCCGCUGAAGUCCCAACCCGCUAGCAUUCCUCCUCUUUCUCCGUUGUCGUGGCUCUUCCGGUCCCUGCAGUGCAUUUUGAAUAAUGGAAUGUAUAUUCUGAACUACAUCCCACAUGGUUGUGCCCUCUGCGGGUGACCCAACAGUCUCUGGAUCAACAUCAGCAGUAGAGUAUGUCGACAACAAAGCAAACUGACCCCGUAAGAUUCCAAGAAAGUGUCAAUAUUCGCCAGGUAAUAUUCCAAGAAAGUGUCAAAUACCCUGUAUAUACAUGCACAAGGUUAAGUUUGACCAACCUCAAGAAAUGACCAACGGUCAACUCUCAACUCCUCAGGAAUCAGGAAAGGAUGUGAGUGUUGUUUGUACCAGUCAUUGUACUCAUCAACACACUCGUGCGGGUAAGCAACAUAGGAUCCUCUAAUAGUAUGGUUCGGCCAAUCCAUCCACCUAGCAUCACAUUCCUCACAUGAAACUAUCGCUAGAGGGUCUCGAGGCUUGGUCUGCAAAAUCCCAAACUUCCUGGUUACAUGCUCAGGUAGGUAUGGAUAACCUGAGAUGCUGAACCUGAUGAAUCCACUAUACAGUGAGACAUGUGCAGAUGGACGAUGAACAUAAUGGCCCACAUAAGGCCUCCAAUUCACUCCACCACCAGGAAAGUUAUCAAGAUUAAGCCUCUUCUGCUCCACUUUAUUUGUCCCCCUGCAUGCCAACCACCUCCUAGCCACAGACAUAUCAUCUGUGUAUUUAGGGAACUCCUGCCUCUCAAACAACGACCCAGGAAAGCGUGCAUAUACCCACACCUGCAACUCUAAGAUGUUAGUAUAAAAAUACAAAAAAUACAAAUGAACUUAGCAACAAAUAAGUCAAAUACUAACCUGUAACAAAGUCAAAUACCCAGCAAUUGUCCUUCCAGUCUUUUAGCAAGCCUCCCCUAACUGACCAUACAUAUAUGCCAACCCGGGCGCACCCGUAGCAUACUGACCAGCCAAGCUAAGAUCCCUGAAAAGCUGAAGAUACGCAACACUAACACACAUGUUACUCUUAUCACAAAAAAGAGUCAUGCCAACCAAGCGUAACAUGUAAGCUCGAGCUGCUUCUGUCCAUUUCUGAUCCUUCACAUGGUCCUCCACAAGUUCAAGAAGCCAAGCAUACCGAAGACUAGGACCUCUACAUUUCCGAAACUCAGCCUUAGUCGGCUUGCCCAAUGAGAAAAAGGACCCUUGCACAGGAAUGUGCAAUAGAGCUGAGACGUCAUCCAGAGUGAUCGUCAUCUCGCCCCACGACAUAUGAAAUGAGGACGUCUCUGGCAUCCAUCGCUCAACAAAGGAAGUCACGAUGCUAAGGUCAACUGAGCCGCCACUAGUACAAUACACAAGGUUUAUUAACCCUGCAUCCGCCACAAGUUUCUUCACAUGUCUAGAGUAGAACUUUACAGGCUUGAAGUGUCUGCCAUGAUGAUAGAUCUUCAAUGGGGCCCUACAUUGGAAGCCAUCUCAGAUGUUUGACUUCCAGAUGUCAUGUGCUAUGUGUUGUCCAAACUUAGGCAACAGAGACAAGUUAGGGACCUCCAGGAUACUACACACACUCCGUUCCAUCUCCAUCCUUAGACUCUCCAUCCUGCUCGCCAUCAGGACCAUCAACAUCCUCAGACUCUCUAUCCUGCUCAUCAUCAGGAACAUCAUCAUAAGAACCCAUCUCAUUAUCAUUCUCAUCCUCUGAACCAGCAUAAUCUCCAUGAGCACUCUCAAUAUGAGCAUUCACCGCUCCUAGUGUGGUGCAUUAACAACAAACCCUCCUCAACUUCAUCUCCCAUACCCUGAGUCGCCUGACGAUUUCGGCGAGCAGAAGCAUGAGUUCUCGAACGGUCCCGUGGAGGAUGAGGAGGUCGUGAAGCAUCUCCCACAAUGCGGGAUGUUUGUUCUGUCCUCGCCAUGCCUGUGUUAACAAAGCAAAUCAAUGUUAUUUCUUUAAUUACAAAACAAACCCAACAAAUCCUACAAACUCUGUUACCACAAUUUAGAUCACGGACACUACCGCAAUCAUAAUUGAGCAAACAACCACAAUCAAAAUCGAGGAAACAUCCGCAAUCAAAAUUGCGGACACUACCGCAAUCAGAAUUGCGGACACUACCGCGAUCAUAAUUGCAGGCACUUCCGCUAUCAAAAUUACGGGCACUAUUAGUGGCAUCACAGUAACGAUAACAAGAUUGUAAACCUACAUAACUACCUCAAAUCAGAGAGAGGAUCAACAGGCAUGCAGUUGGGAUAAAUAAUGGCUCGAAAAUUAGACAAGGAAAAGGAGAAUGGGACUUACCAGAGAAAUCAGGAUUAGGUUUAGGUUUCCCUCCUGGCCUUCCCUCUUCAUUCUUCUUCCUUUGCUUGUUCUUCCUCCUCCUUCGUUCUUCCCUUCUUUCUUUGCCCGAGAAAAUGAAACGUGACUGAGAGAGGGAGAUGGUGGGAAAAAUGGAGCCGUUUGGACGAGAGAGGGAGAACGUCCGGUAGGUAUCAUGAAUGAGAGAGGGAUAUGGUGGGGGAAGUAGGUUUUUUUUCUUUAAUUGAAUCAGUAUUUUUUUUUAAUUGGGGGUAUAAUUAUAUUUUUGCUCAAAAGGGGAUGAUGUGGAUAGUAAAGGGGGAUGGUACAAAUAGUUUCAGCCAAUAUAUGUUGGGGCUUGGGGUGAUGUUGAGUUUUAAUCGUGCAUUCAAUUACAUCUCUUUAUUUUUCAAUUUAAAUAUGUUUCAAAUUUCAUUUUGACAUGAUAAAUUAAUGAUUAUAAAUUUUCGAUGUUAAUAAAGUAUUCUUUUAACAUAUAGACUUAAAACUAAUUUCUUAUUUUAGUUCAGCACACUAAAUAGUUAGAGAAUCAUCAAUAACUUUUUUUUUAUUCACAAGAUAUUAAAAAUCGAACAUUAAAAUACUAUCUCAUCUCAUUUGGUCAGUGAUGAAUUCUAAACAGAUAAUUAUGGAAAAAAAAAUUCACACACAUACAUAUAUAUUAAACUCUAAAAUAAAAUUAUAAGACAUAUGGUGAUCAUUCAGCCGCAAUACCUUUCUUUUUUUAGUUUAUCUUAAUUUUGAAAACUAUAUUUAUUCAUUCGAGCUUCCUCUAAGUUCUCGUUAAAAAAAAUAUUCCUCUAAGUUCAUGCUCCACUAGCCGCAUAUUUCUUACCUCUCACGCUAGCGUUUUGUUUUGUCUUUUUAUUUGGGGUUAAUCAUUAAAUUGACCCCUAUCUUUAACAUUGCGCAUUGCCAUAACAUUUAGAGUUUUUCCCCGUUGUACACAUGGGUGGGAAGAUAAGAUAUAGUAUCAUUAUAGGUAAUUUUCUGUUUGGAGAAAGUAAUAUAUAUGGCUUAAAUUUGAAUACAACUUAGGAUAACCCAAACAUAAUUCCAUAGCCUUUUCAUUAACUUCAAAUGCAAUACACUUCAAUUGGAGGUACCAAGACCACUCCAUUACACAUUAACAUCUUACAAAAAGGUUCUCUAACUAAUUGGCAAGUUAACCUCAACAUCUCACAAAGCACCCUAUUGUGACCAUCAAUGACAAAAAAGCAAAUGCCAAGUUCUUUUGGACCCUCUCUGCAUCCAUCUUGUUCUUAAUCUUCAUCUUGUUUUUAAGAUCUACAACCUAUUGAAGAGAGUUGGAAGCAUUGAUAGUCUUAGAAUUGGAAGUAUCGGGUUCACCUUCUGCAUCCCUAAUAUUUCCAGCUUCAUCAAUCCAAAAAAAGAAGUCACAAGUUCCUGGCAAUUGAAUUAAACAGAUCAAGGUAAAAACACAUGACAAAAGAAAUUCAACUGAUAAUUCAAGAACAUUAGACAUUGAUGAACUUACUUGCCAAUUUCUGCACCUCAAAAACCUCCUACCUGGGUUGUCAUCUGUCCCAGAAGUGUACAGUAAGAGAGGGAGACCACAUUUACACUUUGUUCUAGGACCUGCAGACCUUGGACCUGCAUACCUAGCACCAGACCUUUGACCAGCGGGUUGGAACCAUCACUCCUCGACUGAACGCGAGACGAUGAAGCAGAAGACCUAUCCAUACUCAAACCAGAACCUCAAUUGCAGGAGAGGGAAGGAGAAACUCGAUUGCAGGAAGGAAGGAGAAGAAGUAAGGUAUCAUGAUUUUACAGGGGAAGGAGAACAUACGCUUACGAGAUUGGUUCUUGAGUUUCUAAUUGAGUUUUCUAAUUUGGGGAAAAAAGGGUUUGGUUUUUGGGUUGGGAGGGGAUCUGAUGUGUUUAAUGAAUUAAGGAUUUGAUUUUGGGUUUUAGUUUGAUUUGGGGUAGGAUUUAGUAUUAAAGGUUUCUUUGGGGUAAAAAAAUAAAAGGUUUUUCAAAUUAAAAAAAUUAAAUGCCACGUAUUGACUCAUUAAUCUAGCCAUACGUCAACGUCAGUGAUAAGUGCCAGGUUUACGUAUAUUCUGAUAUCUUUUUUCGGCACUUAUUUGACUUGUAUGCUUGAAUUAGUAAUCGUUUCAUCUCCUAAUCGAUUAAUUUGAUAUACAUAGUUUUAGGAUAUAUAUUAUAUAAAAAUCAUAUUUAAUCCCAUAAUUUUGAUGUAGGAUGGAAGCUUAAAGAAAAUCAAGGAAAUUCAAGUCAUUUCACUAGGGGGAUCAUGUAGAAAAUGAAGAUUCAAGGAAGAGGGCAAGUUUUGGCAAGAAAAAGGGACUUUGAAGAUGUACAGGGCGCCCAACGGGUUGCAGAGGCCGCCCAGCGCCCAUGGCGGUUCCAGAAACCUUCCUUUGAAGUAAUUGGCCGCUCAGUAGCCAAAAAGGGGUGCUCAACGCUCUGGCACUCGACAACACACUAUAAAAAUGUCAUUUUCAUAUUUAGACAGAAAUAACUUUAUCAGAACUUCGACCCAUCAAAAAGAAACACUAGAGAAACAAGGAGGGAGGAUUAGGAGGCUAGAAAAGAGGCUUGGGCAUCGGAUUCGGCGGCGAGACAUCGCGACAGUUUCGAUUCGUCUCAUUCUUCUUCUCUAUUUGUAAAGCUAUCCAUGAAAAUGGAUAACUAAUCUCUCUUUUGUUGGGAUUUGAUGUAGUUGUAUGAUACUUAUGCUCUCUAUGUGAUUCUCUUUUAUAUAAAGCAUGUUUCUUGUUUAUGGUUUAAUGGUUUUCUCUUGAUCUUCAUGCUAUAUCUUAGAUUGAUCACCUAGGAUAUUUUGCUUGAUUCAACUUGUGAGAGAAAGCUACAACGUUUUGAGUCCGAACUAGAGUUAAUCACCUAAUAAUCCUAAUUGCUAGACAUAGAGUUAGGUAUGUUAAUCAGUUAAACACCUAAACUUCAUGAUAACUAUCUUUCUUAAUCAUGUGAGACAUCAAUGGUUAGAAUUAGAUAGUUAUUGUUAUCCACUCAUGCGAGACAUCGAUGAAGUAGGGUUGAACUGGUCUAGAUGAAUCAUAUUCUUAGGCUUGGUUUGUAUUUGAAUCACUAGAACGUACAAAGGUCAUUCAAUGAAAUCUAAUUCCAACAAUUCCUCAUACUUAUUGUUUCUCCGUUAGUUUAUUUUCUUUUCAUUUAUUUUCAUGCUCUUAAACAAACAAUCAAACUAUUGUGCAACCAUCAUUUAAGAUUGACAACUAUUGAAUGACAUAAGUAUUACACAUCUCUGUGGAUACGACAAAACCCUUUAUUAUACUACAAUUGAGUCUUAAGAUAUUCAAACGUAGAGUGGUAAAAAAUCUUUCAUCAGUCAGCACCGGGGAGCCAGUCAUCAAGCUUGCCUAAGCUCUGCCCUCCGGUGAGGACUCAACACAAACAUGCUGCAAUCGGAGGGAUCAUAUGCACAAUUUUAUCCCGGGAGGGACCAAUCUCAAACGGCCUUACAAAGACAGGGACCAAUUUGAUGAUUAGCCCUUUUAUUUUUACCAAUUGUCGUUUAAGUGAUGUUUUGGGUUUCAUAAUGCCCUUUGGUCGAGCUUAGUGAAUUGUUUUAGCUAUCAUUAUUUCACACAUUUUUUAGUCUCAAGGGGAUUAGCUUCAUAGCUACCGUCAACUUUGAAGAUACCUUUAAAAAACUGAAUAAAUAAAUAAUCCACAAAAUCCAAAUGAGGUUGUCUUGGGGAUUAAAAUCUUAUGUUUCAUCUCUCUAUCAACAACCUCUAUCCCACCAAUUAUAGAGUGACAUGUCAUUAAGAAAUUUAAACUCAUUUUUCCAUCAAAAUUAAUUGGGGUUAACACCAUUAGACAUCGUGAGUUGGUAACCAUCUCUCAUUCUGAUUCUCAUUCCCGUUUCUGUUCCUAUUACCUCAUCUUCUCCAUUAUCGAUCAAUCGCAACCAACUGCAUUGACCCAAAUGGCACCACCACCUGCACACGCACCUCCUUCUCCAACACCCAUGAUCAUUCACUUUCCUCGUCAAAUACCUUCUUUCGACAACUCCGUCUCCACCACCUGAAGGGAGCUUCAAUGGAACAAGUUGGAGACUUCGUUUGAUCGACAAAAGCAAGUACUUGAUCAAAGUGUUAAGAUAUUGAAGUGGAAGAUUCAGGCGGAGAUGUUGAGGGCAGAGUGUAACUUGUUGAGUCGGUUUUGCUCGAUUGACAACUUGUGCUCCCUUUCUACCAAAAGUUUCUCAACCACAUUGUCACUCAAAGCUCAAAGUCGAUGUCCAUCGGGUCGAUCUCUAACUUUGGUGCUCAAUCUCAAACACCGGUGCUCGGUCUUAUCUAUGGUAAUGUUUGGCCCGAUCACGAUUAUGCCAAAAAUGUGAAAUAGCAUUUAGAUAAGGCCCUAAUAUAUGGGGGCUCCUAAGUCAAAUAACUUGGUUCUUAGACUUAAUGGACAUGGGAUUGUCAUGGAGAUAGGGGAACAAGGACGAACACCUCAUAAGCAUAUUGAAUGCGGAGAGGGUCCCUUGUGUAGGUAUUUGGGACACAGGGGGAGUCCAAAUCACCAAUGAGAAUCAGACAUCAUGUCUUAACCCAAAAUCUUAAGGCAUUGGUUUUACGAGUCAUAUCGCUUAUAAAGUUUUCACCUCACUUAUUAUUAACCAAUGCGGGACUCCAAACUCACACUUGAAUGCUCAACACAUUCUCCCCCUUUUUUUGCUACAUCGGAAAAUAACACAUUCUUCCCCUUAAGUGUGAGUCAUCGCCACAUUACUAUGUUCCACUUCCCCCUCAGCAGAAGCUAUUCACACUUGUUGGGAAGACAAGGAGCCCAUGAGCCAACAUAGAAUUUUAGGUAAAAUUUACCCAAAAUCUUAAAAUUUAAUUUUAGGUAAACAAGUGGUGUUCAAAUCUCUUAUUGGUCUUCGAUGUUGUCCAUUUGGUGUUUUGGACCCGUCUCCUCAAAAAUUGGUUCAUGAUCUCUUCCCUUUUAAUUUAUUUGGAAUGUGUUAAUUAUGAUUAGGAUGUUUAUGAUUUUUGGCUAAACAAUUUGCUUAAGAUUAUGAUAUAAUUGGUGAUUUGAAACUCGAUCAGUUUUGUUGUUUUAUAUAUUUAGUAUCAUCACUAAUUGGUAUUUUCUCUUUAUUUUUAUUCAAUUUAUUCUAUAUUUCAGACUGGUCGCUGGUAGUGAUUAGUUUGCUCUUAGUGAAAAGGUUAAUUUAAUGGAACCGAUAGUGAUCGAGUAGAUAGGAAGGUCACUCUUAACUCACCUUUGAUGUGGGUGUUAGGACUAGACUUUCUAAUAUUUCUGAUUCAUAUAGGAUGCAGCGCGCAGACUGUAGCAGACCAUGCAUGAUACAUUCCCUCUCCUUGUUAAUUUGUUUUCUUUUAAUUUCCGCAUGCUUGAAACCAACCUUUUCUAAGCAAACACUUGAUUCUCCUAGACAAUAUAAUGAAUAAUAUCUUAAAAUUAAAUAUUUAUGUCGAUUGUUGUUGUACGAUAAUUGUGAUUUAUUCAUAUAUUACUUUUGUAAUAGAUGAAACUUACUCUUUGCAUGUGAAUUUAAAAUGUAAUUUUUUUCUAUUUCUCUUUACAUUUCUUAUCAUAUCAUUUAUUAAUUAUAUCACUAAUUUUCCUAUCUUCACUUGUCAUGCAUGAUUAAUUAUUUUUAUCUCUGGGUUUUAUAAUUUUUUUCAUUUUGAAACAAUCAAUAAUAUAUACAAAAAGGGUAAAAGUAAUUUAAUUAUAAAACUCCUUUUAUCCUCUGGUGAACCAACAAGCAAAUAACCCUCCACUCUCAUUACUCUCUUAAACAAACGAGAUAGCUAAUUAAAAACUUUCUCAUUCUCCCUUCUCCUCUCUUUUGAACCAAAGAGACCCUAAUAAACAUGAAGCAAUUGUUUCUCUACACUACUCUUAUCUUCUUCUACUGUUUUUCUUUUUUCGGUUCAGAAUUACCCACUCUGUUUAGUACGUAUGGAGCACUAACAAAAUGAGGAUUGGUAAGCCUAGCAUUUAUGGUAAUGAGGAUUGCCCACUCUGUUUGGACCACAAACUAAGAAUACAACGAAAGACGUGGCUAUGGUUUGAUAGAAAUGUCCUCGUAGUCGUAUGAAACUUCGUUUCCUACUUUCAUUUCAGCAGUUUUUUUUUUGUGAAACACAUUUCAGCAGUUCACUUCAACGUGAUUCACACAUUCACUCCAAUAAUAAGUCUAGCGUCACGUUAUCGGUGACCUCUAAUAUACACCACUUUUAGAGUGUUGCAAUUUUACACCACUUUUUUUAACCUAUUAUAACAGGUCAACACAUCUUUUUUUUAAAGAAAUUUAAUACAUAACAAAUUUUUAAUUAUAUUUUUUUAAAAAAAAUUAAUGUGUUAACCUGUUAUAACCGGUCAAAGUAAGUGGUGUAAAAUUGUACCACUUUUAAAGUGGUGCAUAUUAGGGAGACCCCACAUUAUUAUCAAUAUCAUUUUAUCAUGCGGACCGGAUAGAUUGAAAAAAUGUACCGUUUUCCUUGGAUACAUAAAUCUUCAAUUAAAAUAUGCUAUCUUAGCUGAUGAUUAAUUUAAAUGAUUCAUAUUUCAUUAAUUCUUCAUAAGCACAAUCUGGAGUUUGAGUUUUUCAUGAGAAAAAUUCAGGAGUGCUAGCCCCAAUGUGAGUGUUCUUGCCUUAAACAGAAUAUCUCCGAUUGUUAUGUAUAGUUAGUUAUUUAUAUUUUUAUCCGCCCCUUUGUUAUGCUUUUUGAGCUUUCCUUGGGCUGUGAAAGGGUUGUACGUCCAUCAGCCGGUUUCAGUCGAACUCGGGACAAAAUAGUCAGUUUAUUGGGUGAGAAACAUCAAAACGCCAGACCUGCCACCGAUCGAUUUGUGGCUACGGGUUGUUCAGGUUCGAUUUGCACGGGUUACGGUUUGGUCGGGUGGGUUCAUACAAUUGUUAAUCCAUAAAAAUUUUAUAAAAAAAAAGAAGAAGACGACACCACAAAGUUGGCUCCCCCUUAACGAUGCUCGACAGUGGCAUAUAAUGAAACUCAUCUACUUGGAUAGAUGUCACUCAUCCGAAUGAUGGAACUUAGACAAGACCAUACUAGCCUUCACCCAUUCAAAUUUAUGAUUGUUAAAGAGAAGUGAAAAGUUAGAGGGAGGAGGCAAGUCAGACAACAAAGUUAACAGUGGAGUAAUGUGAAGUUGUGAACCAUUUAGGUGGGAGGGAAGAGAUGUCAAUUGGUCGGACUCGGGCUAUAAUAGUCGGUUUUAUCGGGUUAAAAACAUCAAAACACUAGAUCCGCCACCGACCGAUUAGUGACUACGGGUUGUUUGGAGUCGGUUUCUCGGGUUACGGUUUUAUCGAGUGAAUCGAGUUUUGGUAGGUAGUGAUAUUUUGGACAACCUACUUAAUGCUCCUCACCCGAGGAUCUAACUUGUUUUCUUAGUAGCUUUAGAAAGGAAAACGCUAGCUCAUCGAUUAGUUCACUUGCUUGCCUCUGUCGUAUUUAGUCUUCACCCGAUGAUCUCACUUGUUUGAGUAAACUCAUUUCUAAAUUAAGGAAACCGAUACCAAAUCUCAUAUCAAAAGCAAAAACCGACAAGAUGUGAUUAAUUGAUAUAAUGUGAUUGAAAAAUGGAAUAGAAAUAGAAGAAUGGAAAAUGAUAUGUUCACACCUCAUUUUUAAUACACCUCACUUCCACCUAUUUUUAUUUUCUCUUUCAUUCUAUCAUCUAUCAUUGCUUCUAAUUUUUUUUAUCAUUUAUCACAUCUCAUACUUUCUCUUUCUUACUUUUUCUUUUCUUUCUAUUUAUUUCCUUCUUCCACCUCUCUCCACCUCAAAGAGAGGUGUGAAGAUAACAUUAUUCAGAGAAGAAUAGAGGGGUUGAAAGCAAAAUAAUAGAGAAAAAUGAGUGUAUAGUGAUCUUCUUUUGUUCAACAAAUCAAACCAUUACUUAUUUCACGUGGGAUUUGCGAGGAAAAUAACCGUGAAAAAUGUUUUUUUAGAUGAAAGCAUGAAACAAAAAAAGGAGAACACGGAAUUUCCUUUUUAAUAAGUAGCUAUUUUUGUUUCUGGUCCACAAGUACUAGGUUAUAUGUCACAUCUAUAUAUAUGGGUUAUGAUUAAACGCAUAGAAGCACGAAAGCAAAAAAGCCAGAGAAAGAGUGAAGCAAAUACAAUAACGAGAAUGGAAGUUACACAGGUUCUACACAUGAAUGGAGGCGUUGGAGAAGCAAGUUAUGCAAACAACUCCUUAGUUCAGGUAUAUAUGUUAAUCAAAUAAUGAUAUAAGCAUAUUACGUAAUGUUUUUGGGUUCAUAAGCAUGUUACCCAUAAUCACUUAUUUGAUGGUACGUAAUGUGCUUAGCUGAAAUUAUUAAAGUAAAAUCAACAUGUAUUAGAUUUAGAGCAUGUUUGAUUUCAUAUUAGUUGAAAGUGUUAGAAUUGAUUUUCCACUUUCACAAUUGAUUCUACCUCCAAAUCAAUUAUGGAUAAAAUUACAAAUUCUAACUUUUGUGUGUACAUGCAUGUCAAUUGUAAGAUGGGGCUCUCUAGCGUCCAUCACCCGAUGUGGUUUAUGUAAAUUCUGCCAUAAAUUGCUGUGAAUUAGUUGUGAGAAUAACAAAUUUAUAAUUAUUUAACAACUAAUUGAUACCUAUUUUAUAACUAUUUUUUGAAGUUACAAACCUUAUCUCAUAUGAUUACAAUUUUUGUAUUUAUAAACUAUAAGCGGUAUACUAAUACACCACCCAAACAUGUGGUGGACAUUAUACAAAGCCAUCCAAAAUAAAUCAUUUUCCUUUUAACUCAUAUUUAUGAUAAUCAAUUUUAUCAAAAACUAAUUCUUUCAUGGACCAAUUAUGAUCAUAAUGACAACACUUAUUCAAAGCAUUUAUUAAGUAAUUGUUCUCAAUUAAUUUGAUGUCAUUGGUCAUACAGCAAAAGGUGAUUUCUUUGACAAAGCCUAUAAGAGAAGAAGCUAUAACCAGCCUUUAUCGUAGCACAUUCCCAAGAAGCCUUGCAAUUGCAGACAUGGGUUGUUCUUCAGGACCAAACACUCUGUUUGUGGUUUCAGAAACUAUCAAGGUUGUGGAAAAGCUUUGCCAAGAGCUGAACCUUAAAUCUCCGGAAUACAAGGUGUUUUUGAAUGAUCUUCCUGGAAAUGAUUUCAACAACAUCUUUAAGUCCCUUGACAACUUCAAAGAGAAACUAAGUGAUGAAGUGGAAUCUAGGAUAAUUGGUCCAUGCUACUUCUAUGGGGUUCCUGGUUCUUUCUAUGGCAGGGUUUUUCCUAAUCAAAGUCUGCAUUUUGUCCAUUCCUCUUACAGCCUUCAUUGGCUAUCUAAGGUAUGUCUAAUCUAUAGAGGAAUUGUAUAUUAUGAGAAGAUGAGCGCACACAUUCUUUUAAAGACACACUCCAACACAUUUAUUGUGAUUGGUUUAUUAUUUGAAAAAUUCAACACAUUUAUCUCACUUCUAAAACAAUUUGUUGACUUUUCAAUAAAUAAACCAAUCGUAAGAAGUGUGUUGGAGUGUAUUCUUAAAAGAGUGUGUUACUAUAACAUUUCUCAUAAUGAGAAAUGUGGUGUUAUAUGAUAAUGAUAGAAAUAAAUAAUAACCGUUAGAUCUAAUCAUGAUUAAUAUCAUGAUCAAAAGUUAACUAAUGGUUACAUGAUCACUUAAAAUUUUUAUGUGACUUUGACUUAGUAUUUUAAUCUUAAUUAGUUAAUAUUAGAUCUAACGAUCAUAAUUUAUUUCUACCAUUAUACUUAUAGAGCACAUUUUUUUCAUAAGAUUCAUCUCCUAAAUUCACAAUUAGUAAUAAUUGAAUGUAAAUAAUUUAUGUUCUAUGAAUUAGGUUCCUGAGGCAGUAGACAACAAUAAGGGCAAUAUUUACAUAUCCAGCACAAGCCCCUCAAAUGUUGUAAAGGCUUACUACAAGCAGUUCCAAGGAGAUUUCUCUGUUUUUCUCAAGUGCCGUGCCGAGGAACUAGUUGAAGGGGGUCAUAUGGUCCUAACAUUCUUGGGAAGAAGGAGUGACAAUCCAUGUAGCAAAGAGUGUUGCUACAUUUGGGAACUUUUGGCUACAGCUCUUAAUGAUAUGGUCAUGCAGGUAGAUCCCAAAUAAUUGGAACAAAUUUACUACAGCCGUUGGUUCCUACAGUCAAGUUUUGUAUUUUCAAAAGUUUUUAUGAAUUUUAGAUUUAUGUUUAUUUUUAUUCACAAUCUAUUGUUAGAGAAAUAAUAUAUAAUCAUUCAUGUGACCCUUACGCAACAACUUAUGUUUUUGGGAUAAUUAGUUGUUUGACAUGAUAUCAGAGUCUCUAUGACCAAGCGUCCAGAGUUCGAUUCUUGCCGCAUCUAAUUCUUAUAAUAAAAAGUUGAAUUUAAGAACAUAGGUGGGCUGUGCAUUUAUCCACGCUUCAAGCUCAAAGGGCUUUUGCGUGAAGGGGCGUGUUAGAGAAAAAUAAAAAAUCAUUCAUGUGGUCAUUACCCAGCUGCUUAAGCUUUUGGGAUAAUUUGUUGCUUGACACCCAGUACCUGAUAUGAACUAAUCUGAAUAUUAUCUGUUCGGUUCAGAUUCGGUUUCGAAAAAAAAAACUGUGAAAUUCAAUCCAAACCAACCCUAACACUAUUAAUUGGUUCAGAUUCAGAUUUGAUCAGGAACUGAUCCAAACUGAGACGUAUGUGCACCAGUACUAAACAAACUAGCUGGUAGUAUAUACCUUUUAAUAUAUAAAUAAAUUUGACAAGAUUAAUCUGAAUAACAUUUUUAUAUGCUAUAGGGAAUUAUAAAGGAAGACCAAGUGACUACUUUCAACAUCCCUCUUUAUACUCCAUCUUCAUUAGAAGUGAAAUUGGAAGUUCUUAAAGAAGGAUCAUUCGCCAUCAAUCGCUUGGAGGUGUCAGAAGUGAAUUGGAACGCUAUGGAUGAACGGAAUGCCUUUGAAUUUGAAUCUGAAAUGAAUGAAUCACUGAGUGAUGCUGGAUACAAUGUUGCUCAGUCUGUGAGGGCUGUGGCUGAACCUAUGCUUGUUAAUCACUUUGGUGAAGCUAUCAUUGAAAAUGUUUUUAGUCGCUACCAAGAAAUCUUGGAUGAUAGGAUGUCUAAGGAGAAAACUAAAUUUGUCAAUGUUACUAUAUUGUUGACAAGGAAAGGAUGAGGAGAAGAAGCCUGCGCAAUCUAUGAUUCAUAUUUGUGGUUUUGUCAUAAAGAUUUUCUUAAUUGUUGUGUUGGUUUGUUUGGUUUAACUUUAGAUUGUAAUCAGGCAGGAAAUCUUAUGCUAAGGAAAAAUAAAGACAAAACUAGGAGUAUUUUGUUGGGUCAUGGCUAGUGAUAUUUGUUUUCAAUUGUGUAAUGAAAUUAUUUAAGUGUGGAUUAUAUAUGAUAAUUGUUCUAUUACUUCAUAGGUUUGGGUAAUGGAAUGGAAAUAUGAAAUCAUAAGGGUAGAAAAAAAAUGUUGCCAAAGGCAUCAUGUUUUGCAACAAAUACAAUAUUAGAUGAAAUCCCCCAAAAGAAAAGAAGCCCCAAUAUGUCUCGGACAAAUUACAAUGCUUUCUUUUAGCUAGAAACAAUAUGCUACUGCUACUAUUCUUCCUUUUAUCUUCUUAAUAGAUCAUAAUAAAUCUCUGGCUUUCUGUAGUCCGACAUGCAGAUAGGUUGAUAUCACAAAUAUACCACAACUUGUUAAGAACUUUGCAAAAUCACUAGUUAUAAUAUUGGAGAAAUUUGGGAACUGAAUUAGCACAAUCGAAAGUAUGGAAACCAAAAUCGGAUAAUAGUAAAAAUAGGAGACCAAAAGCAUAAUUAAAUGAAAAUUAUUCGAUUGAUAAUAGAAAUUGAUCAACAAUGUAGAAGCAGCUAUUAUAUAAAGGGAGGAAUUUUACCUGCAUUGCAUAUGCCAAGUGGAUCAAUGUUGCUUCAGACCAAUAGGCAAACCCAAUUUAUCACACCCAACCUGUGAAGUGUGAAACACACAUGUAAAUAGCAUCUAAAGUGUUGUGUAAAUUAACAUAUGGUGUAACUGAGAAAAUUUGAAUAUAACUCCACAUGAAUGGUGACAGUAGGAAGUCCUAGGAAGUUUCCUGCUAUGAAGUAACGAACGAGCGCAGCUGAAAUGAUACCAACAACUUUAGAAACAAAAUAAAAAUGCAGAGUUCAAUACUACAAUAAUGUCAUUAACCAAAUGAUUUUCUCAUGUACCUCCAUUGACAUAGUUAAGUUCACCGGUCUCCAAGGCAUCUUCUUGAAUUGGAUAUGCAGUCACACUGUCACAAAUAUCAUAAAUGUGUCACCUUAGACCAUUUACAAUGGUUUUCAACACUCAACACCACUUUUUCUUUUUCCAACACUCCACAUCAUCUUCUCUCUCCAAUUCAACACUCAUUCAACUUUUACCUACUCCAAUGGUUUUUCAUUCAACACCUUACCGCACCACUUUUUUAUUUCAUAUUUUUAUUCCAAGCCACUUUCUCUCUCCCCCAGCGACCAACCAAAACGUGCCACGCGUUCCCACCAUCAUUUGUUGCGCUGCCACUUUCUCUCUCCUCCCUUUUCAGAUUCAACUAUGUUGAGAAAACUCAACACCUCUCUCCUAUCUCCUCAACUUCAACACAACACUCAACACCAGUACACCACUCAUUUAACUCUCAACUACCUUCUCAACAUCACCAUUGCACAUGGUCUUAGACCAUUUACAAUGGUUUUCAACACUCAACACCACUUUUUCUUUUCCCAACACUCCACAUCAUCUUUUCUCUCCAAUUCAACACUCAUUCAACUUUUACCUACUCCAAUGGUUUUUCAUUCAACAUCCUACCCCACCACUUUUUUAUUUCAUAUUUUUAUUCCAAGCCAAUUUCUCUCUCCUCCAGCGACCAACCAAAACGUGUCACGCGUUCUCACCAUCAUUUGCUGCCACUUUCUCUCUCCUGCUGCCACUUUCUCUCUCCUCCCUUUUCAGAUUCAACUAUGUUGAGAAAACUCAACACCUCUCUCCUCUCUCCUCAACUUCAACACAACACUCAACACCACUACACCACUCAUUCAACUCUCAACUACCCUCUCAACAUCACCAUUGCACAUGGUCUUAGAGCAAACUGCUAUAGCUUCAAGAAAACCAUUUUGUGAAGUUUGAGAAAACUUGACAAACCCUAUUGUUGGUGAAGAAGUUAUGUUACCAACAACCAUGCUCCACCAUGUAUCUCUCUAUCUUGUGUUCAUGUCAAAUCACCGGGAGGCUAGGGUUCUGCCUCUUCCUCUCUCCGUCUUUCCAUCACCUCAAAAAAUGGAAUUAAUAAUUUAUUUGUUUUAUUCUGUUUUUUCCCAUACCUCAAAGGUUCAAAUGGUUUUCAAUCUUUAGACAAUUCUUAAGUCCAUUAAUAAAUGUUGUGGUCGGAUUUGAUCAAAUUAUGAUCAGCAUUUACAUACAACCAGUCAUAAUGCAUUUAUUUUUUCAGAAUUGUUAUUCAGACCCCCCCCACAGCUAUUUAGACCUCUGAAAAAGUGCAAAAUUACUUAAAUAUCCUUAAUGAAAAAAAUAUAAAAAAACCCCACCCCUCCUCAAAUUCUCUCUCCUUACCUCUUUCCUCUUACUCUCACCCACCACCACACACCACCACCACCACCCACAACCACCGCCACCCCUAUGGUCGCCGCCACCACUGCCGCCGCCACCACCACCACAAGCUCCAUCUUAUGUCGUUUUUGAAAAUUUUCAAUUGUUGGGAGUUGUUACUGUCGUUUUUAAUUUUUUUUUCUGCAAAUAAACGCACUUUAGAAGUGCGUUACGCAUGCACUUUUAAAGGGCGAAUUGCUGUAAAUUUGUACAUAACUGAUGUCAGAUGAUUUUUAAAAAUUAUGAGACUCCACAGUAAAUCAAGUUAGAAUAUUUGGAGAUUUAUGGUGGAAUAAAAAAUGUUUGAAAUUCAAAAUAAAAUACCAGAUGAAGGGAUUUGGCUAAAUUACACAAAUCUUAGCACCUUCAAAUAUGAUCGUUUGAUUUUUCUCUUCAACUUUGCAGUUUGUCGCCUGAGCAUCCGACACCAAAAACUGUCCACUUUUUCAAACCGCACUCCUCCUGAUUCUAAAGAGACUACUAUAAGGUGGCAGAAUUUGGAGAUUCUGACUGCAUAUUUGAGCUCAGAAUGGUCUUAUUACCUUAAUCAAGAAGUGUCAGUUCCAAAUUUCUUCCAGAAAUUAAACAGGAAAAAAAAAAUAAAUCAGUGCGUUUCGCUCGCACUGUGAAAGUGCGACCAAAACGCACGUUGAAAGUGCGUGAUGGACGCACCUUCCAAGUGCGUGAUGGACGCACUUUCCAAGUGGGGUUUGGUCGCACUUUCACAGUGCGUACGAAAUUUUUUUCAUAAAGGGUUUUUUUUCGGAUUUUACGAAUUUAAUAGGGUCUGAAUAGCUGUGGGGGGGUCUGAAUAACAAUUCACCAUUCCAAAACCCCCCAUUAACUACCCACUACUUCCCUCUUCUUUCCCAUUUCAUUUCAACAAAUCCCUCCAUCAAAACAUCCCCAAACCCCCCAAACCCUCCAUUUCAAUCUACAUUCAUCAUCAUCCUCUGCAUCCUCUGCUUCCUCAUCAUCAUUUUUCCGGGACUUAUUUAGAUUAAAAAAGAAAUUCAGGGAUCCCAAAUUGGAAUUUUUUUAGGGACUUAUUUUCAUACACCAUACAAUUUCAGGGACCUCCAGAGUAUUUAAGCCUUAAAAAAAUUAUGCGCUAAAAAAGUAUGAAGUCAUGGCAAUUGUUACAGUAGGUAAUUAAAUAAAGACUGUACUGGUACAAUUCAAAAUAGAGGUGAUAUAUAUCCAAGACAAGUGGUGAUCACUUAUUUUGUUUUUGGUACAUAAUGGGAAAGAAAACAGAAACAAGACAGAAAAAGAUUAGGCUAAAAAACAGUUUUGGCCCCUAAUGUUUCAAUUUUGUGCAGAUUACACCCCUACUCUUUUUUUGUCGUUGAAACUACCCUCCAUGUUAUCAAAAGGUCCACCGGUUACCCUUCUGUUAGUCUGACGUUAAUUCACUAACGGAGAAGCUGACCUGGUCUUUUAUUUUUAUUUUUAUGUAAUGCCAGGUGGAUUAAAAGAAUAAAAACAACAAAAAAAAAUUAAAAGAGGGACCACACGCCAGUCACGUGAUCUGAUGGGGGACUUAAACACCUUUUGGGGAUUUAGGGUUUCCCAAAUCCCUAGUCGACGACGAAAUCGAAGAAAAUAGAAAGGGGGAGAGAAAGAAGAAGGAGAACGAGCGAUUGUCAUCCCUGAAGCUUUGUGAGUGCCAUCGGUGGUCCCAAAUCGUCUUUCAACCCGACAUUGUCACAUGGCUGGUUGUGUGUCUCCAAAAUGUGGUGGUCGAGGACGAGGACGUAAAGGAAGGGGGAGCCCGAGGCAGAAGAAGGGGAAGAAUGUGGUCCCUGAGCAAGGCACAUGCGAAAAGCCAACAUAUGACCCUACCUUCUGGGGUGGGGAGAAAUUUCCAGACCAUUUCAGGUUUAAGUAAGUACCUUUUGAAGAUUCUUAGAUUCUUUAUCAUUUUUCUUUGGUUGUACGUGGUCCUGAUCUGUUUGUGGUUAUAAUUUAUUCGAUUAUUGCAUAAAGUGGGUUUAUUUUAUUCUGGGGGUGGGCAAGUCUUUGUCACUGCAUUUGUCUAUAUUUGUCAGUGAUGACUUUAUUGGCUUCAAUUUAUUAUUCCUUUACAUUGUUUACAUUAUUGGCUUUGUAGGCCCAUUAAUAGGAAUUUAGUAACAGUGCAUGUUUGACAUGGGGGCAAGUUUGUGUCAGAACCUGGACUGGAAUAUGUGAAGGGUACAUGCUUAAAUAUACCCAAAUGGGAUGUAGAUGAGAUAAAUUCCAUUGAUUUGGGUAAAGUUGUAAAAAGAUUGGGGUACGUGUCAUUUAAUGUAUGGUAUAGACACCAUGAGUUAGGACUUGAAAGUGGUUUUAAACCAUUCAGGGAUGAUGCAGAUGUGUUGACUUUUCUGAAUGAUGUAAAGGGGCAUAAUGUGAUAGAAUUUUAUGUUGAGCAUAUAAUAGAGGAACCACAACUUGAAGAUGAUAUUCCAUUGAUUGAUUACACACAAACUGAUGAUGGUCAGGGUUCUGUGAGGGCCUUAAUGAUGAGGCAGUUAAUGAUGUACAGGGUGGUCUUGGUGAGGGAGUUAAGGAUGCUGAGAUAAUUGGUGAAGUAGUUAAUGAUGCUGAGGAGGGUGAGGCAAAUGCUAAUGUACAAAAAAAUGCACAGGGGGUUAAGGAGGCUGAGGUAAUUGUAGAGGGUGAUUCUGGUGAGGGGGUUAAGGGGUCUGAGGUCAUUGUAGAGGAUGGUUCUGGUGAGGGGGUUGAGGAGGGUGAGGGAGAUAAGGACAGUGGGGGAGAUAAGGAUAGUGAGUUCAGUUUGGAUGAUAGUGACUUUGAUGAGAGAUGGGAAUGGUCCAAAGUCCUUCCACAAUUUGAUGAAGAUGGUUCAGUGGAUGAAGACCAAGAUGCUGCCAAGGAUAAAGCCUCAACUUGCUGUGAAGACUUUGCCAAUGAGGAUGGAUCCUCAGAUGACUUAGAGACACCACCAGAUAGUGGUGAUGAUGAAAAUGUUGUGCAGAAGAAAAAGUAUCCAAAUUUCAAACUUGGUCCAGAUGGUACAGAGGUGAAGUUUGAAAUUGGCCAGGUAUUAUUCUGAUUUUUCUUAAUCUGUGUUUUGUUAUUGAGGAUUCAUAAACUGGAUUUGUUUGUUGUUAUGUCUAACUAGUAUAACUUCAUUUUUUGUUGCAGAAAUUUGCUACCUCCAAACUCUUUAAAACAGCUAUUAAAGAGUAUGCUCUACAAAGGAAAAAGAAUGUGAUUGUAGAGAAGAGUGAUAGUAAAAGGGUUGUCAUUAAAUGUGAGGGCGAGUGUCCAUUUUAUUGCAGACUUUCGAAGUAUGAGCAAAACAACUUCUGGCAUAUUGUUUCCCUAGUUGAUGAGCACUCAUGCUAUAGGACCUCCAAGAAUCGCCAUGCUAAGCCUAAAUUACUUGCAAAGAAACUGCUACCAACCAUAAGGCACAAUCCUGGUAUGAAGUGUAAGUCAGUUGCUGCUGAAAGCCAACUUAGGUGGGGAGUAGUUAUCAAUAGAUUCCAAGCUUCCAGAAUUAGGACACAAGCCAAGGAGAUGAUUGAUGGGUUAAAGAAGGAUCAAAACAAACAUCUCAGGAGUUAUGCUGAUGAGCUACUAAGGAGUAACCCAAACAACACAGUUAUUAUCAAGGCUGAGAUGGGAGUGGAUGGCCCUGUUUUCCAAAGGAUGUAUAUUUGCUUUAAUGCUUGCAAAAUGGCUUUUGCACACCACUGCAGACCACUUAUUGGAUUGGAUGGGUGUUUCUUGAAGGGGGUUUAUGGUGGACAGCUGCUUACUACUGUUGGCAAGGAUGGGAACAACCAGAUGUUGCCAAUUGCCUUUGCAGUUGUUGAGUCUGAGGCAAGAGACUCUUGGGAGUGGUUUGUGUCACUGUUCCUGGAUGAUCUGAACUCACUAAGGUCAAGGAGGUGGUCAUUUAUUUCAGAUCAACAGAAGGUGGGUUAUUCCUCAACACGAAGCUUGUAUUGUAUUGUAUAUAUGUGAUUAAUGUAUGAGUGUUUUCAUUUCAGGGCUUGGUUCCCACAUUAGCUGCAUUGAGUGAAGAUGUGGACCAUAAAGUGUGUGUUAAGCAUGUCUAUGGAAAUUGGAGAAAGAAGUAUCCAGGAGAGGAGAUGAAAGGUGCAUUAUGGUCAGCUGGAAGAGCAUGUAAUGUGCCUCAGUUUGAUAGGGCAAUGAAAAAGCUGAAGGAGAUGAAUGAAGAAGCAUGGAAAGAUCUAUGUGCAAUACCUCCUAAGCAGUGGACAAAAGCCUAUUUAGUACUGAUUCACUCUGUGACCUUCAAGUGAACAACAUGUGCGAGGCUUUCAACAUGGAAAUUCUUGAGCAUAGGGAUAAACCUAUUAUAUCCCUCGUUGAAGGCAUCAAGUACUACAUCAGCUCCCGGAUUGUGAAGCAGAGGGAGUUAAUGUUGAGGUACAGGGGAAAUAUAUGCCCCAUGAUUCAGCAGAAACUGGAGGAUCACAAGAAGGUAGCAGAUGGUUGGGCACCACAUUGGAAUGGGGAUACACUUAAUUCCAAAUUUGAAGUGUCAAAUGGGACUUACAAGUAUAAGGUGGAGCUGGCAAAAACCCACUGUGCAUGUAAAAGAUGGGAUCUGACAGGUAUCCCAUGUUGCCACGCUAUAGCUUGCAUUUGGUUUAACCGUGGUCAUCCUGAAGACUUUGUAGACAACUACUAUAGGUAAUGCCCUAAACAUUCAAUGCUAUUUUGUUAAUUAUGUUCAUCUAGAUGAUUGACAAUUGUAUACUUUGGUUGUGUAGGAGAGAAACGUUCCUGUCUACUUAUGCAUUCAUUAUUGAACCAAACAAUGGACCCAAGCUUUGGCCUGUGAAUGAUCUGCCACCACUGAAUCCUCCAUAUGUGAGAAGGGCACCUGGAAGGCCAAAAACUCAAAGAAAUAAAAAGAAUGAUGAGCCUAGAAAUCCCUAUAAGCUACCAAGGAAUCAGAGCAAAGUUAAGUGCAGCAGGUGUGGGAAGUGGGGUCACAAUGUCAGGACUUGUGGAGGGAAAACUGGAGCUGAUAGGGAAAUAGAAAAAGGGGGAAUAAGGUAAAUGCCUUUAUUGUUUGGCUUAAUUUUGCUUGCAUUAUGAGUUAAUGUUUGUAUAUAUUCCUUUGCAUAAGUAUACACUAAUUACCAUCAUUUCAGACUAAUUUGAAGAAGACCCACCCAAAAGAUAGGGCAAGUGGCAGUGGUACCAUACCUGGGACAAGAAGUGCAGCUGCUGCUGCUAGGGCUUCUGCAAGGGCUGCUGGUACCAUACCUUUGAAACCUACAUACAAGCCUGCUGCAAAAAGAAAGAAGAAGUCUAAGGCAUCUGAGGCAAAUGCAUCUCAGCCUACACCAAAUGUAUCUCAGCCUCCUGCAUCUCAGGCUCUUGCAUCUCAGCCUACACCAUCUCAACCUCUUGCAUCUCAGGCUCCUGCAUCUCAUCCUACACCAUCUCAGGCUCAUGCAUCUCAGCCUACACCACAUCAGCAGUCUCAAGGUAGCACAAGGGGAAGGAAGAGAGGAAGAAGUGGACUAGGAACUCAGUAGAGCAGAAGUUGAUAAUGUCUUGGUUCAUUAUGAAUUAUGUAUUUUGUUGGCUAAAGCUUUGGCCUUUAAUUUCCUGGAAUAGCUUGUGUCUUUAAUAUUGGAACACAAUUGCUUUUAAUGUUGGUCCAUUGAGUCUUUAAUAAUGGAACACUUUUGUCAUUAAUGUUGGUCCAUUGUUGGAACACAUUUGUCUUUAAUGUUGGUCCAUUGUGUCUUUAAUGUUGGAACACAUUUGUGAUUUGUCUUAAAUGUAUUUUGGCAACCCACUUUAAUGUAUGGCAAGUUAUUGUGACAUUUUGAAUUCUUGUUUGCAAGUUAUAUUAGGAUUGUGCUUAGUAGUUACAAGUUAUAUAUGUCUUCAUUGUGAAUAGAAGACAUGUGUUGAUUGUCAUAUUGGGGAAUUUAACACAGAUAGAAUUCUCCCCAAAUGGUACUAAAAUGCUAUAAAAAUGCAAAGAAGUUAACAAAGAUAACAUUCUCAUAUUGUCAUUGUGAGACCCAAGUUUUUAAGUUUGGAAUAAACCGAAUAAAAUUCCUUUUCACGAUUAAUUUGAGGUAACGUGAAGGAAAACCUGAACAAGUGUCUAUUGAAUGGAAUAAAUUUGUGAAGGAGAAAGUUCAGGAAAAAGCUAAGGAUGGUAUCCAAGUCGAUAAAGGUUAUAGCACGGUUAGUAUUCGCUUUAACCUAGGUCAAGAACGCUAGGAAAUAGCUAAUUUACUCUUUAAGGCACGAUGAAAACUAAUUCCAAAAAUUUUCAGAGAAAUGUUAGAACUUCUCUUAUUCGUCUAUAAACGAGCGUUUCGAUACGAAACCCUAGAAUGUAAGAACGUCAAAUUCCAAUACUUGGAAGUUUGCCGAAACCGAAUCACUGAUAGUUCAGAAACCCUAAAAUGAACGGACGAUGAAGACUUUUUCUAUUCGGAGCUUCAAAUAAAGAUUUCAUUCGCGUACGCCCACUCUAAUCGACGUUCCAGAUCUUUCUUCAGAAGGAAGUUUCUGCAUCCGAGGUCAAAAUCAUAAAGUGCAUAAAGUACAUUUUAAGCCGGUACACAUUAAAAACAAGCCUCGAAAACCAAAAAUCAUACUGAUAUUUCUUUGGAGAAUUAGAAGAUUCAGCGGGAAGAAUAUCGUGUCUAAAAUACGUUGGAAUCAGUAGGAAAAAUCGGAUUCGCGAAAUUCUCAUUUUUCCGCAUUUUCCAUUUCCUAUAUAUAGUAUGAAAAAUUAAAAAAAAAAAAUCAAAAAAAUAGCUUCACAACACACACACACGACCGAGACAUUGAAGAGGAAAAAGGAAGAAAAGUGAUUUUUCCAAUUCUUGACCGAUCGUCGUUCCGUUCGUUGCUACGCGUAGACAUCGAGGUACUGAUGCUAUCCCUCACUUCUGAUCGUCAGAUCUGUCGACUUUUUCUAUGUCUUUCUGUGCUCAAAGUUUUGAGCUUUUUGUAAAACUGUCCAAAUAAGCUGAUUUUAGUGUCUAAACUUAUUGCCUACGUGCUCUAGAGCGUGAAUAUCCGGUUGUUUUCUGCUGAAUGUCGCCGAAAUGCCGCCGGGAUCAAUUUCUGUUGGAAAAACCCAUUUCUGGGUAAAGUUCCGUUCUUUAAGCUGGAAAUUCACGACUAAGCUUAGCUUUAGUAGGAUUAGUUGUUAUAAAUGUCGUUAGGAUCGAUCCCAUCCAAUUUGUUUUUUGAAAUUCCAAUUUUGAAAUUCUGAGCUGAAGAUAAUGACCAAAAUACCCCUGCGACAGUUUUCGACCCGAUAAUUUUUCUGAGAGUUUCCCUGGCCUAGAUAUCGCCUAAGAAUACCUUGGAAUUGAUUUAGAUCGAAGAAAAAGUUCGAAAACCCUAUUUUCUAUAGUGGCCGAAACCUAUUUGCUUGGGUACCGUGUCCAAAAAUAAUUUUCGGGUCUCUAUGACCUGAGCCAUUGCGUAGCUCUUUCAAUUGUCGAAAUUUUGGCGCCGGUUUCGUGUCAUUCCGAGUUCUGUAGCUCGAGUUAUGCACGUUUUAGCGAAUAAAGUGUUUUUGUACAAAACUUGAAUCGAGUCAAAACUCAUCCAUUCGGGGAAAGCCCUUCCAUUCGUGCCUAAAUGUUGUACUCUGAAGCUUCUUGAGCUUCGUCGAACAUUAGUUAGGAUUGUUUCGACUGUAUCGACUUGUUUUGAUUCAUUAUUGCUUUGCUUGCUCAAAGGUUCAAUUGUGGAAACUUUGGGAUUGACUGAACAAGCUUGUGAGCGAGACCUGCACCGCGAGACCAGAACAACUCGAGGUUAGGGCAACUUACUUACUAGCUAAUGAUUUAUAGGCGUCGAUAAAUUCGACUUGAAUAUUGCUUGAUAUUGAAUAUUGCUUGUUAUUGAAUAUUGCUUGGGUAUUGUUGAUCGUUUGAAAUUGGAAAGUUUUUUUCUGGAGGCUUUGGCCGAGUGAACUUAUAUGAGACUUGUGUCUCCGUUUUCUGAGAGGCUUCGGCCGUUUACUGGUUUCUGUCUUAUGAUUCCCGCACCAUACUCUUAUUGCAUCGCUCUUUAGAGCUGAAUAUUGUUGAAUUGAUAUCGAAUUGUGCGUGUUGACGCGAUUGCGGAGCGUAGGACAUUUGAGUUGAUGUUGUUGAUCUUUCGGGUUGAGAGGAAGCCCUAGGCAGGUCCUGACCUUAGGUCUGAGAUCUAGCCCUCUUUGAACACUUAGACUUUUCCGGGGAUUAUAUUUGGGGGAUUUGGGAAACUUUGAAUAGUUGGAAUUUGGAACUUGAGAAUUUAUGGAACUUGGAUUUCGAUAAUAAACCUCAUAACUUGAUUAACUCCACUUGAAAUGCUUUGAUUAAUUAACGAGACCUUUAGGAAAAUUUAAGACUUGGAAAUGAUUGUGAAAAACGGGAAAUAGUCGAAAAGCCUUGAACUUGAGAUGAUUUGAUGGUCGUCACGAGGAUGAACCAUAGUGACCAUGGAAAUGUCACUGAGUGCAAUAUGUACUCCGGCUUUUCACAGCCUAGUCGCAAGACGACUUUGAUCUUCGGGUCCUUUUAAAUUGAGACUUGUGGUUAAACUCGUACGUGUGAGGACGAUUCGAUGUUUUGUUAACCAUAUUGCAUUAUGCAUAUGUUUGGGGUUUGGGACGGUCAGAAGACUUGGCCUUCACGAAGAACACCAAGGGUGUAUCUUCGACUUUGCGGCGCGAAUCCGUAUGUCCAAACCCGACGGGUUGGGCCGAUUCGGCAAUAAUUGUUGACACGCGCGAAUCCGUAUAUUCAAUCCGAUGGAUUGGAUCGAUUCGGCGGUAGUCACUCAGGCACACGUGAGUCCGUAUGUUCAAUCCGAUGGAUUGGAUCGAUUCAGCGAUUGCCAUUUUACCUCGCGUUAAUCCGUAUGUUCAAUCCGAGGGAUUGGAUCGAUUCAGCAACAACUUUUCGACACGCGCGGAUCCGUAUGUUCAAUCCGAUGGAUUGGAUCGAUUCGGCGGUAGUCAUUGGACACGCGCAACGUCCGUAUGUUCGACUCUUUUGAGUGAACCGACUUGGCGUUGUCAUUCGUUGCAUGUGCGAGUCCGUAUGUUCAACCCGAUGGGUUGGAUCGACUCGACAUGCCUAAUUAUGGGAGUUGCGUGUGCGAGUCCGUAUGUUCAACCCAAGGGGUUUGAUCGACUUGACAUGCCUAAUUGUUGGGAUAAUCUUCUGAGUUGACAUUGCAUGCAUACAUGCACCCCUACUGAUUUAUUGAGUCAUUGUUUAUUGAACUGUUGAGAUAGCAGAUAUCGAAUUGUUUAUUAGAGCCUUGAUAACAUGCUAUGUAUAUACCUUAGGGUAGGCAAUACAUAAAUUACAUGUAGAUAUACAACAUAUAUAUAUAUAUAUACCCCCUUAUUCUUCACAUGUUGUUUGUAUUAUCUAUUUUAUUCCGUGAGUUGACCCUAGCGCCUUGGCUUUGUUUGUAUGUUUGUGUUUGGGCGGUCGGCCUGCUGCCAGGCGUCCGUCAGUCGAUUCGUGAUGACUCGUCACUCGAGGAGGACCAGGAGCGUAAUGAUUAUUACUGAAGCUUUCGACGAGGACCCGGACUGAAUGCAUGACCAGAUGAGGGUCGAUGAUGGAAGCAUAGGGUAUGGGUGUUUAGAGCCUACUAAGGUUGGGUGUUAGUGUCAUAGCUCUGAAUCGUCAUUUGUACUUUUGGGACAGGGUAGUUUCCGACAGAUUGCUUUUCGGUGUGGUUCUCCGUUGAUGGGAAUCGCAUGGAGUAGUCAGACGUAAGAAGUCUUUUUGGAAGCCGUUUUGGGCUGACUUACUUUUCGAAGGACUGUAUUUAUAAAACUUAUGACUCUAUUUUUGAGUCGCACUUGUUUGCCGUUGGGCAACACUUUUAGUUACUUGAUGUUACUUUCCGUCACUUGAGGACACUCGUGACGAUGUUUUUAGUUGCAGCGAGGGCUGUGCUUGUAUUGUAUAUUAAUCGCUGUUAAUCGCGAUUGGGUUGAGUCUUUAUUUCGACAAGUCUUUUUAUUUAAACAAAAACGAAAAAAAAAUACCUGCUUUUCCACUUUACUUUAUUUUAUUUUCGAGUUACUAAAGAAACGCCACCGAAAUCGAGGUGUUACAUUGUGGUAUCAGAGCUUGUCGAGUCUUUCGGGAGUCUUUAGGGAAUAGGUCUUCUGUGCUAGGUUGUGUGACUCUGCAAAGAGUGAAAAUUGAUUGUCUGCCGAGCGAUUUUUUGCUUAGAAUUGAUUGAAGUUAGUGCUUAAUCAUAUUGUAUAGUUAUGUUAGAUGCUAUCUUAUGAUUAGUACUAACUGUUUGUUUAACUAAACAGAACAUGGUGAACAUGAACCAACUCGCUGGGGCAAUGACUGCUAUGGCCCAGGCAAUGACAAAUCAAACUGCGGAGAACGCUUAGUGGCGUGCUGACAAGGCUGAACGUGAGCGUCAUAAGCGUGAGAGGGAGGUAGCCCUAGACCAGAAUAGGGGGCUGACUGAUUUCAGGCGACAGGAUCCGCCCAAGUUCACGGGUGGGACUGACCCAGACAGAGCGGACCUAUGGAUCCAAGAGAUUGAAAAGAUUUUUGGGGUACUGCAUACCGCCGAAGGGGCUAAGGUGGGCCUGGCAUCUUACCUACUACUAGGAGAUGCUGAGUACUGGUGGAGGGGCGCCAGAGGGAUGAUGGAGGCCAAUCACGAGGAAGUGAAUUGGAACUCGUUCCGAGCUGCGUUCCUAGACAAGUAUUUUCCGACUAGUGCCCGAGAUGAGAGAGAAGCGCAAUUUUUGACUCUUUGUCAAGGGAGCAUGACCAUACCUGAGUAUGCUUCCAAACUGGAGUCAUUGGCAAAGCACUUCCAAUUUUUCAAUGACCAUGUGGACGAGCGCUAUAUGUGCAAGAGGUUUAUUAACGGACUACGAGCUGACAUCGAAGAUUCGGUGAGGCCGCUAGGGAUUGUGCGAUUUCAACCUUUGGUUGAGAAGGCAACAGAAGUUGAACUUAUGAAGAACAAGAGGAUUAAUAGAACAGGCACUGGGGGACCAAUGAGGUCGAACUUUCAAAAUAAUCAAGGGAAAGAGAGAUUCCGACAGGAGAAGCCGUAUCAACGUCCUUUAGAGGAAGGUUUUACCUCGGGGCAGUAUAAGCCCAUAAAUGCUACCGGAGGAACAGGAAACAAGACUUCGGGUCAAGGAGUGACGUGUUACAGGUGCAAGAAGGUGGGGCACUACACUAACAAGUGUCCAGACGGAAGACCUCUAUGUUUCAACUGCAACCGUCCGGGGCAUCAAGCCAAGGAUUGCAAUGUAACCAAGGUUGAGCCAUCUGUGCAUACGGUGAGGGGAAGACGUUCUACUGCACGGGGAAGAGUCCAUGUCUUGUGCGGCGAGGGAGCUGAUGGAUUAGUCAGAGGAGAGCGCAAGAACGAUGGUAACUUUCUAACUAUUCUUUCUCAUUCUAGUAUGGUAUACUCUUCGUUACCCCCGUAGCGUGUGCAACACGCUUGAACUUGCUUUUACCGCUAAGCUUUGACCUUAUAGUUAUUACCCCUACUAAGAAUUUAUUUGACUGCUGCUCGUGUUUUAACUAUAGUAGUUACACGAGGUUUAGAAUAAGACGCUAAGCCUAGAAAGUAGUUUUGCACCGCUGCGUUUAUAAGGAAGCUAGUAGCUGAAGAACGAAUCUUAGAGAGAUUCCUUAUGGGUAGUAUACGUGUUAUGUUGAGGGUGCGUAGUUCCGUAGCGGGACCGUUAAGGAUUGGAUGUCGGGAUAAUGGGGACUACUGGACGAUAGGAACUCAUUGACUGUUCCAGUGGGUUUUUCUAAAUUUUCACCUUCGAUGUAUUAGGCUUGAUCAACUUAAUAUUGAGGGGGUGAUAUUCGGAAUCACAGCUGGUAAUGGACUUUGAUAGAAGGAUGUGUAAGAUGAAUUUGAAUUGAUCGAGGAUUAGUCGGAUUUGGGAGGAAAGUUCGUGUUAAGCACUUGAUUUUAAAAGAUUAAGAUUUAAAUCUUUGGAAGUCGAUGAGUGUCGUAUAGACAUUAAUUGGUUAGUUCGUGUGAUUACUCCAAGUAGAGGUAGACUAAGUCAAGAGAUUUAAUGCUGGAAAAAUAUUAAGUAUUUUCUCGGAAUUAUGAAGUCAUAGGUUAUGUGAUUUCGGAGUGGAAUUGUUAGAGACUAAAUAGGUUGCAUUUAAUAUCAGGUUAUAGAUGAUCACUUGAUGAUGACAAGAUAGAGAAGAAUUAACUCUGAGCUAGAUUGUUGUAGUCGGGUUCGAGGAAUAAGUUUUGCUAAGCGCUUGAUUUAUUUGUGGAGACAUUGUAGUCUUAAGAGAUGAAUUUUCACUUGAAAAGUGUUGAAUUAAUGAUUAAGUUAGAAAAAUAAAGUUUUAGUAUAAGUUGAAUACUUGAGAUUGUUGAAAUGGAUUUCAGAGAAACAUGCUAAGGUUACUAAGUGAGAUUUACUAAGAUGGAUUGAAAUCUUAGGGUUAAGAUUGACCUUGAGAGUUGAGAAUCACGUACGAGUAGGAGAUCUUAUGGUUGUAGGUGUGACAAUAGGAUUUGAAUCUUAGAAGAUUGGAGAUCUGAAGAUGAGUUUCGGGUAAAGACCAUUGAGGUAUAGUAUAAGAGAGAUCUUGAAGUAAAGGAAUCCUGAGUUGUGUAGAGUGUUAAGGUUGGUUAUAAGUUGGGGAUCGAUUGAUGUUGAUUAUGGGGUUGCUGAUAUGAUGAGCCAUGUGAUAAGAUUCGAAUGAUGUUAGCAUAAUAAGUUAUGAUUGUGAAUAUCAGGAUCAAGAUGUGAAUGUGAAAGUGAAAGCAUGACGACACUGGUCAGGUCGUUUAUGUAAGCAAAUGAGUCAUAGUUUUAAGAAAUGGAUAUUCAUUUAAGAAGUAUUGGAGGAUUAAAGGCCAUUAGAGGACCAAACUUGGAGAAGGUUUAGGUUUUAAAUCCAUGAAUCUCUGUCUUAAGUGUGUAGGACUCAAAGUUUGUCAGGUUUUGAUCGAGAGACUAAGUAUCGGAUUGAUUGGAGGAUGAUCAAGUUACAGAAAGGAAAGUGUUAGUAUUAAGAUGAAUACUUGAAGUUGUUAUAUUUGGACGAGUUUCGUAGAGUUUAAGAGUGAAUGGAACUUUGUUAUGGAUUUUGAUGAUGCAUGCUAGGGUUAGCAAGUGAAUUUUACUAAGUUGAAUGAGAAUCCUAGGGCUAAGGUCGAUCUAGUGAGCUGAGAUUCAUGUACACUUAAGAGAUUUAGUGGUGUUAGCGGUUAUGAUAGCAGUUAAAUCUCAGAAGGUUGAAGGAUCAGAUGAUGAAAUGACUAGUAAAAUCCCUUGAGGUAUAGUUAUGAUUUAAUCUUCUAGGGGAUGAGUUCUGAUUUGUGCGAAGUGUUAGAGAUUUCAGUAAGUGUAAAUUGGUUUGAAUGAGGAUAGUUACGAAGUUAGAGGUAAUGAUUACUGGACUAGUGGAUUCCAAGGAAAUAAUUCGUCUAGGAGUUACCACGCGAUCGAGUUGAAUUUUGGAUCAUAAGUGAACAUCACAAGGACAAAACAGUUGAGGGAAAAAGAGAUUGUGUUGUGCAAGUUAUUUGGAACAAAGACACGGACGAUGCUAUAUGGGAGAGAGAGGAAAAAGAUCAAGGAAUAAUAUCCGGAACUUUUUACUGAACCUUAAGUUUCGAGGACGAAACUUUCUUUUUGGAGGGUAGUAAUGUGAGACCCAAGUUUUUAAGUUUGGAAUAAACCGAAUAAAAUUCCUUUUCACGAUUAAUUUGAGGUAACGUGAAGGAAAACCUGAACAAGUGUCUAUUGAAUGGAAUAAAUUUGUGAAGGAGAAAGUUCAGGAAAAAGCUAAGGAUGGUAUCCAAGUCAAUAAAGGUUAUAGCACGGUUAGUAUUCGCUUUAACCUAGGUCAAGAACGCUAGGAAAUAGCUAAUUUACUCUUUAAGGCACGAUGAAAACUAAUUCCAAAAAUUUUCAGAGAAAUGUUAGAACUUCUCUUAUUCGUCUAUAAACGAGCGUUUCGAUACGAAACCCUAGAAUGUAAGAACGUCAAAUUCCAAUACUCGGAAGUUUGCCGAAACCGAAUCACUGAUAGUUCAGAAACCCUAAAAUCAACGGACGAUGAAGACUUUUUCUAUUCGGAGCUUUAAAUAAAGAUUUCAUCCGCGUACGCCCACUCUAAUCGACGUUCCAGAUCUUUCUUCAGAAGGAAGUUUCUGCAUCCGAGGUCAAAAUCAUAAAGUGCAUUUUAAGCCGGUACACAUUAAAAACAAGCCUCGAAAACCAAAAAUCAUACUGAUAUUUCUUUGGAGAAUUAGAAGAUUCAGCGGGAAGAAUAUCGUGUCUAAAAUACGUUGGAAUCAGUAGGAAAAAUCGGAUUCGCGAAAUUCUCAUUUUUCCGCAUUUUCCAUUUCCUAUAUAUAGUAUGAAAAAUUAAAAAAAAAAAAAAUCAAAAAAAUAGCUUCACAACACACACACACGGCCGAGACAUUGAAGAGGAAAAAGGAAGAAAAGUGAUUUUUCCAAUUCUUGACCGAUCGUCGUUCCGUUCGUUGCUACGCGUAGACAUCGAGGUACUGAUGUUAUCCCUAACUUCUGAUCGUCAGAUCUGUCGACUUUUUCUAUGUCUUUCUGUGCUCAAAGUUUUGAGCUUUUUGUAAAACUGUCCAAAUAAGCUGAUUUUAGUGUCUAAACUUAUUGCCUACGUGCUCUAGAGCGUGAAUAUCCGGUUGUUUUCUGCUGAAUGUCGCCGAAAUGCCGCCGGGAUCAAUUUCUGUUGGAAAAACCCAUUUCUGGGUAAAGUUCCGUUCUUUAAGCUGGAAAUUCACGACUAAGCUUAGCUUUAGUAGGAUUAGUUGUUAUAAAUGUCGUUAGGAUCGAUCCCAUCCAAUUUGUUUUUCGAAAUUCCAAUUUUGAAAUUCUGAGCUGAAGAUAAUGACCAAAAUACCCCUGCGACAGUUUUCGACCCGAUAAUUUUUCUGAGAGUUUCCCUGGCCUAGAUAUCGCCUAAGAAUACCUUGGAAUUGAUUUAGAUCGAAGAAAAAGUUCGAAAACCCUAUUUUCUAUAGUGGCCGAAACCUAUUUGCUUGGGUACCGUGUCCAAAAAUAAUUUUCGGGUCUCUAUGACCUGAGCCAUUGCGUAGCUCUUUCAAUUGUCGAAAUUUUGGCGCCGGUUUCGUGUCAUUCCGAGUUCUGUAGCUCGAGUUAUGCACGUUUUAGCGAAUAAAGUGUUUUUGUACAAAACUUGAAUCGAGUCAAAACUCAUCCAUUCGGGGAAAGCCCUUCCAUUCGUGCCUAAAUGUUGUACUCUGAAGCUUCUUGAGCUUCGUCGAACAUUAGUUAGGAUUGUUUCGACUGUAUCGACUUGUUUUGAUUCAUUAUUGCUUUGCUUGCUCAAAGGUUCAAUUGUGGAAACUUUGGGAUUGACUGAACAAGCUUGUGAGCGAGACCUGCACCGCGAGACCAGAACAACUCGAGGUUAGGGCAACUUACUUACUAGCUAAUGAUUUAUAGGCGUCGAUAAAUUCGACUUGAAUAUUGCUUGAUAUUGAAUAUUGCUUGUUAUUGAAUAUUGCUUGGGUAUUGUUGAUCGUUUGAAAUUGGAAAGUUUUUUUCUGGAGGCUUUGGCCGAGUGAACUUAUAUGAGACGUGUGUCUCCGUUUUCUGAGAGGCUUCGGCCGUUUACUGGUUUCUGUCUUAUGAUUCCCGCACCAUACUCUUAUUGCAUCGCUCUUUAGAGCUGAAUAUUGUUGAAUUGAUAUCGAAUUGUGCGUGUUGACGCGAUUGCGGAGCGUAGGACAUUUGAGUUGAUGUUGUUGAUCUUUCGGGUUGAGAGGAAACCCUAGGCAGGUCCUGACCUUAGGUCUGAGAUCUAGCCCUCUUUGAACACUUAGACUUUUCCGGGGAUUAUAUUUGGGGGGUUUGGGAAACUUUGAAUAGUUGGAAUUUGGAACUUGAGAAUUUAUGGAACUUGGAUUUCGAUAAUAAACCUCAUAACUUGAUUAACUCCACUUGAAAUGCUUUGAUUAAUUAACGAGACCUUUAGGAAAAUUUAAGACUUGGAAAUGAUUGUGAAAAACGGGAAAUAGUCGAAAAGCCUUGAACUUGAGAUGAUUUGAUGGUCGUCACGAGGAUGAACCAUAGUGACCAUGGAAAUAUCACUGAGUGCAAUAUGUACUCCGGCUUUUCACAGCCUAGUCGCAAGACGACUUUGAUCUUCGGGUCCUUUUAAAUUGAGACUUGUGGUUAAACUCGUACGUGUGAGGACGAUUCGAUGUUUUGUUAACCAUAUUGCAUUAUGCAUAUGUUUGGGGUUUGGGACGGUCAGAAGACUGGGCCUUCACGAAGAACACCAAGGGUGUAUCUUCGACUUUGCGGCGCGAAUCCGUAUGUCCAAACCCGACGGGUUGGGCCGAUUCGGCAAUAAUUGUUGACACGCGCGAAUCCGUAUAUUCAAUCCGAUGGAUUGGAUCGAUUCGGCGGUAGUCACUCAGGCACACGUGAGUCCGUAUGUUCAAUCCGAUGGAUUGGAUCGAUUCAGCGAUUGCCAUUUUACCUCGCGUGAAUCCGUAUGUUCAAUCCGAGGGAUUGGAUCGAUUCAGCAACAACUUUUCGACACGCGCGGAUCCGUAUGUUCAAUCCGAUGGAUUGGAUCGAUUCGGCGGUAGUCAUUGGACACGCGCAACGUCCGUAUGUUCGACUCUUUUGAGUGAACCGACUUGGCGUUGUCAUUCGUUGCAUGUGCGAGUCCGUAUGUUCAACCCGAUGGGUUGGAUCGACUCGACAUGCCUAAUUAUGGGAGUUGCGUGUGCGAGUCCGUAUGUUCAACCCAAGGGGUUUGAUCGACUUGACAUGCCUAAUUGUUGGGAUAAUCUUCUGAGUUGACAUUGCAUGCAUACAUGCACCCCUACUGAUUUAUUGAGUCAUUGUUUAUUGAACUGUUGAGAUAGCAGAUAUCGCAUUGUUUAUUAGAGCCUUGAUAACAUGCUAUGUAUAUACCUUAGGGUAGGCAAUACAUAAAUUACAUGUAGAUAUACAACAUAUAUAUAUAUAUACCCCCUUAUUCUUCACAUGUUGUUUGUAUUAUCUAUUUUAUUCCGUGAGUUGACCCUAGCGCCUUGGCUUUGUUUGUAUGUUUGUGUUUGGGCGGUCGGCCUGCUGCCAGGCGUCCGUCAGUCGAUUCGUGAUGACUCGUCACUCGAGGAGGACCAGGAGCGUAAUGAUUAUUACUGAAGCUUUCGACGAGGACCCGGACUGAAUGCAUGACCAGAUGAGGGUCGAUGAUGGAAGCAUAGGGUAUGGGUGUUUAGAGCCUACUAAGGUUGGGUGUUAGUGUCAUAGCUCUGAAUCGUCAUUUGUACU
rnacentral:lncRNA from 1 species